GAAAUUCAAAAACUGAUUAAACCACCAGUUUGGUUUUUUUUUUUUUUUUUUUUUUUUUUUGGGGUCUGAUCCAACCGAUUAACAUUGGUACUGUUUGGAUUUUGUCAAGUAUGUUAAAGGUUAACCAACCAACCUCUAAUAUGUCCUUCUCUUUUUCUUUUGGGUGGGUGGGGGGAGAGAUUGGAGUACUAUAAAUUAGAAAAUAAUUAUGAAGGCAAGUACAUUACUUUUAUAGGAAAGGCAUGCACAUUAACUGGAAAUAUUUCAAAGAAAAGAAAAAUAUGACUGAUAAACUCACAUCAUUACGGUCCACCAAAUCAGCGAGAUGGCCUCCGCUAGCCCAUAUUCUAUCUACAACACUAAGUACCCUCUUAUUAACUCUCCAUCUGGUAUUCCCAAGAGCGUCCAGGGCCUGGCCAGGAGAUACACAAAAUUUACACAUAUGAGAAUCAGCACAGAAGGCACCACACUCUUCAUGUUGGUCGAGUUCAAUAAAAGUUUUCAUGAGGACAAAAUUUCUAUGUAUAUAAACCUUAAAAACUGGUUCCAGUUGCUCCCUUGGGGUCCUCUUAAUUGCUUCACGCUGCUGUCUCGCUCCAUGAAUGCGCAUGACAUAGGAUGGUAGGAAAAAGUACCCUCCUUUGUCAUAACUGCAAAAAUACCCAAAAUAAGGGGAGUUAGAUGAAUUUACAAAAACACAAAAGAGGAUAAAAACAGGCUAACAUCUCAAAAAUGUAAAUCAGAAAUUAUGUCUCAUAAAGAUCUAAACAACAGUAGGAAACCUAAAAAUGGGUUUUUUUUUUUAAUCAUUGGUCCUGACUGGUUAGCCAACCAAACAGAACUCUGAUGAAGUUGAAUUCCCAUUCUCUAUGUCCAGAUGCACUAAGAAAGUUGAAUCAUGCCACCUUUAAAGUUUGAAUUUAUUGGAGUCACCCUACUCUAUUUCUAUAUCAAAUCCUAUUGUCCAUCUACAUCUCAAAUCCACAAUAAUAAAAGUUCUCUCCAGAAAAAAAGUGAGGGUAAAAUGGUGGAAACUUUUCAUGAAAAAGGUAUUUGUGAAUAGUUUAGUGGAUGAAAAUAGAAACAUCUCUCCCCAUGCUAGUUUGAAAAUAAUUAAGAUAACCUGAACUUUAACAUCUACGAUGGUGAAAGCACUUGAUUCAUUAAGCUCAUUCUUCUAUAAUGUUGGAUUUGUUAGCAGCUCUUAAGUGAGAUUAUAAUUUUUUAUCUAGUGAGCAUGUUCUAUUGUACAUCCUUUUGAGUUGUAAUUUCUUGUUUUACUUGUUCUUUCCACAUAGUGGAUACCUUAUCCGCUCUUUGUAUGCAGCUUUCCUACUUUAAUAAAAACUAUGUUUCUUUUCCAGAAGGGAAAAAAAAAAGAAAAGGAACUGCAGAUUUAGUUUCUUACUUGUAUCUUGUAUCUGAUGAUCUUAGCAAGAAGGGAGGGAAGGCUAGUGGGGACGAUACUGAGGAAAUAUUAGAAUAACUUCUACACAUCCCAUCCCAUCCAUUACCAAUUUUCUAAAUUUACGAAGCCUCAAUCUGAUCAUAUAUGAUCUUCGAAUAAAAGAUUUUAAAAAAUGAACAAUUAUAAAAUAGGGCAAAACUGGUAAAACAGAACUGAUUUUUCCAUACCCAGUCCAGUUCAAUGGUGGUACCAACAUCGGCAUAUAAGGAAUCACCAUGUGCCUUGCCUGUUUAAACAGUAACAAUUAUUAAUAUAUCAUGCACUAAAGAAGGAAAUAAAAUUCCUGCAAGAAUUUCUUGACGUGUGUCCUUUGGCAGGAAAUGAGAAACCUUAUACACAAGUAGUUUAGCCAACACUGCAUCACCUGCCAGGGACAAGUGAACAAUGCUCUACAGACGAUGUUAUUAGCCUUGAAUCAAUUUCAAUACUAUCAAACUAUCUUAUCUAUAUAACAUUCCUAGAUCGUGAAAAGAAGAAACUAUUAAAUUUAAAUAUAUAUAGUUGCAUAGUUCCAAGUGUCAACAGAAAACUUCAAUUGUUUCAAGAAUAACAGAACGGAAAAAGGAUCAGAUUUGCUUACUGUUUUCUCAAGGCCUUUGAGAACAAGAGGGUCACAUUCAAUAACCCCAUAUCUUCUGCUGGCAUUCCUGUUGAGAGAAAAUUCCACAUCAUUAUUCAAAAUUAUCCGGAGGGAAGGGGGAGGUAUAGAGUUAUCAAUAGGACAGACUAAUAAAUACUUUGCAUCUUUCGCAACAGUCCUAAAUGUGUGUACAAAUGCAGGUCGUAUAUCCGGUGGACCAUCUGCUAACUGGUCAGCUGGAGGCUGUAUAAAAGCUGUUUGAGUCAACAAUUCAAUCAAACGACUGCCGACCUAAAAAUGUACAAAGGGAAAAAAGCACCCCUUUAGAAUGCAUGUGAAUAAAAUGCUGAUAACGUUUUACCAGUAAAAGAAAUAAUCCAUGCAAACCUUAGCCCUGGCUUCCAGGCUCCAUGAUUUUGAAGCAUCAUGUUUGCUCACUAUCCCUCUCACUGCUUUCAGUUUUUGUUUUUUCAUCAAAUUAGUGACUUUUUUAUUCAACUUCUCUCGUUCCUUCUUUGCAGCAUCAGACUCCCCAUUUUCCUGAUCUUUGUCAACCUUUUUCUUUCUCGUCAUUUCCAAGAACUUGUGUAUUCUAACCUGAUGCAUUGAAGCAGUGACACAUCAGUGCUCAUCUAGGAGAGAUGGGCGGGAUGACACUGUGUAGAGUAAGAAAACCAAGCCUUAGGAAUACUGCUUUACUUAGUCCAGCUAGAGAACAAUAAGAAACAAAGAGCAAUGCACUAAGGUUUAGAGUUUUAGAACGUGCCUCAAGCCAACGUCCACACAAACUUGACAUGCUUUGAAACAAAGGCAAAAAAAGGAAUUUCACUACGGCAUCACCAUUAAAUGGAUUCCAGCAAAGACAAAUUAAACUAAACGGAUAAAUAAAUAAGUAAAUGACCGCAAUUCUACUCAUGAAUGGAAGAGCAUGGACUAUUAACCAAGUAGAUGAAACCGAAUCAAAAUGUCCAUGAAGAAUAUGAGUAAAGCAAAGUUCAAACCUCCUGCUCAAUGGCUUCACCUAUCGUGCAAGCAGCCGCUACCACCCUGCAAGUUCCAUGUUCGCCUCCAGUCAUCAGCAAUCCCAUCAACUUAUGCAUUGUAAUAACUGACAUCAUAUCAGCUGGUAACUGAUCAAUAUACGGUGCGUAAGCUGUCUUAUUCUUUCCUUUCCGACACAGGUCCUGCUCUUUGUCAAUGGCAUUGCGCAAAGGCUCAAACCAACCAAGAAACAAAGACUUCAUGUAUGGCAAAUUGGGUGCUAACUUCUGCUCACACAUGUCCAUCAUAAGCUCCCUGUACUCCUUGGCCGCCCGUUCCCAUGCUUCAGUUUCAAUCUUUAUCUGUCUUCUCUUAAGCAUGUGGUACUUCCCUUGCCCCAUUCCUCUCGCUCUAUUCUGCCUAGUCCGCUGCUUAUAUUGGGCCUCCCUCUUCUCCUCUAUACUCAUUUGUUGCAAUAAUUCUUGAACUUCAUCAACAACAGACACUUCUUCCUCAACAUCAGUGGAAGAUACAGCCUCAGCUACGCUCGCAUACCCUUUGGGACAAAACCCAUUAAACCAAAUUGGAUUCCUCACAGACCAGAAACUGGGCUUACACAUACAAUCCUCAGGUGAAGAAAUAGCACCUUUCCCGCGAAAACCCACCUCAGAAAACCUCAAGCUUGAGCAAGAACUCAGCUCAAAAGGCUUGAAAUUUCCCGGGAAAACCGAUUCCUGGCAAAUACCCAGAAGGCUAUAAGCUCGUGAAAAAGACUGCGAAUUGAUGUGAAACCUCUGCUUCCUAGAAAUGGCUUGCUUAGCAAAAUUUCUCCACACAGUUGUUGAUAUCAUUGAUGGGUUUUUGUGGAAAAUUAAGGGGCUAUGAAAUGUAAAAUUCUUGCUGAUAUUUGCAGGGGACAGUGGGGUUUGGCUUCUGGACAUCAAAUUAAAAUCAAAUUUUUUUGGAGUAAAUUAAUUGAUGAAACUGGGAUCAGAGGAAAUGGGUCGAUGAAUGAAUUUGCAGAAACAAUGGAAUUCAUAGAGACUGAGAAAGGGGGGUAGUAACCAGUAAGCUAGCAGCCGCCUUAAGCCCUUAACCCUUUCUUAAACCCUGUCUUUGAUAUUUUAUUGAUCGAACGCAAAGCCUCGCACUUCGGAUUUUUGCUUGCCUUGGUGACUGACGGAGUCUUAGGGAUUUGGCUGGGGUUUCUACAAUAUUUUAAAUCUUUGCACCCUAUAUGUAAUUUGACGAUUGAUGAUGUGUCGGUUUUUGUUUUUUUUUUAAUUUUUUUUUUUUGAGAUGAUGUCGACUAAUUAAAACUUCGUCCAUGAUUAAAUUAAUAGAGAAAUGGACUUGUACAUUUUCAGAUAGGGAAGAGAAUCAAAGGCUUACUUUUUGUUGUAAUUUUUUGGGAAAGGCCCAUCUACUUCUUAUUUUCUGGAUAUAAAUUCAACCAUUUUUUAAAUGUUUAUAAAAAUUCAAAUUUGAAAUGUGCUAUUAUGUAAGAUAAUAUUUGUUCUAAUAAUAAUUUACUUAUUAUCUUUUAUUGAUAAUAGGUAAAUUACUUUUAUAAAUUAUUAGGUACAUUAUUUUCAAAAUACGUUAAAAGUUGGGUAUAUUAUUUAAUAAAUAAAUAAAUUCAUACUAAGUAAAUUAUUUUUUGAUGUGACACUCACAAUGUCAUGUAAUAUUGCUAAAUUACUUAUGUUGUAACACGUGUACGAAUUUAUUAAUUUUAUACACAAAGUCUAUGACACAUAAACAUUGUCAUUUGCUCACAUUUUAGUACUUUAAUUCAUAACGCCACAUGAUAAUGUGAUAAUAACACCCUAAGGGCUAGUUUGGCAUUACUGUGCUGUGAAAAUAAUCGCUUCCAAAUUUGCUGUGAGAAAAAUCAGUUGUAAGAGAAAACAAUUUGGCGUUUGGUAAACUUUUUUUUUAAAAAUGUUGUUGGUACUGAUUCAAGCAUAAUCAGAAAAUAAUUCUCGUAUAAUCAUUAAACCCAGCACCUCUUCGAAACUAAUUUCUAGCAUAAUCUGAAAAUGAAAGCACAUCAUUAGUUGAUUUCCCUUAUAACUUUCUCUCACAGCAAUUUUGAACAAUAAGUGAUUUUCUCAUAGUUUACCAAACGGACUGGGCUUUCCAAAAUUUAAAAAAAAAUCACUUAUCACUCCAAAUAAGCAAUGUCAAACGGGCACUAAGUCUAUGAUUUAAGUUCGAGAGACACCAUAUUCCAAAUUUACAAUGGUUCUUUUUUGUCACUAUAAUAGGGUUUCUGACCACUAACGAAAAUGAUGGUAAGAGCAUGCUCACGGGCUCAAAGCAAGACGUGAAGAAGUUAGUGCUAAAUCCUGGCUUCAAUUUACAACAAUAUGACAUUUUAGAGUAUCGGCAAAAAUCAUUGAUCUCAAAUUGAGCCAAAAUUCUUGUACUAACUUUUGCCUGUCAUUUCUUGUCAUAUUUUCAUAUUACUACAUCGAAAGUGAAAAGUAUUCGUAGCAUUCUGGGGUUUGACAAGUCUAACAAAGAGCAAUCAGAAAAUUUGGCAUAUCCAUGAGAGAGAGAGUGAGUGAGAGAAAGAGGGGCUAGAUUUAUUAAGUUGGAGAAUUAACUGAGAUACAUAAUUUGCCUGGUCUAAUAAACUUCCUAUUUUUUCCUCUAAGAAAGAGAAACAAUGACAUUUAUCCUAUCAUUCAAGCCCCCAUCCAUGAUGAGUACAUCUUUCUUGACGUAUACAAUACUUGAAUUCUCAAUGCAGAUGCUACAUAGUUGGUUCUCAUCCUCUAGAGACUUUUAUCCUAUCACCAACGACCCAAUUAACCAAUCAAAUAAAUAGAAGCGGGGUAGAAUACAGAUUCAAUUUGUGAACUGAUCUCGUCUCUUCAUGCACUAGUAGCUGUGGGCUUAAAACAAUCAAUAUUGCACAAUCCGACUGAUCUGAACAUCUCUCCAAAGCUGCCACCAAGGUUAAAUUUCAACAAUCAGAACAACCAGAGUUGUAUGUGUCUGUGCUACAUUGUGGAUGAUUGAACUUUGAACAACAAAGCAAGUAUGGAUAGAAAAGAAAAAAAUAGUUAAUGAAUAGCUAACCGGUCAAUGCUAUUUCGUGCUUUCUCUGGCUGAUCCAUGCUAUUACUUGCUUUUUCUGGGUGAUCCGUACUCUUUCUUGAUCUCUCUCUCUUAUCAGUGCUGGCCCUUGACUUCUCUCUGUGAUCUGUGCUUAGCCUAGGGUUUUCUCUAUGGUCGGUACUUGGUCUAGAAUGCUCUUGUUGAUCUGUAGUGGAACAAGAUUUCUCCCUAGUGUCAGUGCUUCUCCGUGGAUUUUCUGGUUGAUCCGUAAUUGGCCCAAAUCCAUUUCUAAGAUGUGGAUAUUUCUCAACAGCUGAUACAAACUUCUUGACAUGCUUUAUGUAUUGUGGGUAGAGCUCCAAGUCACAAUGAUUCCCUCCUUUUAUCCAUAAUGGCUCAUACUUCUCCUUACAAUGUUCCCAAAGCUGCUUGCCAUGGGACCAAUCCACAACAUCAUCAGCCGUCCCCUGCACAGAACAAAACAACCUGGAAAAUAAGCAUGCUUCUGAAAACUAAGCCAUACAUUUAAUGAUACCAUAAGACAAUCAUUGCACUCUAUAUGCUAUGCAAUCGGAGUAAUCAACAAGUACACUGGCAAUUGGAAAAGAAAGACAGCCGAGGCAUGUGUGUUUGACACCAAAAGAGCAUCCCUUUUUCAGACCUUACCUUUAAUGUGGAUGAAAUGAGAAAGAAAAAAAAUUUUAAAAAUAGUUUUUUAAUUUCAUACCAAAAUAAAUCUCAUGCCUUCUUUUAAGGAAAAAAAGAGGCAAAAGCCAUCAUCCUGCGUAAGAUCAUUUACAGCCCAUAUGGUGCUUCAUGUCCACAUUCACUUAUUUUCUGGAGAACUUAGUACCAAAUGGCACAAUGAGUUUAAAAAAUAUAUCUAUCCUAGUAUCCAAUUAGACGCAUUAAAUGGCUGUUCAAACUUGUUAACAAGCAGCAGACAUGAAAUGUUAGUGCAUCAGUGCACACAUAAGUCCAAUUUGCUAUGCCAUCAAUGUACAUUAUUAGCUUGCCAUGUUUUUUGAAAAGAAUAACUUGCCACAUUUAGAUUCACAAAAUUCUAGGGAAAUAGAGCAUACAAUUUAAAGAACAAGAGGUACUCACAUGAAUCACCAGAACAGGACAACUGACCAAGGGUAUUUUGUCAAUGUUCUGCACCAUGAAUAGGCCAAACUCUCAUUAGCAUGCAUUCACUUCAAAUAUUAUGAGAAAAUUGAACCAAAUCGUCUAAAACUGAGCAAUCAAUAAAGAUUAAAAACCUUAUAAAUGUCAAACCAGUAUGUCCGCUUCACCGGAUACAUGACACGAAGACCAGACAUGAUCGGACUGUGAAGAACCACCGCCCUCAAUCUUGGUAACCGGGUUGCUAGAUCUAGAGUGGGCCCACUACCAACUGAUUGCCCAUAUAAGAUAACAUCUUCCUCCUUCGCACCGUACCUCUCCACAAGGCAUCUAUAUGCAGCUUCUAUGUCUGCAUAAGUGUUUUGCUCACUUGGCUGUCCAUAAAGGAAAAGAUAUAUAUCUCAUUUUGAACAUUCUCCUAAGCAAAUUAUAGCUAAGACUUGUUUGCAUUUAUCAAAUGCUCAAUUUGGUCUGUAGGAAAGAAGAAAUGUGUCUAAUUAAAAAACGAAUUAAGCAGGAUGAAAAACUCAACAAAGGGGGUGCAUCAGGCGUUUUAAGUGUCUUUAACCCCAAGUAACAAAACCAAAUUGAAGUUUCAUUUCCUCUGACAAAAGAAACCCUACUGAAAUCAAAUAUAGAGAAUUGUAACGAUAAAAUUAACAUUUUCCAGUUUCGCUUCCCCUCCUCUAUGGAGCUACGUUUUCUGGGCAUCCAAACAAAUUAAUACAAAUCCAAAUCCCAUACCUUCCCAGUAGAUUGUCCGUACCCCGAAUAGUCAUACCUACAAAACACGCACAGAGCCCCAUAAGUUCAAAACUUUUCAAAGUACACACAUAUAUUUAUGCAAAAAUAGAAACACACACACACUACUAAGCUAUAUAUAAUUAAACAGUGAAAUCAUAGAUGCACUUGACUGACCCCAACAAGUUGACUCGGAGAUGAAGACUGAGCUCGCUGAACAACUCGUACAUCUGACCCAGAUCAGCUGCGUUCCCGUGCGAGUGUAAAACUGUGAGCUUCGCCGACGGAUUCCUUAUGUACACCGCCACGACGUCGUUCCCUCUCUUGGUCUUCAGCUUCAAAACGUCCACGUUUUCCCUGGUCCCUACCCCAGUCAUCUUCAGCUUCCCACUCUCCUCCUCCUUCUCCAGUCCGUACGACGGCGGGUUCGGUGGGAAAAACGCGAACUUGGCUGCCAUUGACGACGUGACUGCUCCCAUCUCAAGCCCGCCCAACCCCACUCCCCCCAAUAAUAAAUUAUAUAAACAAACGGAACUUUAAUUUAAAUUAAACGAAUCCAGUCGUGGAAGAACUUGAUUAAAGCUCAUUUGAAUCCGGGUGGAUUGUUCCCGAAAACGUCAAAAUCUGGAUAAUAAUUUGGUGACUGGUUAGUGAGAAAGUGAUUGGUUAGUAAGAAAGUGAGAGAGAAAAUGAGAUUCUAGGGUUUGAAAUCACCGUAAGGGGGAAGUAAAGAGGGUUUUUGAGCUGUGACAGAGAAAGAACGGAGGAUAUUCCGGCGUGGAAAUGGAGGGCACCACGUGUGAAAUGAUUAAAGUUUAAGAGGGGGUUGUGGUCCGGUGAUGGUGAUAUGAGAGAAAAGUAACUGCAAGCGCUAUUCUGCCCCGCCACGUGUCCUCUCGGGGCAGCCGUGGUCCACUGAUCCUUUGAAGGGCCAGAUUGGCAACAUAAUCUUCUUCUUUUUCUUGUUUUUUUUGGUUUUUUAUGUCUUGGGAAUUAGUAUAAAAAUGUUUUUAUUUCUUUUCCUUUUUGUUUGGGUUCUGUUGUAAUGGCUGGAAAAUGGUUGUGACUUAUGUCUUUGGACAGGUCCGUCAAAAACACCAAAACAAGAGCUGUUUUUUUGUGUAUUUUGUGUGUGUUUCUUUUCUCACAUGCCCUAGUCAAAUUAGGCGUUUUAGAGAAAAAUUUGCGUAAGUUGUUUGUUUACGUGAAUUAUUAACAGUUGUCGGUUAUUUAUGCAUUAUGUUCGAUCUACGGUUAACGUUAAUUUCUCUUUGACCUAUAAUUAGAUCCCAAAUCUUCUAGAUUUUGUAGCUUGAAAUAAAUUUUGUGGUUAGGGCUCAUCUUGUUAUGGUAGUUUAUUUAAAUUUGAAUUCAAAGUUUUAGUCUGACGCCAGUUUUUUCUUACUAUCAUAAAUCACAAAUUAAUACUAUGCAAUCGCAGUCGUUUCUCUUCCUUUCUUUCUUUUUUUUCUCCUUUUUUUAGGGAUCCUUUCUUAUUUAUUUGAUUUUAUUCAUGCCUUCUAGAUUCAUAGGGAAAUUAUACAUAAUAAUGGAGGCUGAUCUGUUUCUUUGACUCAUUGAUUCUUAUGCCAAUUGCCAUAAGUUUAGACUGUUUCAAAUAUGGAAAUUUUAAGACUUUUGAUUUAAGCUUGAGCAACAACCCGAAUUUUUUUUAUAAAACUAAAAAGGAAAAAGUUUGGCUCCUUAAGAUUAUGGAGUAGCUCCUUCUUACGACCAAUGUGGUUUUGACAAGUGUCAAAUUAUUUUAAUUUUUCUUUUCUUUUUUAUUGAAACUUUGCCAAUAUUGCUGGAAUUUGACAAAUGUCAAAACUCCAUUAAUUUGAAGAAGGAGCUUCUCCUCAAUUUUAAGGAGCCAAACUCAACUAAAAUGGGCACCAUUGGCCAAAUUUGAUAAUCAAAAGUAGUAUGUCGUUUGACAAUUUGGUCUAGGCCCAUAUUGAAGUGUUGACCAAACCAUAGUGGGGUCAAUAAUCGAAGGAGUUGUUUCGUUUGCUGAUGACAUAAUAAACUCAUGUAAAUAUAGGUUAAGUCAGUUCGCUAAAAUAGUAUACUCCGUCUCUUUUAUCCGAGUUCAAAUCUAUUUUCUGUACAUAUAAUAGUUUAAAAUAUUACUCUUGUCAAAGAAAAAAACAAGCCAAUAAACCCGUGAAUCGACUGUAAUUUGGCCAUGAAUCACAAAUAGAGUUUCAACUUUGAACCUCUUUUCCGGUUAGAGUUUGCAACUCUAACAUUUUGACAUUUAGUAAGGGUUUUAAGAUUAUCUUUUGAAGGUUGGCCCCCCAAAAAAAAGAUUAACUUUUGAAGAACGGCACCACAUAUAUAAAACAUGAAAAUGACGGUCAUCUCAUCUCUUUAUUUUCAGGUUGUUGUACCUUUCAUGGGCCAUCCUUCAUACCUACCAUUUUUCAAUAAGAAUUGAACAUAUUCAAAGUAUGUACACCAUAUUUCAGGUCCACUGGAGACUUUGAGUAAUUAUUUGGGUACCGAAUUUUCUGUCCAUUGAUCAUUAAAUUUUCAGAGAAACAUGCAUAAAAUGCAAUAAAGAAAAGCAGUGAAGUUCUCAACCAUUAGUAGGCUAUUGGGCAUGCUGCAUACAUAGCAAUCAGUUCAUAUAAGGUAUCGGACUUGUAUUGGAUUAUUUUUUAUCUUUUUUGUUUUGUUUGAAGUUAUAUAUAUAAUCCAUAUUAAAGAAGAGGAGAAUCGAACACGUGACUUUGGAUGCAAUGAUUAACGGUCUUAAUUACUUGAAUUAGUUUUGAAUCUUGAAUGUGGUAGCAUGACAAAUUUUUAGCCUUUUUAUAGCCUUUGGCUGUUCCCUUUGUGUUUUUGUGGUUGAUCUUGUGACCUUGUUGUACUUUAUGUGCUUAGAGUUUUGCCCUCUUUUUGGUUAAUAAGUUCAUCUUUAAACGUUGGUCAUCAUCAACCGCAAUUCAUAUGGACAUUGGACAUGCACAAUUCGGAUCCAAAAGAUGAAAGAAAAGAAGCAAAAAAAAAGGAAAUCUAUCUUAACCCACAACUUAUAAAGAAAUGGUUGUCAAACAAAAAUCCUUUUGAAGUUUUCAAAGGUGGAAAAGGAAACCAAACCAAACCAAUCCAAUUCAACAAAGGAGAGGUCCCCAAUUGUUGUCAAAAAGAGUACUUGUAUUUGAACUUUAAAGAACACUAGAAAAGGAGGAAAAGAAAAAGGGGAAAUGGCAAUUCUCUUUCUGUGUGACAAUUCAAACCAUCUCUUAUAGAAGACAUCCUUCUUCUUUUUUCCUCCUUUUGGUUUGUAUCAGAUUAUGAACUUACUCAAUCAUUCCUAAAUGAAGUUGGAAUUGAACUUAGGAUAUUUCACUUACGUUUGCAAAUAUAUAAGCCUUGAUCGACAGCCAUCGCAAUAAAUUGUGGAACUAUUUAGACUUUCAUCCUCUAUGAAAUAUGAAUUUUCCUGCACACAUCAAUUUGGGGGUGUCCUUUCCUAUUUGCAUUUAUUUUGGUGCAACAAUUCACAGGAACAUGCUUUGGUACAAAGAACUAAACAAAAGAAGAUUGAAAAUAUUAUAUGCAUUGAUUAUAAGCAUAUUUACGAGAUUAAAAAGAAUAAAUUUCGUCCGUAACUUAUGCACAAAAUUUUCUAUUGCUUCCUUUAACAUGCCUUAAACUUUAAAUCUAGUGAAUUGAUGUCUUUUAUAUAGAAAGGGACCUUAAACAGAAACUAUAAUUAUAUAUUUUUUUUAGUAACAACCAUAAUUAUAUAUUACUUUCUAUUAACUAUUAAGAUAUGAAGGUUGGAUCAAACCUCUCUCAGCUACCCCAUAACACAGACAGAGAGACACUUGCACCUUGCCUAUAGUUGACAUGUGGUAAAGAACAAUGCUUUUGUUUGGUGCAUUCUGUAGAUUAAACCUUCAAGCUCAACAACCACCAGAAAAUAAGUGGAGCCCAGCAACAACAAUUUAGUGGAGCCCAAUAAUCUAUACCAAAGGUAAUUCAUAUUUUGGGGAAAAAAAUACAGUGCUUCUCUGCUCUUUAUACAACCACACCUAACCAUCAAUCAUUGCCGUCCACUAUGUCUGAUGAUAACUCAUUAGUCAAACAACUUUAUCAACUACUAUUAACACAGAAAAUCAGCCCCUUGACCCAUUUCUUCUUUGACGUGGCAUCCUCUAGUUGGCUGGACAUCAGCACUAUGCAAAUUACUUCGCACCAGAUUACAACUGCAAAGACAUAUGUGGAUUCUUCCUUGUCCAUUUUGUCAAAUAGUGACAAAGUAAAUCAAACACCAAUGUAAAGAAAGAGUCUUUGAAGUUAGGCCCUAGGUUUUUCCCUCAUUUCGAUGCCAGAAUUUGCUCAUAUCUGUUCCAGCAAGCUUCCUUCACCAAGCAGAGCCAUGGAAGAUUGCUCAGUCCGAAGGUAACCCAUCUCAAUUCACAAGGUACAAGGAGGCUUGUAUUUGUAAUGGUAAUUGAUCUGUGCUCAACAAAAUUCUAUCUUUAACUUGAGCCAUCUUACAAUCUACAAGAUUAUCAAUUUUGGAUCUGACUAAAGAUUCGAGCUUUUUGUAUUAAUCUCAACUGUAAUGUUGGUUCUAUGCUAUGAUUCUUAGAGCUGUUGGUAUUUGAAUUAUGGGUUUUCUUAUUUUGUGCUGGAAAUUAGUAGUUGAAAUUGAAAGUUCUGAUCUUUUGGGGUUAAGAGUCAGCAAUUGGGUACUAGGGUAGAGCCGUCAGAGUAAUAUUGGGUUAGUUUGGGAAUUGCCACUAUGGAUGGUGCUGGGGAAUCUUCUGAAUCUGGGUCUGCAGUAUCAAGUCUGAAAUCUAUGGAAAAUGGGUGUUCUGGUAAAGAUGAUGGGUGCCCAAAGCAAGUGUCGCCUCUUAGAGGUGGUGGGUCGAGGAAUACGAGUCCUUUGGGUUGUGUAAGAUCAAGAAACACUAGCCCUUCGAGGCAGAAGGUGGUUAAGACAAAACCGCGAGGGCUAGAUGAGGAAACGGCUUCUACUUUUGGCAAAGCAAUUCAUCCUGAUGUUCAAAUGGAGGAUAAUAUAUGGGCAAUGUUGCCAGAGGACUUGUUGAAUGAGAUAUUAGCUAGGGUUCCACCAUUUAUGAUAUUUAGGCUCCGGUGUGUUUGUAAACGGUGGAAUACAAUUCUACAAGAUAGAAGUUUUCUUAAGUUCCACUCGCAAGUGCCAUCUCACGGGCCUUGUCUUCUCACAUUCUGGAAGAACUCUCAGACCCCACAAUGCUCAGUCUUCAGCUUACCAUUAAAAACAUGGUACAGAAUUCCGUUCACAUUUUUGCCACAGUGGGCAUUCUGGUUGGUGGGCUCUUCUGCUGGUCUAGUUUGCUUUUCUGGGCUUGAUGGCUUAAGUUUUAAAACCUUGGUUUGUAACCCUCUUACACAAACUUGGAGGACAUUGCCAAGUAUGCAUUAUAAUCAGCAAAGGCAGCUGAUAAUGGUUGUUGAUAAGAAGGACCGGUCAUUUAAAAUUAUAGCCACUAGUGAUAUUUAUGGUGACAACAAGUCGUUGCCCACUGAAGUAUAUGAUUCAAAGCUAAAUAGUUGGUCAAUUCACCAGAUAAUGCCUGCAGUUAAUCUUUGCUCCUCAAAGAUGGCAUAUUGCGACUCCAGACUAUAUUUGGAAACUCUUUCUCCACUUGGCCUAAUGAUGUACCGGUUGGACACAGGAUACUGGGAACACAUUCCAGCUAAGUUCCCACGGUCUCUAUUGGAUGGUUAUUUGGUAGCUGGCACCCAAAAGCGUCUGUUUCUAGUUGGAAGGAUUGGUCUUUAUAGUACUCUUCAGAGUAUGAGAAUAUGGGAAUUGGAUCAUACAAAAUUUAUAUGGGUGGAGAUUAGCAGGAUGCCUCCAAAGUAUUUUCGAUCUUUGUUAAGGUUAUCAGCUGAGAGAUUCGAGUGCUCUGGACAGGAUAACUUGAUUUGCUUCACAUCGUGGAACCAAGGGAAGGGCCUUCUCUAUGACGUGGAUAAGAAGGCGUGGUCCUGGAUUGCAGGCUGUGCUCUUCAGUCGUACAACAGCCAGGUUUGUUUCUAUGAGCCGAGAUUUGAUGCUUCCAUCUACUGAGAAGAAAGUUUUGCUUUGCAGUUCUUGUUUUAUUUACUAGCCAGAGAAUUAUCAGUGGACAGCAUCUCCAGUUAGCAUUUUUCCCUUGAUCCAUUCUUUGCUUCUUCUCCAUAUGGUGCUGAAGGGAUUUGACACUGGGCUUGGUGGCUAAUCAUGUGAGUUUGAGGGAUGCGUGGAUUUGGCAAUAUGAGUGCAUCCCAGAAAACCAAUUUUUGUCAUUGAGAUUUUGUAGACUUUAAUUGGUGAUAUUACCUCAUAUUAGGUCUCUGUGAUGCCUAAUGAUUGAGCAAAGGCUGGUUGUUAGAGAAAGAACGUGGUCAGGGGGAAGAACUGUAAGAAGGCAAUUUUUUCCAAAUCUUGUACACAUUUUGAAACUAUUAACACAUCCAACCUGUACAUUUAAAAGUUUACCGUGCCUUGCUAAUUUUAUUAAGUCAUUAUCUGAGAAUUUAUUUGAUAUGCUUUUUGCUCUUGAUCCAAGGUCGCAUCACAAGCUGCAAUUUGUUACUGGAGAUGUGUAAAUAUGGUGGUGUCUUUUGCUUGGUGAUACAAGUUUUUUUUCUUUGAUCAGAUGCAUUUCCCCAGGCUAAAGUCUUAGCAAUUUUCUUUAUUUGAACCAUAAUAGAUUCAUUACACUGUUUUGGAGUUCUGAAGCUUUUGAUUUUUCAAUGGAUACAAGUGGUAGAACCUUUGCUAGUCUACUAGUUACUUCAUCGAAGUGAGUAAAGUUGCUAUGGGAGUCGGGGCUUGUUGCAGUGCACUUCUCAGUCCAAUCUCUAUGGUUGUGGUUGUGCUAGCUGAGCUGGCCCUGAUAGGGUGACAUCUCCGAGAAAAACUUACCUAUACCGGGGUGUAUGUACUUGAAGGAGAUUCCUCAACCUUAACUUGGCUAAAUGGACCCUUCGCUUUCAAUUGGUUAAAGAUUCAAUCCAAGUCCACUGACCUUUCAGCUCUCAACUUAGCAACAUGGGGCUUUUUGCUUUGGAAUGGUUUUGAUAGGCAUAGGGAAGAGAUUUCCUUUGCCAUAAAAAAAAAAAAAAAAAAAAAUUAUUAUUAAAAAAAAAAAAGAAGAAGAAAAAGAAAAUGUUGUUCAUGUGUACAUGUUCCAAAAAAGAAAGCUAACUAAAGGGAAUCUUUUUCUUGGGUUCGCUAAUCAGAUGGAUCCCUGGACACUUUUCACAUAUUCCAUAGACUCAGCCUGCUUCUAAUCACAAUAUCAUGAGGUGUGUUAUAUCAAGUUUGUAGCAUAUACACAAACACAAGCACGCGACAUGCAUAUACAACUUCCUAAACCUCAAAAGCUUCACUUCACUUGGCACAUACAUACCUGGGUCCAAAUUUUAAUUGGUCUUGUUCGGAAAACUAUCAAAACAAAUGGUGGAGACAAGACAAUAUUGGUAACAGGAGCCGGCUUUCUCCAUGUCCAUUCGUUUUGGUUACUUCGUUCAAAAGUUUGCGAUGAGAAUUAUAGUUUUAGAAGGUGAUAAUUAAGGCAAUAUUUGCUAAAUAUAUAUAUGUGCUAUGCUGGCCAGUAUAAAAUAUGUCUGGGACCGACUUGCAUAGAAAUGACACAUGUUAACACAUUUCUCAAGGUGAAAGCACUAGCAUAUAGUUGGAGGUCACGCCCUCGUGUUCUAAAAUUGCAACUCACACAAACACACUCAGGAACUCUAACCCCCCUUGUUUGUUUAAUUGAUUAAUAUCUUCAUAUAUUGUUAAAAGCUGAAAUGUUUUGAGUAAUUCUAUGUGAAAUCACUUGUAAAUGUCCUGCAGGCUCUUAAUUUGAUGCAUUCUCGCGAUGCCCUUCAUGCCUCGAAAAAAACUAUCCCUUGCAUGCUAAGUUCUAACCCUCUUUAUAGUAAGUAUCGAAAAUAGAUAUAUCAAAUUAUCACGUGAUUAUAAAAUAAUAAGAAAUAAAAAAGAAAAUUUUGUGACAAUCGAAUAGUCAAAUUCUACAUAACUUUGAAGACAUGAAAUUUGAUAUUAAAAUUGACAUCCCAUAAAGCAAAGGAUCAAUGAUUCAAGAUCCUGAUCAUAUUGAAGUGUUUGAUGUCUGAAUAUUCUGCUGUACAAAGACAAAUUUUUGUUUUUGGCGGAACCCUUAAAAUUUAUAUUGAAGGUGAGGACCGAAUCUCUGACUGAUCAGCAGAUCUUUGCAGCUCGGAUUGACCCUAUUAAUUAUGUGAUGAUAUUUUCACUUACUGUAUGUGUUGGCUUGUUUUGGUAACAUUUAAAUAAAAAAUAACAGCUAAUAUCUGACUAUUCAACUUGAUCUUUUUACUGUUCAACUUGGUUAAGCUUGAAAGUAUAAGAUUUCCAUAUCUACCUUGCAACAUGCCAACAAAAAAGAGUACAAUUAUAAUUGAUUUUAGUACUGCUGAAGCUGAAUAGUACUGUAUGAUCUUUUGACCUUCCUUUCACUUAAACAUAUCUCAUAGUGAUCCUGAACUAAUUAAACUUUGCAAUUAAUAAUUUAUAGUCCGGAUAUAAGUACUCUAGAUUGUUCUCUAUACUCUGAUCAUAUACUACAAACAAUAUCUAAACUGCUCUAAUUAAUUUACGAGAUGGGAGAAUCGAACUCGAGUGCAAGAGGUGUGAUAUGCACACACUGCCGUGGCCAAACUAGCCUAUUCUACAUAUGCAGAAAGAGUAAUGUUAAUGACUCAUCUUUGAGCACCUUAUUUAGUGACUUCGUUGCAUGCAUGCCAGUAGAGAUAUAUCAUACACAAAAAUCAAAAACCCAAAUUCAUGUUUCACAUUUCAUAUAUCAUAUUUGAUGAAGUUUCAUUUAAUAUGCAUCAACGUACGAUUUUAGGCCUGCUAACCUCUACAGAUUCAGUUUAAUUAACUCGAAAAACCACAUUCAAAGUUUUGAAAACCGAAAACGCUGUCUUCCUUUGAAUAGUUUAUUCAUUAGAUUAUUUUGAGUUUUGUGUUCUUCCAAGUCCUGUCUGUACCCACGAGAAAUAUUUUAUGCAGGUAGUCUGAACCCUAGCUUUGACUUGGGUUUGAACUCUGUCUAUAAAGCCCACAUUAUUCUCUCCAACUUUCCUCUCUUUUUGUUGUCAAUCUAAAGAUCACUACACUUUCUCUAGCUAGAAAUUAAGAAGGAAACUACACAAAGAUGCUACAGCUUACAAGCUUCAUACUAGGGCUUCUUUUUGUUAUGCAUGCACUAGGGCACUUUACUACUGCUGCACAUGCUCAUCAGGGUAGAUAUACUAGUAGAUAUAUAUAGCCUUCUCUCAUAUUAUAGCUAGGGCUAGGGAUUUCUAAUAAAAUUUUGGGAGGAUUUUCUAAUGAUUAAUCUUGUUUUUUUGUAGGUAAAGAAGAGCUUUCUAUGACUGAGAAACCUGUAAUACUCUCUGGUCAUAAGGUAGAGUACUUAUUAUUCCAUGAUUUGUUUGUGCUAUUAUUGAAGUUUAGUCCUCAGGAAGCUUCUUGCACUCGUCAAGUAACACUGCGCUAUAAUCGCGUUGUUAUUUGCACUUCUCCACAAUAGUGCAAGAAGCUUUUCGAGGAGUGUGAAUAGCGUUUCUCUUUCUUCUAUAUAUGAUUAAGUAUAAUUUUCGAUAUAUAAGCUAAUUACCGUAUGAGUAUGCAGGAACCAAAUACGGAUGGGGUUUCAAUAGCUGGGUCUAGGAUGAUAGGGCUUGGAGGAAGAAAAAUGGCGGCACACAAAGUGUUGAGGAAAUUAGAGCCUGCAAGACCAGCUAGCCAGCUGAAUGGAGAGACUACUUCAUCAAAGAAUUCAGGUGCAACCCGUAGUUCUGAGGGAAAUUGUGACUUCGAAGGAAAGGGAGAUCUAAAUGAAAAAUGUAAACACGGAGAUUAUAAAAGUAAAACUAGCCCUUCUAGUGCUAAGAAGUACUUCAAAGCAGCACAUGAUUUUGUAGCUUUUGGUGCUGAUUAUCACGGGCCUGCACACCAUCCUCCAAAACACAAUUGAGAAAAUCAUUGAAACCCAAGUUCGAUCUUAGAUCAGUCUUCACGGUCUUGUUGUUGCCAGAUGCUCUAGUGAAAACAUAUGUGUGUGAUAGAUAUAUAUCACGUAGUAGCUAGCUAGCUAGUGUAGUUGUAUGUAUUAGUAUUCAGAAAAAGAUAUAUACAUAUAUGUUGGAAGGGAUUUCUCGCUCUGAUGCUUAAUGGAUGCAAAUAUUGCUUUUGUGUUCUUGGAACUAAAUUUUGAGAUGUUGAUUUUGAUGAGGAAGAAGGUUAAUAAUAAUAAUGGUUCAUGUUAGACAUUUCUUGUCUGAUUGCAGGUAAGGACAGUAAAGCUUCAAGCAACUCCCAUGGAAAACCUCAAAACAUACUGAACCAGCAGGUCUCCUCUCUCUCUCUCUCUCUCUCUCUCUCUCUCUCUCUCUCUCUCUCUCUCAUACACACACACACACAAACUUUCAUAAAUCAAAUUUUGAUAUGCAUGUAGUAGCUAGUACACUUAAACAAAGAGGAUUUUCUUUACCAUCAGAAAAGCCCCACCUUUUGCCUUUUAAUUUGGUGCUAAUUUGGUUAUGUUCAUACACAUUUUCCAGGCCGAUAUCAAGAUAUUGGAGCCAACAACACUGAAGGCUGCUGCCAAUAGUUUUGGAAUUCCCAGAGUUCUUAAGCCAAAGCACUCUCAAGAUUCCAAGACAAAGCAGCCAAUUAUCAGAGCUCAUCAAAAGACUAUUAAUUAUGAUGAUACUGAUGAUCAUCAUAAGUUGACAGAUGAAGCAAGAAGGCUUCUUAAGGCAACAAGAGAGAUAGUAAACCUGAUGCAUAAAGAUUAUCAUGGAAUGGGUCGCCGCAAGCCGCCCAUAAACAAUCAUGAGCCACAACAUUGAGAUUGAGUCUGUCUAAUACUGGUUUAGCUAUAUAUCUAGGCUCACAAUUUUGCCCCCUUCCCCCACUAGGAAUAUUUAGUGAUCAGUCCCUUAUAGCUAGCCUAUACAGAAUAUGGUGUGUGCUUGUUUAAUUUAUUUGUUUUCUUUUUUUGAUCAAGCAUAGGAACUUUAACAAGUAGUGAACUGCUGUGUACAUUAAGUUUGCCUUCAUACACCUAGCCUCUGUGAAGUAAUGAUAUAUAUAUAUAUAUAUAUCAUAAUUUUGUGCCCUCUUCCUCCUUUAUAUAAUCUAAUUUAUUGUUUUUUCCUUAUGCAAAACAUGGUAAAAGGUAAAACAAGUCUUUAUCUCAGCCUUAAAACUCCACCAAAUGAAUUUGGCAAUUGUGUGUUUGGAUCAACUUCAGUUGCUCCUCCUAAAAUAUUAAUGGAUGGUCUCAUGCUUGUGGGCUCUGGAUCUUCAAUAUUUAUUUAUCAAUUCACUGGCAAGUUUAAACAUUUAGUUUAUAAGCUCUGCUGCAGGAGAGUACAAUAUUAUUAUUUCCAUGAUUUCCAUUAACCAAGAGCCUUGACAGAGCUAGCUUGAGAGGUAAUCAAUCUUAAUCAGUACAAAUUAAUAUGACAAUUAAAAAAGGACAAACUAAUCCCAUUUUUUAAAUUGACCUUGCUGAUGGGCUGAUGCAUAAUGGAUUAUGUUAUACAAUUACAUUUCUACAAGUUGCUUGAUGUUUAAGGGGGUGCAAACAGUUGAACCAUUGAAGCAGCCUGUAGCUAUAACGGAGGAUACAGAUUCAGUAAGGUGGAAAGCAUCCCAGAAGAAGUAAUUGUUUGGUUCUAAGCAUGGUGCAAGCAAUGGAAUGCUCUCUGAAGUCCCAUCUGCCCAAGUAGUGCAGCAUGGAUUGCUUCCAUCGAUUAGCCCUGCUCGAUUGAUACAUAUCUCAUUAACAUCGAAUCGAUUAACAACAAGAAAAAUCAGAGAAAAAAUGAGACAACUUGGUUUUUGAAGUUUACCAUAUUUAACAGGACUUGUGAUUGCAUCAUAGCCGAUCCAAUUAGCUCGACCAAGAACAAAGAAAGAACCUUGGAAAGUGUUUGUCAAAUUUGCCAGCGUCACACGAAGAUUUUCAUUAAAAAUUGUGGCUAGCACGUUUGUAUCUUCCACACAGUUUCCACUGUGGUUAUGUGUCUUUGCAAUUGAUGGAAUGCAUCCAAGGGGACCAAUUUCAAACGUGACUAUUUUCCUGGCUCCCAAAUUGUACAUCCUCUGCACUUUUGCAAUAAGAACAACAAGCUUAUCAUCCAUUUUAACAUUGAAUGAGCAGAGAAGGAAGGGAUGAGAGUUUGGUACCUCCAAAUGGUUAGCAAGCGCAUCCAUUAAGAGUUGUGCAAAUUGUUGAGGAGAGUAGCGUUGACUUGUAUCGAACGCUUUGAUGUAAAGGUAGUUAUUGAUGAAAUCAUUGCUACCAAUAGAAAACAGAAAUAUAGAUUUGGAUAGGUAGUGCAGAAGAUCAUGGGGAUUUUGGAACUGUCCUGGCAAGUCUGACUUCACCGUUCUUUGAAACAAAUCUAUCUGGUCUUUUAGAUUCAAGCAUUUCCCCUGUAAAAGAACACCAAAUAAAAAAAGAAAGAAACUCAUAGUAUAAAACUAUAUAUAGCUGCCCUACUAUAGAAAAUUCAUGCAUGGUGGGUGCAUGAACAAUAAAGAUUGGCAGGAUUGAAUAUCUAGAACUGGUUCUUCACAGACUCAUGGGUCAUGACUAUCUUACAAAUUGGCUUCCGGUUUCAGGUAGAAUGCCACAAGAACCAGAUGCAUAAUUCAGGCCUUUAAGUGCUGUGUUUGAUCCACGUAUGCUCAUGUAUGGUGGAGGAUAUGGUAGCUCAAGAAAUUCAGCUUAACAAAAAAGACAACACAGAAACCAUAGGUACUAAGUUAGAGUCAAUAAUAUUCAUGAACUGAAACCAAACCAAAGUUACAAGUAUUUGUUUUGGGCAAUAAUAAUAUCACCUAUAAAAUCUGCCACUGUUCUGCCAUUGGUAAAUCUUCCAGUGACUCCCUUGACAAAAUUCACCCCAUAAGGCAAGUAAUCUGCCUUACAAACAGUUGGUAAAAAAUUAUUGUUACCACUGUCAAACAAAGAAUCCCCAAACACAUACAAUGCUGGUGCAAUUGGCAAACCAUGAAUCUGCAGUGAAUGAAAGUGCAAGGAAAUUGUGAACAAGAAAAUAAGUGACAUUGGUUUCAUUCUCAUGUUCUGCAACAUUGCUUUGAUGCAAAUGCUGAAUUUGCUGCUAGUGCUUUGUGUGUGUGUGUGUGUGUGUGUGUGUGUAUACAAUUUGUUGGGAGGAAAAUGCUGAUUGUCCAGUCACAUGGAAGAUCAAUUGGUGUGAGCUUUUAAUGAGGUGGAAAAUUUCGGUUGAGCUUAUAGUGAGGUGGGGAUUUCGGUUUGGGGUACAUGUAUAGGUAACUGAUAUGAGAUGAGUUGUUUCAACUCUUUUGGAAAGUGAUUGAAUCAAGGCAGCGGCCUAAUUGUACAACCCUUUUUUUUUUUUUUUCUGGGGUUGAAAGUUACUUUAUGAAUUUAAGGGGUCCAACUUCACAUUUCAUGUGACCACUGCAGCUCCAAAGCUAACUGAUGCUGCAAAUUUUGGUUUUGGGGUCAUGGAUUGCGCCUACUGAUCAGUGCUGAUCAUUAGUUUUGAUAUAUGGUGCAAUAAUUGGGCAACAUUUACACAAGGGAAUGAAACUAAGGUAAUGAGCAUGAAAAAUGGUGAUCAUUAUCUGAUUAGAAACCACUUGAUUGGGUUUCCAUGUGAAAGUUUAGACUACAUCCAUCUUUAUGAUUAGGCUUCCAACCACGAAAGCCCCAUUUUUUGAAGCGUGCUUUGCUGGGCUACUAGCAUGGGCCCAAAGCACUCACAUUGGGGCAUUGAAGCUACAAAGUGGAUCAUAAACCAUUUGUGAAUAAAAAAUAGUCCAAGUAGGGUUUGUGGCUUGGAAUCAUUUUAUAAUGAGAGCCUUAAGAUGAAGCCCUAUCUAUUAACCGUGCAGUACCGUCUAACCAAUCCUCUUUUCAGCUCUACCUAACCCUGCCAAGGAUAUUAGUCUAUGUAGCUCUAACCAAUCCUCCUCAAUAGUUGAAUAUUUGUUUGGGACAAUAUAUAUGCCAAGUCAUGAUACUCUUCUUGAUUAGCAAAAACCAGUUCAAGUGGAUGAUGACAAUAUAUAAAUUAUAUAAAAUAUGUAAGAGAAUAGAAAAACAACUCAAAAUUCACAUUAUUUUCUUUAGCUGUAUUUCUCUUUGUAUUUACAAUUAUUUUCAUCUCUCUUCUUAUCUUCGUUUUCUUGGUUCAAACAGAUUACAGAUUUGCGAAAGAAAGAACAACAAUAAAUUAUGGAUUUGUUGGAAAAGAGAGAAAGAAAAAAAGAAGGAAAAAAAUCGAAUGAAUUAUUGAAGUUAAGGGACCGCAGAGAAUAUUUCUUCCCAUGAUCCUACUUAGACCGUGUCAACCCACCCCAAAAAAUAUCGUUUUGAUUGAGCAUAUUUGGUUGACCCACAAGGAUGAAUAUUUGCAUUAAGUAGCAUGACACAACCCACUUGCUAACCUAAGUUGAAGCAGCCAAGGAUGGAGGCUUACACAUGCAAGCAUGUAAGGCAUUUUUCUUCAUUAUCACUAACACUAUUACCAUUAUUAUUAUUUUAAAAAACGCAAUUAAGGUAUGUAUGUCAGUGUAUCAGUAUUUUAAAUUAAUCACACAUUGUCAUACAUUGUCAUAUAUUUUAAUUGUAUCAUAUUGUAAUUCGUAAUUGACUUGAAAUAUUAUUGGCAUUUUAACUUUCCACCAAGACCAUGGAAUUUAUUCCGUGGACCAUGAGCUCAAAGCGACAAAUUGACCCAACCAAACAAAGAGAAAGCAUAAGAAUUAAAGGCGUCCUGCAUCUACAUUAACGAGGCAUUGGUAUUUGGUACGGCUGAAUAAGACCCAUAUGUAGUUUACAACUUUACCGGCUUUUGCUUUGCAUUAUGUGAUAUAAUUCAAUUUAAUUUUCCUAGGCCUACCAUUAUAUUAUUAUCUUUCCCUUUAACGCCUCAACAGAACACUUCUACCAGUUAACGUUAAGCCCAUAAAAAAACCGCGUCUUCUUUUUAUUCCAUCAACUCCCAGUCCAACUCAGCCACCAGUGUUUUUCCUUCAGUUUCUUCUCUGGCUGUUUACAGUUUCUUUUCUUCAACUGGGUCUCUGUAACAACAAUCAGCAGAAGAGUCAACGAAACUGAUCCCAUCAACUUCUCUUUGGGUUUUCAGCUGGUUAGGUAUGUGUGCUCUUCAUCAAUUCAUCGGUCUUUCUUGAUUUUGAGAAUUUCUGCUUAUUUGUGUCUUUUGGUUGGUUCUGAUGCCUGGGCUCAUGCGUUCUGGUUUUGAUUAUAGAGCAUGAUAUAUAAGGUUGUGGGAAUUUGGAAGGUUGAUAGUUAAUUUCAAUAUAUCUAUGUUGAAUUAUUGCUUCUUCUUUUUUAUAUGCAAAUAAGAGUCUACCAUUUAUGCCAACUUCUGCGUCAAGUCUUGGUUGGCGGUACCCAUACAAAGAAAGAAAGCAUCUUAACAUGUAGUAAUAAUUUAGUAGAAAACCAAAAAAAAAAAAAAAAGGUUCUUUUGCAGUUUUUGAGUUUCUCUACUUAUGCCCAGUUGAUAGUAUGCUUAUCCUAUGGCUCUAUCUUUAGAGAAGCAAGCAAGACACAAUUUUUAUGGAUAAAAAUGGUGGAUAUAUUAUGUCUACUAAACGAGUUACACAAUUUAUAUCUGGAAAGUGCACUGAGUUCGUUGUGAAUCAGGCAAUGUGAGGAAGUAACAGAUCGUACAUUUAUUUCAGAAAGAUAUGUAGCACUCUAACUAUUGUGGUUUUCAUAUUGUUAAUCAAAUAUUAUCAUGUUUCCAUUAUCAAUAACCCAAUCAGAUUUUGAAUUUCACUUGUCAUGCUAAUCCAUCAUUUCUGGAACAAGCUUACAUAAUGUGUUUUGCCCAUCUUAUGACAGAUAACCUGCGGCAAUUUUGCCCUGCAAGAUGUUCUCAUUGCCUGAAUCUCAUAAGAGACCAAAGAAUGGUUCAUCAAACUGAUCUUGUUAUCAUCGGCGUCUCUGUUGGCGUAGCCCUUGGAAUUUUGAUAGCUUCACUCAUAUUUUUUGGCAUAAGGUGGUAUAGAAAGCGUGCUCAUCUUCGGCGAUGUGCUAAUGAGCGUAGUUUGACAACUCUUCCGAUACAGGCAAAUGGCUUAGGUACAAGCACUGACUAUAGCGCAUCUCUUUCAACUUCCAAAGCUAUUCAAGGAUCCGAGAACCUUCAAAAAAAUUCUCCGCUCUCUUGGUGGAAUCAUCAAAACAAAGAUCGAUUUGUUUCUGCGCCAGGCGUACUUAGAUACUCUUACAAGUAUGUUGAACCUUCUGCGCUAUAGAAAAAUUACAUAAUGCUGUUACAGUUUAUAUUUCUCCAUUUUGUGGGUACUAAAAAAUAUUCUAUUAGGUUAAUAGUAGAACCUAUACUUGGACCUUGUGAGGUAUUGAGUUGAUAUGCUAUGAUAUAUGGUGCAUCCAAUGUAUGUUAUACUUUUCAGGGAUAUACAGAAAGCUACUCAAAAUUUUACUACCCUUCUGGGACAAGGUUCUUUUGGUCCGGUGUAUAAAGCAAAAAUGGCUGCUGGAGAGGUAGUAGCUGUGAAGGUGCUUGCUUCCAAUUCUAAGCAGGGAGAGAAAGAGUUCCAAACAGAGGUAAACGCUACAUCAAGUAAAUCCUGUGAGAAACCAUCUUCCUUCAUGCCCAUAGAAUUGAUACAAAAAUACUCACGUAUGUUGUAGAAUUCACAACCAAAAAUGAUUUCUUUGCUCUUAUGGUCCAAAGAAUACAUAAAAUGGAAUGUAACAUUUUCAAUAUUUUACUCAAAAGCUUGGAACAAUAAUAAAAAACAAUGCAAUUCUGGACAUGAACGCAACAAGACAGUCCUCAGGAGUCCGGUUUCUGGUUUCCAAAUUGACAAUCUGACCAGUUAUCACUGGUUAACUUAUGAUUGGCCGUCUCAAUGUUUAUAUCCCACAAAACAGGUUGAGUUUCCAUUAAUUUAUGUGGUCUUGCUGCAGGUAUCUCUGCUAGGAAGACUGCAUCAUCGCAAUCUAGUGAAUCUACUAGGAUAUUGUGUAGAUAAGGGGCAGCAUAUGUUAAUCUACGAGUUCAUGCGUAAUGGCAGCUUAUCAAAUCUUCUGUACAGUAAGUUCAGAAGCUCCUGUUUUUAUCCAUAUCAAAAAUCAAGAUUUCUCUUUGUUGUAGUAACUAGAAGCUAGGUGAUAUCUAAUUCAAAUGGAAGGUGGAAAAAUUUACUGAGUCUAUGUUGCUUGGUAGUUCCAAAUCGUGUAUUUCACCUAGAGACAUCUCUGUAUCUUUUUUUUGUUUCAGUAACUGAGAACUUGACUAAAACUUCUUUUCGGAAGCCUUUUGGGUUGAUUUAAGAAUCAUCUUCACGUAGGUGAAGAACAACAGGUCUUGAGCUGGGAUGAAAGGCUACAAAUUGCUCUGGAUAUUUCACAUGGAAUUGAGUACCUUCAUGAAGGGGUAGGAUAUAUAUCUGUAUCCUUGUUUUGUUAGUGAACAAUUAAUUUUGUUCACCUCUCUCAUAUGAAGUUUAUUUGAACAGGCAGUCCCACCAGUCAUACAUCGUGAUUUAAAGUCUGCUAAUAUACUUUUAGACCAGUCAAUGAGAGCUAAGGUAAGAAAAUAACCGUAUAUGAUGCAUGCUAGGCAGCUGGCACAUGCAUGGUAGUUAAUAGUGAAUGUUAUCAUAUUUAUGUUUUCAUUUCAAUCUGUCCUCACCUUCUCCUGUGCAUUAGGUUGCUGAUUUUGGAUUGUCUAAGGAAGAGGUUUUUGAUGGCCGGAAUUCUGGCCUGAAAGGUACUUAUGGCUACAUAGACCCAGUCUACAUAUCUACAAACCAGUUCACAAUGAAGAGCGACAUCUACAGUUUUGGAAUUAUCAUAUUUGAGCUAAUAACAGCCAUCCACCCUCACCAAAACCUAAUGGAAUAUGUUAAUCUUGUGAGUUUCAUGCACUCUGCAACAUAAACAUAUUGUUUACACAUAAUUCUGUUGCGAAGCUUUUUAACUUUUUUCUCUUUUUCCUUUAAGGCUGCUAUGGCCCCAGAUGGUGUAGAUGAAAUACUUGAUAAGCAACUAGUUGGAGAGUGCAAACUUGACGAAGUGAGGAGGCUAGCUAGAAUCGCACACAAAUGCUUAGAGCAAUUACCAAGAAAGAGACCUUCCAUAGGAGAAGUUUCACAGGGUAUAUUGAAGAUAAAACAGAGGCGUCUUGCCAAAGAAGAUACCAUGUCUUUCGCAGGCGAAGAAUUUUCAAGGGCUGUAAGCCGAAUAGAGAUUCAGCAGGUGGAGCUGAGUAGGAUAGCUAGCAUGAAAGAUAGAGCGACUGAAUGACCAAUAAGAAUUUUGUUUCCUUUUUGAGCUUAUAUUGGUUUUUCUGGUUUCGAAUUCGAUCCUUUGAGACGUUUUUGGGUGAAUACAAUGCAAGGCAAAAUCAAGUUUUUAAAUUUAAGCCCAUCGUUCAAUUUUAUUGUUGUUAACAUAUGCAAAUUAACCAUAAUAACGGAGGAGAAAGCACUUAAGUCAUCACCUAAUAACAAGGGGUCAAAACAUGCAUUGCAUCUUUAACCUCAUAAGAUAGUUUAUAUAUACACAACGCUGUUCCUUCUGCCAUUUGGCAUGGCAGAUUUAUUCACUCUCAACACAGUCGACACAAUGUGGAAGACAAAAAAGACAAAGGAAUUGAAACAUACGGUUCUCGCCUCCAUUGGCCGACUCCCAAGGGUAAGACUCAGGAUGCCAGCAGUCCCAUAAAUAAACUUGUGAAAGGAGGGAAAAAAAAAAAAACAAAUAACACCCCGACCCCGGUGUCAAACCCUACAACAAGUACUCUAAUAACUCCAAUUUAUUUAUCUAACAAUAUUCCCUCAAAACUGGCAUGAAGUCCCCAACCUCUGUCUCUGCCUCUGACCCACAUUCCCUGCAUUGCGAUUUGCAAAAGCAGGGCGCAGCAAUCUCUGGAAAUUCUCAAGAAACCGCAUCCAUUCCUCUUCAUUCAUAUCUGCCAAAAUCACAAAAUUACUGCUCAUAGGCCGCUGCUCAUUCACGCUCCUAUUUCCUGAGGAUGUGCCAGCCAAAUAGCCGUUCUUCUGCAUUGAGCCUAGGUGUCGCCAACUCUUCUCACCAAAGCUGAUGUUUUUCAAUGAUGUUGACAGCUUUGAAACGUUUGGAAUCCGAUCCUGCACUACACUAACACAGUCAUCUGACCUUGGAGGUAACUCAUUUCCCUCGUGCCCUUCCAUACCCUCCUCCACACUCUCCUCUAGUUUGGAUAGUAAAUAUCUUCCAUUUCCACCUUUUGAUCCAAAACGGAAAGUCCUUUCAGUUUUCAUUUUCUCUUCAGUAGUUGGAGCCAAAUCCAGCUCCUCCUCCUUCCCACAGUCUAGCUCAAACUGGAACUCCUCCCUGCCUGCUUUUGGCUCAAAAUAAGAUAUUUCCUCAUCCAACAGUGUCUUUGCUUCAAUGCAUAUUAUCUCGAGUUCACUCGGCUCCUCCUCAUGGCCCCGAUAUUCCCUACUCAUCAUCUCACCAAUCUCAGAAAGACAGAGGCCAAAGGCUGCAGCUUCCUUGAGAAAAAUCGUGCACAGAACCAAGACUCGGAGGCAUGCCUCUCGAAUCAUGGGCAGCUCCAUUCUGAGCAUAUCAGAGUCCUUAAAAGGGUCAAGUUUAUUUAUAUAUGCAAGCUCAUCAUCUGAGAAAGGAAUUGAUGCCUGCGGCCAGUGUAUCCACUCAAAGUAUGGAUCCUCUAAGCUUUCAGGUAGACAAAGGCCAUGAUCAAUGGGUACAAGCUCUAUCCGACCAAACCUCCCACCACCAUCAAGCUUCCUAACCAGAAGGUUCCCUGCAUGCCUGUCUGUGUUAAGAAUCCGAAUAUCUAGAAUCCCUAUUCUAUGCACAGCAGCAACUGGGAAGCUGGAAGUCCCAUGAUCACUGGCAUCAAAAUCAUGAGGAAUGAAUUGCUGCAGUGAUGCAAUCUUACUUGCUUGCUUUCCGUUUCGAUGCACAUUACCCUUCACUCCAUCAUUCACAUUAAAAACUGAAUGUGUGAUCUUCACAAGAGCAGUGUCAGGCACAUUAGCAAAAUUAUUGUAAUCAAGAAGGAAAGCUGCAACUUCUCUGAAACCUGUCUCCCCAACCCGUACUGAACGUUUGAGACCUGGCUGUCCAAGUACUUUCCCAACAAAACCUUUUGGGUUGUUUGGAGCAUAAGGUUCCUCAUCCGUCGGUUUCACAAUGGCAAUAUUUUCACCACUGCAAUUUCUAAAGUAAUAUGCACCUCCAAGCCCACCGUGAACAGGAACUGGAUCAAUGCCAUUUCUUAUUGCCUUCACAAUAUCCACAACUAAUUGUUUUGUUCUGGAAAAUUGAUCCGAGUACCCCAGUACCUCAAUUGGACCACUCUGAUCCCUCUGCUGAAGAUCCUUCCCAGUUGGCGAGAGACAGGGGGUAGACAAGCUUCUGUGCAAGAAGUUCCGGGUGAGAAGAAGCGGAGAAUCAUUUCGAACAAUGCUGAGAUCAUUCUUCAACACCAUGUCACCACAUACCAAUGAACUCUCAUCAGUUGGGACAUCAAGUGCAAGCCGUAAUUUCCUCUUCACUGUGUGGACAUUGUCACCCCUAUCUAGCUCUAUGCCCAAAACAGAACCACUUUCCGUCUGCACAAACACACGUCUCUUGCCAGAAUUUUUUCUUUCCAAUGUCUUUUUCCCAUGGUACUCACCAUUAAGAGGUCCUUUGAAGGUUGCAACUGCCAUCUGGUUAUGUACAGGUUUACCCAAUUCAGGAGACAUGAAAGGAAGCAGAGAAGUGGCAAGUUCCAACGCCGGCAGCAGAGGCAGCGGCAGCAGAGAGCUUCUCUCUCACGCAGACGCCAAACUCAAAUGCCGGCACUAAUUGAAGGAAAAUGUUUGUAAUGUAAACAAUCAUAAUCAAACUAGUAGAAGACAACUGAUUUUCACACUGGAAAAGCUAUAACGAAGAAGUCACCCACUUUGCCAAUUUGCUACAUUGCAGAGGCCACCUGAUAAUGACACUGGCAGGCUAGCUAUUCCAGAAUAACACAUUCAUUAGAUAAUCUUUUAAAGAAUAGUGAUUUACAAAGAAAUAAAAGUAUAAGAUAAAUCUUCUUUUUACAUCUGUUUCUUCCAAUCCCUAAUACUUGAAGAGUUUGAAAGGAAACAAAUAGACGUCCUUAUCUGAAAACGAUUCACUCAUUUGGUGACCCGGUACAUACAUCCAUAUUUACAAUCAUGCAUGCAUGCAUACACACACACACACACAGACAGGUAUAUAUGUGUGAAAAAAAGGGAAUCUUUUUCUCUGAAAAUUCUUAUGACAAAAAGCAGUCUGAUCAUCAACUUGAAACCCAAAUUACAACGCCAAGAAUCAACUUUAAAUUUCUUGUCCAUUCAAAUCUCCUACUCAAAGCUCUUCACUUUUUUUUUUCUUCAAAAUUUCUCCUCCGAAUCAGUAAUUUAAAAAGUGCUGGGAAUUUUUUAACUUGUCUAAUACAUAAAACUUAACGAAGAAAGCACAAAACAUAAAUAAAAAAAAACAAUGCCAUAAGAAUAAUACAAAUAAUCGAAAUUGAUCCCAAACUCUACCGUAACAAUAGGACACAAACCUGAGAUUCAAAUGGAAGCGAAAUCGAAGCUAAUCGCGGUCUGAAAAUUGUAAAAACUCACUAAACAAUAGUGUUUUCUAAUGGAGAGCUCAGACAAAAACGAAAGAGUGAGACUCACCGGAGACCGCGAUGCAGGGCAACCGGACGGCGGAGCUUACCGGAGAUCCACCGCCGUUGAGACAAGACUGAAUCGAAGACCGAGGGCGGGGAUUGGAUGAAAGAGAUAUCAACGGCCAGAUUUGAUUUGAUCGGACCUCAAAAUCAAUGCUGUUAACAGUUCUUCUCUCUCCCGCUUUUGGAGUUUUUCGUCUCUAACUCCCAUUCGCGAGAAGCGGAAGGGGGUUUAACGAAUAAUUUAACUUUCUCUUUUUUAAAUUCGAAAUAAAGGAAGAAAAUUACGGGCAGUAAUAAUAUGUGCGCGUUAUUUUGCCACGUGGGUGUGCGUCGUUCGUUCAACGGUAACGUGGCGGGUUUUCAUCUGAUUUGGGUUGUGUGACGUUACUGGGCCCUGAGAUGUCCAAUGGCAGUGAAGGAUGUGACUCCAUGAGAGUUCGCCGUUACGGACACGUGGUGGUUUCUCUUGACGAUGGUGGUGGGAAAGAAAGAUCUAGAACUUGAAAUUUCCAAAUCAUUGUUGGGCCUCAUUUACUUACUGGUCUUUUAGUCUUUAACCCCGUCGACGGCGGUCCAUUAAUGGAUUGAACGAUGGUCUAAAUGUUGGGCUUAAAACCAGUCCAUUUCUCAAUUUUUGAUAUAUAAAAAUGUGUGUAUGAAAUGUGCGCUAAAUUUGAACUUUUAUUGUUAACACUAUAUAUGAGAUUUAGUGUUCGAAUUUCCCUCCUUCAAUGUCGUUUAUAUCCAAAAAAAAAAUUUACCUACUAACAGAAGGUAAUGAGUUACGAGUGACGGAGAGUUAAUAAUUAUUUAUUGGUAAUGUUAUAUUGGAGUUAGAAAAACGGUGGAGGUGCGUCCACUCAAUCUACACCAAAGUGGUAAAAAAUGGGUUACCACCUUUCCCCUUGCGUUACCUUUUUCUAUUGUCCACAACCUUGUCCUAACACCUAACUCAAAAGAAAAAGCACAAAAAAAAAAAAACAAAGUUACCAACUAACAAAAAAUUGAACUUUCCACCCUUGUUUUUUGCCCUAGCAUAACGAAAAGGUAGUCAAGCCUUGAUGUACUUUACAGCAACUGUCUUCUGAUUAAAGAGAAGGUCUUUACAUAGAAUCCAAGUCCCCAUGGAGUAAAUAAUUGACCAUAAUAAAGUUAAAAGUGUGUGCAUUGUCAUUUAGAAGAAAUAAACAUAUGACAAAAGGAAAAAAAUAUUAUUGUGAAAUUAUGGGAAAAAGACAUAAACACCAUCAGUCCCUUUUAUUUGUUUAUUUAUUGUUUUCAAUACAAUUUUUUUCCUUCCUCAUUUUGUAAGUGGCACCGACUUCGUGUCUAUUUAAUAAAGAAAAAUCAUUUGAAUUUGAAAUCUAUUCUAAUAUUAGAAAUAGAAAUACCACUAGUACAUCGAUUCUCAAUUAGGGCAAUAUUAGAAAGAGUCAAAUGCUGGUCAACAACAAUAACUCAUGCAAGCAGUUUCUUCUUCACAGUCAACUUUCAUUGAUUCUUCUGCCCCAACCCAAAACAGUUCCCACUCUUUCUUUAAACACUCCUCAUCACCCAAAAGUUUCUCUCUUUUAUAUUUGAUUCCUCCUUUCAGAUUCUCAUCUCCUACAAAAAAAAAAAAAAAAAAAGAAAAAAAGAAAAAAAAACCCUUCGGUCUUUAUAGAGAGUCACACAACACAACCAUACAAAGCCCCCAAAAAGCCAAACUCAUCCAAUCCAACCAAAGACAUAUAAAGCCACAACCUUCACCAUUGGACCCCAAAAAAAAAAAGACACGACCUUUACCUCACGUGACCAAACUCAAACUCCAUCCCAUUGCUUUCAAUCAACAACUUUACCAAAUCUUGGAAAAUAUUAGCCAACGCUUAAUCUACACCUCUGCCCAACACCCCUCACAUGUCCCAUUUCAUUGGGUCGUCUUAUCCACUCUCUGGAGUGGAGAGUGGGCUUUCAUGAGACAAAGAUUUAUGAAAAACAUAAAAAUACUUAAAUGUAAUAAAAUACCAUGUCUGCUCCAUCCAACUCAAACACUCAAAUGUUGUGUGCAUCUCACUCGCACGUGCCGCCCCCCUCUCUCUCUCUCUCUCUCUCUCUCUCUCUCUCUCUCUCUCUCUGUGACAUCCCUUUCUACUAACCACUGCAGUCCUCUCUCUGUUCAUCUUUGCUUCUGCAAUCUAGUAGGAGACAGAUUCUUUUAGGUGGGUUUUAAUGAAAGGAUGGGAAAGAUGGUGUUUAAGUCCAAAAUGAAAUGGGUUGGUUUGCUUGGUCUGGUUCUCUCAGCUAUAUCUCUCUUUGUUCACUUUUUGCUGGCUAGAUUCACAGAAGGGGGUGUUUCAGAGUACCACUCCUCAAUCACAAUCUUCCCCAGGCGAACCAUUGGUGAAAGCUUGAAUUUUUCGAAGACUGUAAUUGCACUAUCCCAACUAAGAUCUCAUUUUUCUUUUUCUUUUUUUACAUUUGCUAUGUUUGCUCUGUCCUUAAGUGCUCUCUCUCUCUCUCUCUCUCUCUCCCUCUCUCUCUCUCUCUCUCAUAGAGAUUCAUGUUUUUCUUAAAUUUGAUUCUCUUUAUAGCUUUGCUUAUUGUCCAAAGUGUUAUCUGUCUCUGGGUUUCAAGUACUCGUUUCUGCUGGGCAAGACUUGUUCUUGCUCUAAAGAGUGGGAAUCAGUGUUUUUCUGGUGAAAUUGGUUUUGGGGACAAUAUUGCAUUGGGAUUUUGCUGGUUUUCUGAAACCCGCCUUUUACAUGAAUUAUUUUGUUAGUUUGAGUGUGAAUUAGUGUGGAUCCGUUUUUGUUCAUUUAUCUAUUAUUAUUUUCCAGUUAACAUUGGAAGAUUUUGGAUAUUAUCUGGACUGUUUAGUUUCACUAUUGUCUGUCUGUUGUCUAUGAUGGCUACUUAUCCCUCUACUUUCGGGUGCAGAGUCCAAUGUAUAGAAGGCUAUGGGGACCCGUUAGACAUCUGGAAUCUUUGCAUCCCAAUGCAAAUCCCAGAGGACACUAUGCUGGUUAGGCCACUUUUCAUCUUGCUAGUGAUUUCUGUAUAGGUGUAGUGCGCCCGGGAGGCUUAUGUUAGAUAAUUAUUAGUUAAAGGUUUCCUAUGCAAAAUUAAUGCUACCAAAAGGUUGAUGAUAACCCUUCUUUCUCUGUAUUUAUCUAUUUAAAAUCUUACUUUAGGAGAGUGCUGCCUUCCAUGUUGGGGUCAUCGAUUUAAUCUGGCCAGUGAGCAUAUUAUAGUAGAGUUUCCUACAAGCCUACAAGGAAAUGUUUCAUGUCUUAACUUCGGAUAUUGAAACCCUGAAAUUUUGGGUUCAAACUGUUAUUUAUUAAUGUAUAAUUACCAUAGCUAAGUCUUGGGGUAGGGAUAGAAGAUACUUUUCCAAUUUUCUUACAGUCGAUACCUGCAGAGUCAAAAUUAUGUUAUCGUCUAUUUUUUGGUAGUAUUAAUUCUAUAGAUGCCUUCUAAAGUUAAAUAUGUGUCACAGAUCCUGGUUCCGAUACCAGCGGGUUUAUCUUUGUAAGGAUACAAGGCGGGUUUCAUGAGAUCAGGAAUUCGGUAAGGGUGUCAUGCUUGAAUAGCCUGUUCUCCGUUAUAUUUAAAUGUCAUAUAAGUUUACAACCAGAGAAUCUUAUUGAUUUUUCAGAUAUGUGAUGUAGUUGUGGUUGCUCGGUUUCUUAAUGCAACAUUAGUCAUUCCUGAGAUACAAUCAACCACAAGCAGCAAAGGCAUCAGGUUUCUUUUCGGACAAUCAUUACAAGGCUUUGUUUGUUUAUGACCUAAUAUUGAUGUGUUGAGUACUUAUUUCUUUGUUGAUUUAUUGUGUCUAAUGUUUUCAUGUAGCUCUCAGUUUAAGAGUUUUGCCUAUCUCUACAAUGAGGACCAAUUCAUGGCGGCUUUAUCAAAAGAUGUCAAAGUUGUGAAGACCCUUCCUAAAAAUCUGAAAGGGCUGAGGAGAAAAAAGAACAUUCCAGUUUUUAAAGUGCCUUACUCUGCUUCACCGUAUUACUAUAAGCACCAUGUUCUUCCAAUUUUAAAGAAGCAUUUAGUAGUUGAACUAGUUGUGUCUGAUGGAGGAUGCUUGCAGGUACCAAUGUCUGUUCUCUCUAUUGCAUUGUACUCAUAAAUGCAGAUUCCUGCACUGAGUAUAUCUUGGUUUGAUGAUAUAAUUGUUACUAGCAAUAAUCUCCUUUUCAUUUUGUGACGUUACUACUUUGUUUGGAUUUAAUGCAGGCUAUCCUGCCACCUGAUCUUGAAGAAUAUCAGAGGCUGAGAUGUAGGGUUGCUUUUCAUGCCCUUCGGUUCCGGGAGGAGGUCCAAGAACUUGCCACUAAAAUUUUACACAGGUCAAUUACCAGCCGUCAUUACUCUUCUCUCUUCACCCUCUAUUUAUACAUAUCUAAUGUUUUUCUCAUCUGGAUGGCUUUUAACAUAUAUUUACUAUUGCUUUAGAUUAAGGGCUCCUGGACAGCCAUUUAUAGCAUUUGACCCUGGAAUGACCAGGGAAGCUUUGGCAUAUCAUGGUUGUGCUGAACUCUUCCAGGUAAUUGCUUCAAACCUGGAUUGCAUGAUGAACUCUCUUUUUGGAAUGCUUUCACAGCAUUUGAUUUGCAUAUGUUUGAAACUCUUCCCAAGGAUGUGCACACUGAACUCAUUCAGCACAAAAGACAUUGGAUGAUAAAACGUGGAAUUGUCAAGGGGAAGCUUUCGGUGAAUUCUGCAGAACAACGCCUUAAUGGUUCUUGCCCACUAAUGCCAGAAGAGGUAAGAUACAACAUGCCUACAAUACAAAAGUAGUGUUCAUAAUCAUACCAACCCCCUUAGUUCUUAUAUAUACUACCAAGUCUUUUUAGUGUUAAAUUCACUAGAGAAAAAUACUGCCCACAUCCUUUGAUAAGAAAUGACUUCUCAUGGAGCCUUUUAUUUUUAUUCCUUGGAUUGCUACAGAUUGGUAUUGUUCUUCGUGCAUAUGGGUACUUGUGGGACACAAUAAUAUAUGUCUCUGGGGGAGAAAUUUUUGGUGGCCAAAGGACAUUGAUCCCUCUUCGUGCAAUGUUUGAAAAUGUUGUUGAUAGGACUUCCCUCAGCAUGCCUUGGGAGCUCAGUAGGAUUUAUGGUCGUGAGGCUAACCUUGUUGAUCGCAAUCCUGGGAGUCCACCUAUGAUUGAGGAAGAGAUGAAGAUUGAAGCAUGGAAAACUGCAGGGCCACGUCCUCGCCCGCUUCCACCACCUCCAGCUAGGCCCAAAUCCUAUAACAUUGAAGGUUGGUGGGGUUGGGUAGCUGAGAGUGAUAAUGAGCCUGAUAGUACAGUUAUGGAAUUGAGGACCAACGCCCAUAAACUACUGUGGGAAGCAAUUGAUUACGUGAUAUGUGUUGAAGCUGAUGUAUUCAUCCCUGGAUUCGAUCUUGAUGGUAAGGGGCAUCCAAAUUUUGCAAGCUUAGUCAUGGGACACCGACUCUAUCAGUCAGCUGCAUCAAAGACAUACAGGCCAGACAGGUAUGUUGCUUUAUCCGGACAUAUGUGUGUGCACAUGAUUAAUAAGUCGAAGAUAUUUUACUGUUUGCUGCUUUUCUUUGACAUAAACUAUGAAAAGUAAAUUUUUUCUUGAAUCAGGAUUACGAUGUAGGAUUUAUUGAUUUGAAGCAUUUGAGCUGUUAGUUUAUUCACAGUCAAGGUGUUCUGAUCCAAUACUUCUACUUUCUUGGUUCUUUUUCUUUCAAAGUUUGAUGUGUUUAUGGACACAGAUAUGGCAAGUGGCUAGUAAUCUCAAUGCUACCUAUCUGCGUCUCUUUGCUUGUUUUUUUUUGUUUUUUGUAUUUUUUGCAAAUUAACUGACAAGUCUUGUUUGUAGCCUGGUUUUUUUUUGGUUUUUUUUUUUUUGUAUUCUUGAUAGCAUGGAAAUAGGGACUAAAUGAAGUUGUGAUCAUGGACUGCUAGGUCUAAAAUUACUCUAUGUAUACUUAAAAAUUAUGAGAAAUUGUUAUGUUCAUUUGCUUUCUCGUAGAUUAUGGUUGACUAUGUUUUCUAUAAAAUUAUUUCUUGUGCUUUUAUGAACACAGAAAAGAAGUCACCAAGCUUUUAGAAGAAAUUAGUGACCACCUUUACCAUGCAAAUCAUACUUGGCUGAUGUCAGUGCGCAAGAAUUUGAGGAAGAGAUUAGUUGAUGGACUAAUAGAAGCUUCCGCAAGAUCAAAACCACUGUCUUUUAUCUCUCAUCCUGUCCCAGAAUGCUCUUGCUUGAGGCAUGAUCCUGCGGGAAAAUCAAUUAAUGCUACAACAUCAGCUCAUGCUUCAACUUCUACUAGUCAUUCUCAAGUACUUGCUGCUCUUGGAGUUGUGCACUAUUGCCCUGCUUGGAUGGAGAAUGAUUUGAUACUGCAGUCAAAAGACAAGGAAAAUGAAGAAACUCUAGAUGAAGACGACUCCACGUCAUCAGGAUUGUUUUUCCGGAAAAAUAAUGGAUAUCAUGAAGGUGUUAAUGGAGACUUAAGCAACAAAGAAGAGACUCAGUUGGAUGAUCAAGAAGAGCUUGAGGGUGGAGAAAGGUAGUGAGGCUGAUUAACGACAUGGUCAUCCUACACGGCAGUUCUGUACAUAAAAGAUAUCUUCACUAGUAUGAUCCAAGCAAAUUUGGAAUCAUCUUCAGCUCCAACUUCAUAAGGGGAAAUGCCAGUUUUCUAACUGUGGUUCAAGAACACAAGACUCUGGGCUGAUUUGACUCUCGUUGAAGCAUUUACUCAUUUUUGUUGGGUUGUUUAAGCCCUUUUUACAAUUAUAUAGGUCAUUAUUUAACCCCACAACCAGUUUUGAUGUAAACUCGUAUGUUCUCCAUGAAAUUGUAGCUUUAGCUUAACCUCUCUAAUUUUGUAGGGAGUUUUGUUUGUUAGACUUGUUGAUUGAAUUAAAUUCUUUGCAGUGGUCCUCGUCAGAAAUUAUGCCACCAUUUGGUUGUUGUACUCGUUCAAACAUGAAUCCACCAUUUUGUGUGGGCGCCUUGUGAACAUAGAUAAUUGGAGUUUGAAGUUCAUGUUGAUUAAUCUUUUUUGCCCCUCACGUGUCUGGCAGAAGAAUAUGAAAGAAGACUGCACUAUGUAGUAAAAAUAUACAAAUUCCAUAUCCUUAUGAUUUUCAACAAGCCCAUCACAUAAGCAGAAACUGACUAAAAACACCUCUCUUUUUUAGUGAAACUCCCUCAUAUUCUUCAACAUGCAUGUUUAUAUACAACAGUUAUCAUUUGAGUGACUGCUGCCUAAUGUGACUAUUCUUGACUAAAGUAACAUGAUGACCAUCCUUGACAAAAUCAGGUGCUCAUGUUGUCUUUUGUCUAUGUUUAGAAGCCUUUUGAAGCUCUAAUGGCAAAUCAAACGAAUUGUACAUCCAUCAUAAUGUAGAAACUGGAAAGAACAUAUACAAACUCGCAUUUAACAAACUGUAGAAAAUAUAAACUCAAAAUUCUACUUCAAACUCGAGGAAGGAAUUUCGUCCAUAUUAUCUAAUGCAGAAAACAUCUCAUUCAUGAGAAACUAAAACAUAGAGCAAGGGUAUUGGGUACUUGUGUGCACACACUCCAAGAUCUUGUCAAUAACACAAUGACAUGUGAAAAUUUAUUUUACAUUUCGUUGCGUUAUUGACUGGAGAUAGCAAAAAAUGUUGUUCCCAUUGCGUGAGAGUUUCUCUCCAGGUCAGGUCCCACUCCUCGAUGCGACAACAUGAUAGCUGUGGACUGAUCAUGUUGUAGGGUAGGGUCCAUCAGGAAUCAUGGGAUGCAUCUCUAAGCCCAAGCCCACGUGGUCACAAGAAGAACAAUUAGCCCAAAUUAUGCCCUGGUGGCUGGCGGGUCACAUUAGUUCCAGUGGUGGCCACUACCAGAAUGAAUAAAUCAGUUAAUUAAGGUUUAAUAGUGGAAUUAAUUAAUAUUAAAAAUAAUUAAAUAUUUGUUAAGGUCUUUGGUUUUUAAGUUACUCGUUUAAAGAAUAGAAACAGUGCCACCUAGGGCUCCAAUUCCAUGGUUGUCUUUACUGUAACAACUGUCUGUACAAAAUCCAAAAUCCAAAGCUCCGCCAACAAGACCACACCUUUUUAACUAUUUCCAGACCCGUCGGACCCAAUUCGGGCACUCCCCUUCGACCAGGACCUCCCGCAUUUCACUACCGCCACCGCUCACACUCGCCGCACUCUCUUACAAACUCCUCCUAAGUACUCUCUCUCUCUCUCUCUCUCUCUCUCUCUCUCUCUCUCUCUGUGUAUCGUCAUAUUGGCUUCAUUUUAUUUAUUUAUUUAGGGAUAAAUUUAUUAUAUUUGUGGCAGUUACAGUAUAUAUCGGAGAUGGCGAAAGCUUCCAAGGGCCACCACGAUGAAUUUGAAGACGAUGAUGAAGAGUCUCAUGGAGGUAUCUCUCUCUCUCUCUCUCUCUCUAUGUGAGCUAGUUGUGGCUGCCUUGAGAAAUGAUUUUUUUGUUGUUGCUGUAAAGGAAUGAAGCUAAUAAUGAAUUGAUAGGGAAUUUGGCAGUGAAGGUAGAAGGGCAAGGCAGGGAAAAGAACCGGUCCAAGCAUUCCGAGACUGAGCAGCGUAGGAGGAGCAAGAUUAAUGAGAGGCAAGCUCAAAGCCUAAGCCUUUUUUUUUUUUUCCUCUUUGCAUUAAAUCACUCCUUCAAUUUUUCUUUUUCAAUUCUGCUUUGUACGUGUUUCCAGAGCUCGAAAAUUAUAGUUAGAAUAAGUAGAGGGAAAUUGGUUUUGCGUUGGAUAUGUUAUAGUUGCAGUAAAAGGUCUCUGUGUUUUCAUUUUCUUUUUUCCUUUCAUUUUUCAGACAAAAUGGGGCCUUACCAAUUGCCACAAUGUACCUACAGGAAAAGUUGGCAUUAUAUUUUCGUAGAUGUCGUACUUCAGUUGUGUGUUUUGUUGAAUUUUGUAUUAGGAAGAGAAAAAGAAGAGAGUUCAGGGUGGUAAAGGAGGACUUCUAAGCUGUAGAAAAUUCUCUUACAAGUAUUAAAAACUUUAAAAGUUCAAAAAUUUACAAAAUGUUUGACCUUGUGGGUACACAAUUUCAAGCCUAUUUGGCUAUCCAAAAUUGAAUUUGUCUAUUAGUCAUGCAGGUUAGCAAAUUUGAGGAUCGAAUGUUUAUUUAUUUAUUUAUUUAUAUUCAAUGAAAGCAUUAUGUGUUGACUUUUAAUUGUAGUCUUUGAUCCUUUUCUUUUUUGGUAUUAAGUUAGAUUGUUGGCGAUAUGAAGAUUUUAUCUUUCUGUUACUGUUGUAACUCUGUUUGCUGCUCUUUUAUGCUAUGCGGGUCUUUCUUUUUAAUAGCAUGGGCAUAAACUCUUCACUCACCUGGGCAAUACAUAUUUCUGAGGCAGAUUUCAGAUGUUGAGAGAUCUCAUACCCAAAAAUGAUCAGAAAAGGGAUAAGGCCUCAUUCUUGUUGGAGGUACACAUUCCAUUUGCACUCUGCUUAUGUGUUGAUAAUACUUUACCCUCAUUGUCAUAUUAUUUUGAUAGAACAUGCUCUGUAUCAUAUUCAAAUAUAUUGUAUCUAUAUGCAGGUUAUAGAGUAUAUACAAUUUUUACAGGAGAAGGUAAAUUUGUAUGAGGGAUACCAAGGAUGGAGUCCAGAGCCCACAAAAUUGAUGCCAUGGGUAUACUCUAAUGCUUGAUAUCUGUGUCUGUGUGCGAGAGUGUUGGCUUGGUUAGAUAUGCAUGUGUUAUGGUCUUGGAGUCAUUAUCCUUUAUCACUUUUGUAUGGCAUUGUCAAUUUCAAUAGGUGUUACUUUGACACUUGAAAAAAGUGUAAGUGCUGGGCCUGAGUAUGUGCAUUUUGAAUAUCUGCAUGUGUUAGAGGUACUUCUUAUUGGCAUGCACUAAGAGGCAUGUCCAACUAGAGACAGAAGAACCUUGCCUUUAUACCAAGAAAGUUAGUGUCAGACUUUAUCUUUUGCUAUAUGUUUUUUUGUGUGUAUUUUUCAAAUUAAUAGCUGGAAGGUGCAAUUUAUGCCCUUUAUUUCACCUUAUGGGUGGAAAAAGAAAAUUGGAAACUAUGAAACUCUGUUGUUCCCUUAAAUCAUAGCAUGUAUAUGGUACAUGAACCAACACCAAAUAGACGCCUGCACACAACAGUUGCAACUUGCACCAAAAUCCAGGUAGAGAGGAUUUUUACUGUUACUGAAGAACAAGAUCAUACCUGAGACAACUGCAACCCUAUAUAUUUGUAUGUGGGCGUAUUUAGGAUUUUCGGAGGUUACUUCUGAUAUUAAGAAUUAGUAUGACUCGUAACAGCCCGCCCAGUGGAAACUUACCAACCUACCAUUUAUUUGUUUGCCACAGAAAAAUCAUAAUAGGCCUGGAGAAAAUUUUGUAGAUCAGUCUCAAGUUAUGAACAAUGGUUCUGGUCAUGAGAAUAAUGCAGUUGUCUCUCCAGCAAUGCUCCCCAACACCCAGAACUCAGUGGAAUCUGACUUGGGCUCUGGCGUUGUUUACAAAGCAUUGGAUCACAUACCUGGGUUAGCUACUCGAUCAGUUCCUAAUGUGCAACAACAAAACAUCUUUGACCCAAUUGGGAGUGUUGGACUACCCACACAACCUCUGCAGGAAUCUAUUUCUGAUGCUGAGAACAUGACUUCCAAUCCUCCAUACCAAUUGUGGCAGGGUAUAACAUCUACAACUGCUUCAGACGAUAAACUGAAGAAACAGGAUGAAAAUAGUGGAUCUGGUAGCAUCUCAAGUGCCUACUCUCAAGGGUGAGCUUCCACAAAGAUCUCUUGAUAACUUUAUUGUACCAGAUGCCAAGCUAUUGUUAAACAUGUUUAUUGUGUUGGAAUAAAUUUCCCUGGUUGUAUUCUAUGGCAAUCAUGCUUAUCCUAGGUUGAGAUUUUGAGUUCAAAUUUUGAAAGCGUUACCAGUGGAGACUAGGAAUAGGAAUUUCAUAAUUGCCUGAAAAUAUUGUCAAAAUGUUCAAAUAAGUUUCCAGGAGAAGCCAUAUAUCAAUGAUUAGUACUGAUAAUAUGGACAGUAAGGCAAUAAGUUUCCAGGAGAAGCCAUAUAUCCUUUCAUUCUUCAAAAUUGGCUUUAAGAUGGGUUAGCUUUUAACAUUUAAGCCAUGAUGGCUGUUUCUUUUAUUUAUGUUGUUGUAGGAUAUGUUGGAUCGUGAAAUCUGUAAUGGUAUCACAAACUAUUGUUUUCAAUGCUUACGUAUUCUAUCAAUUUUGUAUUUUGAAGUACUCGAUUUGCAUAAUAUAACAGGACUCUUAUAAUCUACUUCAUUAUGGAGAGAUAUCAUUUUGCUGUUACUGAGUUAGCUUUUGUGCUGAGCAGGGUUUUGAACAAUCUGACACAGGCACUGCAAUCUUCUGGUGUGGAUUUGUCCCAGGCCAGCAUCUCGGUUCAAAUUAAUGUCGGGAGUCGAGUAGACAGUGGACUGACAUCCAUGGCAUCUAGUUCAAAGGUUGGUUUAGAAUCUUCAACCGUUGCGUUAAACCCCAUCCUAAAUGUGACUGCUGCAUCAGCUACUGAUGUGUUUUUUUACUAUUAAAUGUGAAAUCCCGUAGGCAUUUUAGCACAUUGGCGGACAGCAUGUCUCCUAUUUUAGUCUUGCCAUAUGGACUAGUGUACUGGCCUCUGAAUUUUUUUCCCCUUAUUUUUUUAUAUUUGUUCAGGCACAAUUGAACCAAUCCUUGAACAAUCAAAUGACACAGACCCAAGUAAGCAGUUGUGAUGAGGACUUUGAACCGGCUCAUAAGCGGUUCAGAACAGGAGAAAGCUAGAGUAUCUGGGUUCCAGUUUUUCUUAAUUUCCUUGUUUUAUUGAGGGUGAAAGGGGGUUGCUCUUGGGCAGGUCACUUUUUGUUACAAAAUUUCAUGGUCCACAGACAACUAGGUCGAAGUUCAAAUUGUAUAUGGUUUGUGCUCCUUGUGCAUGAAUUUUCCUAGAUAGACGUGUUAGAUAUUCUUUUGUUUGUAGUUUGAAGUUUCAGAUGAAUGAUUCCAUGCAUUGUAACAAGAAGCGGCUCUUAUGUUCUUUUCUGCCUUUUAAUGAAUUUUUUUACAUAUGAAUUUCAUCGCCAUGUUCUCUUUUCUUGCCUCCUCCUUCAAUUAAACCUUAAUUGCUUAUUAAAUGGAUAAUGGAGUUUUGGAAUUAGCAGCAGCUAAUUGUGAUUUAGAAUUUGAGUAAUGUGGCAGGGUAAAAUUGAGAUAGUCUUGUGAUCUGAGAAUAAAAUUUGGUGAAAUUUUCAGCGGCUCUAGCGUUUGCUUGUUGAAAUUCUAUAUGCUUGGGGAAUCUAUUUCCAAUCCCAAUACCCAUAAUUAAAGCUGCAACGUUAUCAAAAUGUGAAUUAAUCGAAGAAUGAAAUAACAUCAAAUGGGACAAAUGGAUGGCUUUUCACCAACUUCCUUCUCCCCAAGUUUAAAUGGACAUUCAUGAGGGACUUUGAGCUUUCAGUCUUUCACCUUUUUGGAAAUGGUUGUGUGCUGCGAAAGCCAAGUUUAAAGUGCAUGAAUGGCAGCACCCAUAUUCAUUGAGUGGAAGUAGAACAACACCAUAAGUGCGUGUCCAUGUAUUGACUAGAUACUCUAGUUUCUCAGUGGACGGUAGCUUCUUGGAUCACACACCAAGUUUUCUUGGAUCACUCAUUAGUAUUAUUGCUAUGCUGCUAUCACCUCUUUCUACUAACUAAUUAACCUACUUCUUUCAUUUUUCUCUUUCUCGCUAUAAACUAAAGGAUUAGGAUCUACCUAAUAAAAAAGUGUCUUGAUUUGUAAAUUAUUGGUUUUAUGUUCGAACCCUCAUGACACACAUGACAUGUUGAUAGUGUGUAUGAGAAAUCCCCCUAUCUUUUGUUGUUUAGACUAUUGCUUGUAAUUAAAAAAAAAAAAAACUAAAGAAUUUUGAGAAGGACAAUAAUCCGGUGACUUUCAACCAUUGAUACAAUGAGACCCACAUUUACAUCAAUGGCCACGGACGAGUGUCCCAAACACUGCUAUGGACUAAAACCACAUGCUAAAAGAACCUUGGGAUGAUGAAUAAGUUAAUACUAUUGUUAUUCUUCUUGAGUAGUAAGUGGGCAAUAAUUUUGGGAUCGUAUCAUUAAGUAUGAUGUGUUCUUUAUUCAACUUUUUGGAAGCAUGGAGCUGGUGGACUAUAAGUUUUAUAAUACGAAUUAUAUUUAAUGGCAAACUAAACAAUGAAGGAGAUACAAGGUUUGGUGCAGAGUCCUAGCUAAUUGAGGACAUGAAAUGAUGGGGAUUAUUUGCCAAACCCCACCAUUUAUAUGUAGGCUGAAACAUCAGCUUUCCAGGUGCAAAGUUGUUGUCAGUUUAAGAGGUCUGGGUUCAAUUUUUAUAAGCAUUUGCGUCAUGAGGCUUGACCUCCACCACUCCAAUAGGGAGUUUAUUAGUUUAGGCAUGCCUAAUUCAUGUGGUGAAAUCUGAUUUAGUACCAAAAAGUAAUUUAAUAUUAUCAGUGGCAUCAUCCAGAUGAUAUGACCACAAUUAGUUUAUCAACACUAGAUUCAUUUACAGAGAGAGAAGCAAGGUGAAUAUCUUGUUGCAAUUACAGAAGUACAUGAGGGAUUUUGAGGUAACCAUCCUAAAAACUCUCGUCAGGAGAAUGCAAGAUAUUCCCUAAUUACAAUGAGCUUAUUUGGUAUUUCACCCCAUAAAAUCUGAUUUAUUAAUGAAAAUUCUAUAAACUCCCAACUGCUUUCUGAAGAGCAUCCAAGCAGAGGCUCCAAGAUCAACCCCAACCCAAUUAUCUGUACAUGACACUAUCCUUUGCUGUAUUAACUUAAGACCACAGCAUAAAGUAGCCCCUAAUUACUGCUUGUAUAAAUUCUCAAUGGCGCAUCGCAUAAGUUAAAAAAGAAAAAAAAAAAACAUGUAUUUAGCAUGCAAGAUCAUGUGCUUCUCAAUGGCUCAUCUAACAGUUGUAAACAUUCAUGCGGAUUUGAGUAGAAAUAAUCUUCUUCCUUUGGUUUAUCUGCAAUAGAAACUCGUUUCUUCGGCCUCCCCAUCCGAUCAGCAUGAGCUUCCUUUACAAUAGAAGAGAACUCAUCCCAGCUCAAUGAUCCACUACUGAAUUGUUCUAUUAAACCAAUCAGAAGUCUUCUGUCCAAUAAAACAGUCUUUUUGAAACCUAAGAAUCUGAAAUAUGAAGAAGCCAAGGAGAAACAUUAUCUCAGAUCAAAAUAAUUCUAAGACCAAGCAAGGGGCAAUUAACAACAAACAUCUUAUCUGGCUAGAACACUAAAUACCAAAAGAAUAUUACCUCCGAUGGCCUUCAACAACUUUAGCCAUAUUUCCAUCGUAUGUAGGAAUAAAUAUAUCACUCUCUAGGGAGACAAGAUAGUCCAAUGCUGCCCUUUGAGAAGAGUGGUUUGGGAAAAGCCUCAAGUCCGAAGGCUCCAGCAGAGUCUCUUUUCUGACCUGUUCCAUAAAGUUCAGGCAAAUUGUAAUGGAAAAGCCCUAUGAUGUAUAAUUGUUGGAACGGUUGCUUCUUCUUCGUUCUACUUACCAAGUUAGGAAAAGCAGAUUUCAAACUUUCCAUCCUUCUGUUUCCACCAUAUAUUUCUCCAGCAGCAAUAUAAAUUUGGACAUUGUGGUCAAUACCAAGUGCAACCAAAACUAGAGCAGUUUCCUCUGGUGUUAGCGGGCACAAACCUUCUAGCCUUUUCAUUUCAGAAUUUAUGUCUUUUAUCUUCCACAAGGGGUUAGCAUAUCUAACAAUGUGUAAGAUCCCAUAAUUAAAAGAGGUUGAUAAGCAAAACAACUAAAGAUGCACAAAAGAACAAAACUAAAAAAGGACCUACCUCAUUCUUGUGAGUUCUUCUUCCUCAUCAUUGUUGCAACCAUGACUACAGCCAGAGAAUGCCAACAUAUCCAUUUCAUAUCUGAGAUGAAGGGCCAGAAAAGGGCCUUUUUCUCUCAAAAUUCUGAGAAGCUUUCUGCCAAUUUCCUCUAUCUGGGAAGUGAAUCUCAGAGCAUGGAAAUUAACUCGGCAGCGCAACUUCUGAACCUCAAGAGGGAGCCCAUUAUUAGCUAACCGAGCAUCGGUUUUAUUCAAAUGUACUACUUUAUACUUCUGCACCAGAGGUAGGAUCUGUUGGCAAACACCUCUAGAAUUAGUGAGAAUGGUCAUAAACCGAAAAAGAAAAAAUGAUGCUCAAAUACUUGUCUUUUGAACCAACCUGAUGAAAGUAGUAGGAAAUGUUGGACCAACUAAUAGGUGGCAACGAGUAUACAGCUCUUUUCCUGACCCUUGGCGGCAGUUCCUUUAAUAUCCGAACCUCAUCUCUCAAGGAUGCAAUGAAAUGAUCAACAUCAAAGAUGUCUUGAAACUCACUGCCACAAUAAGGGGAAAGCUUAGAACCUAGAUGUUCCCCAUUCUCAUUAGGGGCCUUUACAAUGAGAACAUCCUUUCCUUAAAAUUUUAAGGGAAAACUAAUUAACCUACCUUGCCGCCCAAAAAGAGUUUUUAUCCAGCUCUGGAACAAUAAGAGUCACAUUUAAGUAUCUGGCAAUUGCAACCAUAUCACAGAUCUGCAGCAAAGUGAGAAGUGAGAAAAAUAACAUGGUGGUGAAAUAGCAAUAAAACAUCCAUCUAAGAUAAGAAUGUUCAUAAUUGUGAUGAAGGAGCAAGCAACUCACGGCGGCUCGCAUUUGAUUCAGUCCUCCAUUGCAAGAAACCAUGAGAUAACCAUUAUUCUUGUAAACCCCUGAAAUAAAUAAAAGUAGUUCAGAACUAACAAACAACAUUCGAAUUCCGAACUUUUCAUUGAAAGAGAGUAUCUAUAAUGGAAUAAACCAAUUACCAAUGAGCCAAACAAAUUAAAAUCCACAUGAACAAUGGAAAUACAUAAAAGAGGUCAGCAUCUUCAAGAAGAUUAUCAUUCUACAUCAACUGUUUGGAAUGAUAUUAAAGUAUGAUUGUUACUUCGGUUGCCUGAAACAUGAGUUCUCUAAGUAGUAAAUUACACACAAAAGCGAUCAAGGUUUUUAUUAACAAGCUCAAAACUUACUUUUUGGUGGGAGAGCAAUUGGGAUUGGAAGCUUAACCAAUUCAGCAUGCGCAGGCAACUCUAAUUGAGUGCAGGGAGGACAAACCUUGAACAAACUUGGCCCCCUUAACAACCAUACUCCAACCAGCUGAACUGCAGAAGCCCACACCAAAGCUGUAACAAUCGCCCGAAUGAUCAACAACCAUGCGUUCGUCUUCAAUAUCGAACUCUUCAAUUUUUUAACUCUACCCAAGAACUUAAAUCCCAUCUUCCCCUCUGAUCUAUAAUCACACUUCUCAAAGUCCUCUGCUUUGCACAUUGUAAUUUGUAACAGAUCAAAACACCUUCACUAACUACUGACCAUCAGAAAACUGAACUCUUCAAACACCAAACUUAUUGCAAUUCAACACAAUCUUUGAUAGACAAAGGUGAUGGUGAUGCUCCAAUGCUAUCUGUGCACAAGACAAGGUGGUCCUCCAAGAGUUAAUAACAUAGUCGAAACGCCUCGAAAGAAUAAAGGAUUUAAACUUUCUUUAAUUCUGAUGAAGUUGGCACUAAAAUAAUCAAUAGACCAACUCUCAGAUAUUUACUUCGAACCACCCAAAACUUGUCACCUAUGACCCUCCACCAAUACUCAUCAAGACCCAGAAAGCAAAAAUAGAAAAUUUUAACUAAAGCUUCUCCAAAGAUUUCAAAGAAUGCAACUUUACGCUUAAUCUUUCCAAACCCAAUAAUCACUUUGAGUUGCUCUUAAUUUGCCGGUAAGAUUCCGGCCAAUAAUCCGGCGAGAGUCGCCGGAAAACUUGUAGAAUGUGGUUGGAGAAAGCAGAGAAGCACAGAGCGGAUGAGGAAAAUAGCGUAUAGUUUCAAUGAGAAACAGAAACACAAAAAAGUCUGCAAUCAAGGGUCAAGUGACCGCAUUUAUAGCAAGCCGGGCCAAACUAGGAUUUCACACCCUAGAGAAUUAGAACUCUGUUCACCGUCUCCCAUUAUAUUUUGUUUUUAUUUACAUAAUUAAACUUUUAUAAACACUGAUAUCACUAUCGUUUCUGCUUUAAACACCAGAAUACAUACAUACAUGGUAGUAAUGGAUAUAGAUGGACUCAAAUACAACUCACCCCAAGUUUUUUAUAUUUGGUUUUAGAUUAUUGUUUGUUGGGAGGAAGUGGAUUUGCAACCAAAAUCUAAUUACAAAUUUACAAGUCAGCAGACAUGAGAGAUAAUAAAGUGUAGUGGUAUAGAUAGACCACCAUACUUUAUUUAGUAAUUAUUUUCGCAGCAAAGUUGAUGGAUGCACUACACUGCAGUUGUUUUUGCCGUAGAACUAAAGUAAUUGUUUUGUUUUGUUUUUGUCAAAUGUGUUUUGACUCUUAUAAAAAAAAUAAUAAAAGAAAGAAAAAACCGUCAUUCUAGGUAAUCUUCCAUUGUGGUAAAAUGGAGGUACAACUUGAAAGAUUGAUUAUUUUACCUAACUACUAGAACUUUUUCAUUCACAUUGGUCAUUCAAAUGUGUAUAAUGUGUUGAAUAAGAAAACUGAAAUGUAUACCAUAUGAGAUUAUGGAAGCUUAUUCAAUAUACAAUCAUUGUGAGCACGAGUACACAUUUUUAACCAUCCAAAUAUAACUAACCAUGAGGUUGCUAUUUCUUGUAAAAUUUGUGCCAAAAAAGUCAUGCUAGGUUACCAUUUGGAUAGAAGGUACAGCAAAUCUUGAUUUGGGCCUUUUUAUUUGCUCAUGUCGUUGUGGUAAUGUUAUAGGUAGAUAGAAUCUAACAAUUCUUUACAGCUGACUCUGGUGUGAAAUUAAAAAGAAAAAAAGCAGAGUUUGCAUUGCUAUUUUAUUGUUCAGCAUUCCCUCAGUGAUGGGCAACUUGCAACUUUCUUUUAUUGAUUGGCAUGGGCAGAGUCCUACUGAUGUCCUCUCACCACAAGUGGACAUUAUACCAGUACAGCAAUUUACUCUUUUAUAUGAGAUGGAGAGAUCAAUUAUUCUAAAAUGAAUAAAAUACCAACAAAUAAAUUUAAGAAAACAGAGCAUCUGACACUUUUGGCCUUGUCAAAGCAAAGUCAUGCUCUGUUUUUUCUUUUUGUUUGGAGAAAGAUAUGCAGUCUUGGAGUUUGCAAUUGUGACAAAUCUCCCGUGAUUGAUUGUAUCUGUUAUUUGACAGAGCAAUUUGCUUCUUGCAUGAAUAUCACUUGAUUUUGGUCUCUCAAAUAAAAAAAUGCAAUAAAUAACAUUGUGUUCAUUAGAAACAGCGGCAUCUUUUGGCCAAAAGAGAAAUAAUCCUACAACUGUUUUCUUCAUAUUUGCUGUGCUACAACAAACAAAUGAGCGGUGCCCUCAUCUGAGUCUUGGGCAAACAAUAAACUUCACCAUAAAAUCAAGCAUAUAAAGUGUGUUUUUUUUUUUUUCUCCUUUGUGUCCACAUGAUGUAUUAAUAGUCACGGAGUGAAAGCUAUAAUAUUAUAAUUGCUCAUCAUCACAAUGAUUGGGUGAAAUAAUCAGUAGAGCAAUGAUGGGGUUAUUAUUAUAAUAUGAGGGUAGUGGUGGUCUUUUUAGUUCUAUACUUCCAUGAUUCUAUCUUCAUCAAAGAAAGAGAUAAGUAAAUGUGAGCUGAUUUUUCCACUUCUUUUUUCUUCAUUUACACUUUUUUUUACUUUUUAAUACUUUUAAAUUAAUUUUGUUCUUUUUUUUAUCUUUCUUUUUCAUAUUCUAUCCUUAUCCUACAUUAAUUUCUUUUUAUUUUACUUUUAUAUUAUUUCUUUUUCUUUAUACUUAAUUUUCCAACUUGCAUUUCAUUUUCUUUUCUUUAUAUUUUUUAUUUUUCUUUACGUCGUUAAAUGAAUAUGAUAAUAAAUUUUUAUUUAUUUAAGAAAACCCAUAAUGCGUAAUGAAGUUAAUAAAAAGUUGAAUUAAACAUUAGAGAAAAAGAAAAGAAAAGAAGGGCGUAGUAGGGGAGGGGACGAGCUGCACAACGAUUGUAGAAGUGGAAACAACCCAGCAACCCUGUCAAUCUAUAUCCCCAGCCAUUUUCCCCACUGACACCCAAAGGCCCCAACUCUCCAAGCCACACUUACCUCCCCAACUCCAAUCCACCCACCCACGUCUAAUAUAUAUAAUAAAAGCCCUUGUAGCCUUACCACUACACAAUGGUCAUUCCCACUUCUCCACCUUCUGAGUAGCUCCUUUCCUUCUCUACUAUACUACGCCCUUCUUUCCUUUUUCUUUUUAAGUUUUUAUUUUUAUUUUUUCUAAUGAUAUAUGAUUGAAUUUUUAAUGUAUUUUAAAAUUAAUUCCACUUUUUAUUAACUUCAAAAAGCUUUAUAGGUUUUCAAAAUGAAAUAAAAAAAGAUUAUCAUGUUCAUUUAGCGGCAACUUUAAUGGAACAAACCAAAUUGAUUAAUGAUCUUAAACAUAGGGAUUAAAUUGGCCAAAUUAAAAACACAUGGAUUAAAUUAGCCAAAGUGAUAAAACACAUGGACUAUUUUGACAUUAAAGCCAAAGAAAUAAUAUAAAAAUGAAGUAAAAAGAAAUUAAUAUAUGACAAUAAUAAAGUAGGAAAGAGAAAUAACGAAAAAGAAAAAGAGUAAUAAAAAAAUAUUAAAAAGCAAAAGAAUGUAUAAGUGGAAAAAAGAAAAGUGAGAAAAUCGACUCCAAAUAAAACUGUAAAAGGGCAGCUCAGUACAUUAAUUACCACAAUGUUUAUGUCAUUCAUAGAGAAUUUAGCAUAUGCUCAAAAUCCACUGAUGUCAAGUACUAAGAUGGCCUUCAUUAUUUUGGUGCAUUAUUUGUGCACUGAGAGAGUGGAAUUACUAUGUGUGUUUAUGGACAUGAGUUUCUACUCUCCAAUGAUGAGUGAUAGUCAGAUGGUCCAGGCAAAUUGACUUAGGAUCUGGUUGUUGAUCAGUAAAUGAUCUUUGCAGGGCCUCUCAGCUGCCAAAUAAAAUGGGCCUCAUAGUUUCUUUUGCAUUAAUUCUUACAGCUAUCAUCUUCACUAUGAUAAAUGUUUCUUUGGGCGAAUGGAGGUUAGACCAGUUAGUCAAACGAAGGCAGUAUGCCUGUCCUAUUAUAUUUGAAUUCGAACAAUCUUUUUCGCACAUUGGAGUAGUUUAGAAUUAUUGCUCUUGUCAAAAGAUAAAUAUUUAUUUAGAGUAAUUAUAAUUUGUAAUAAGUGAGGGGACAGGACCAAUUUGGUAUGGGCUUUGAUUUUUUUGGGCUUACUCAAAGUUAGGUCAGAAACAUAAAGCCCAAAUUCUAAGGCCUAAUCCAAAUUUUAAAUCUGAAAUUCAAAGUAGUUAAAUUUCAUGAGUCAUGGGAUUGUGGCCCAAUUUCUUUCUUCCCAAAUUAGGGUUUAGCAAGCUACUUUUUUCCUCAUCCUAGGGUUUUAGCACCUCUCUCUCUCUCUCUCUCUCUCUCUCUCUCUCUCUCUGCGCGGAAACAUGAGGAAGCUGAAGUUUCACGAGAAGAAGCUGUUGAAGAAAGUGAACUUCUUGGAUUGGAAGAGAGAAGGAGGUCACAGAGAAGCCCAGGUUCUGCAACGUUACCAUGUCACCGGUCGUGACGAUUAUAAAAAGUAUAUAAUAUUUGUAUAUUUUUUUUAAUUUAAUGUCAUUUUUAUGGUGUCAUUGGUCGCUCAAUCUUAGUUUUGUUUUUCCCGAUUGAAAAUUGGAAAAUAGAUAUUCGGGUUUAUGCCGGAUGGUGCAGAAGCUGGUGAACAUAUUGAAGCAGAUGAACCCAAACGACCCUUUUCGGAUUGAAAUGACCGAUAUGCUAUUGGAAAAGCUGUGAGUUAUUUGUUUAUUUACGUGCUACAGAAAUUGUUCUGUUAGGGAGUAUACUGCAAAUUUUGUUUUUGUUUUUUGAUGCUGAAUAAACUUGAAUUGGUAUGUUCACUUAGAAGUAUUAACCUUUCAAAGCUGCAUAGUAAAAACCCAUAACAAGUUAUCAGCUUUUUGUUAAUUAGCUCUAAAAGUAUUUUUCUGCUGGACAUUAUGUGUUAUGUGUAGGUGAUAGUAGUGUUGAUAUCGAAAAUGAGAAAUUUGAAGCAGUCAAAUGUAUUUCAUUGCUGUUUGAUAUGAAGAGAGAAGUCUUUGGGAUUAUUCUCUUGUGUAAUUUGUUGUGGAACUGAAACCAAAAGUGGUUCUAGUUGCAGAUGGCUUGACUUUUGCAUGAUCCAGAUUCAAUAGAUUUAUCUUUGUUUAGAUGCAUGGUACAAGAAUACUGCAGCGCCAAUGGUAGAUCUAGUAUCAUCUGUGGUUUUUAAAGUGUGAUUCAUAGUUAAAGGGUUUACGUUGAUGACAGGUACAAUAUCGGUGUGAUACCAUCCAGACAAAGCUUGGCAUUGUGUGAUCAUUUAUCCGUGUCAUCCUUUUGCAGGUAAUUUUCAAUUACUCCAUUACAGGACUUGCUUGUCAUACCUUGACGGGAAAAUGUGAGAGUGAAUUCUUAUAAACUAUUGACAAAAAGUUUGCAACAAAUUAAAAGGUGUCCUCUUUGCAAUUGCUAUUGGCACUACCUGGAGGGUAAUACUAAUUUGUUUGAGUAUAGUAUGAAAAUCCUUACAUCUUUCUUGUGAGUCAUGAUGGCUUACCACACACAAGGAGGAACAAGAACUCUCUUCCAAAUUUUUGCAUGCACCGCUCUUGUUACUUUACUGACGAUGUCUAUGUUUAUAGACGUAGGCUUUCAACUGUGGUGGUCCGAUUGAAGUUUGCUGAGCACCUGAAGGAGGCUGUCACAUACAUUGAGCAAGGGCACCUCCGAGUUGGUCCAGAGACUGUUACUGACCCAGCAUUCCUAGUGACAAGGAAUAUGGAAGACUUCGUUACAUGGGUGGAUUCAUCAAAGAUUAGGAGAAAGGUUCUGGAGUACAAUGACAAGUUGGACGAUUAUGAUGCAAUGAACUGAAAUUAAAAGGCUUGUGUGCUAAUUUUAAGGUUCCUUUGUCCCCUUCUGAAGAGAAGCGAAUUCUUAUCUUGCAUUGUAUAUCAUGUAUCGAACACCUCACAGAGUUUGCUGUUGAGCGCCAAAUGUGGCAUUUUUGUGGCUGAAUACUAUCAACGUUUUUUUAUCUUCAUGUUGAAAUGUAUUUUUUUUUUAAAUUUCCGUAUGAAAACUGUUUUUUAUUGUACAUGUAAAAUCCUUGAUGCUUUUUUUAUUACAAUGCGCUCCUAUCAUGAAGAUGCAAAAAGGCAGAAGUAGUUACUCAUAUAUUGUUUCUCGACAUGGAAGAUCCCAGCCACUGCUGGUGCUUGAUCAUAAGAAUUGCAGCCGUAUCAAUGUCAACAGGUAGGCCAAGUAUUACGUAUUAUUAAAAAUAUGUAUUUUAUAUAUUUAUUUGAACUAUAGAAAAAUUUGUGGGUUUCAGAUCAGCAAGCAACUUCUGACAUGGAACUCCCAAUUCAGGCAUGAUAAGAGGACGAAACUCGCAAUUCAGGCAUGAUAAGAGGACGAACAAGAACUAUAAUUGGAAAAUAACACAUUUUUGGGAGAAAAACAUUUCUAUACCAGGGAGUCAUAUGUAUUGAACAAACUCAGAAUAGAGAGUUGCGGAGUUUGAACCCCUUCAUACGUAUGGGGUAUGGGGUUAUGUAAUUCACAAGCAUCACUAUUUUUACAAAAAAAUUAAACCCCGUAGCCAAAUACAGCAAGCAACACAUACAACGCCCCUAGGUCUAACAAAAAAUCCUCAGCCUCUCCCUGCAUUGAUUGCAGCGCGCACAAAGUCCUCGCAGUUCGUAAUGCCGCCAGAAAGCACAUCAGCUAAUACACCAAUUAUAUCGAAUGCCUCCUGCAAAUCACUGGAAGAACUCAUCUCAUCGAGCCACGACAGCAACUCCUUAGAGAAAUCCACCAUCUCCUUUACAUUCAAAAGUCGCUCUUUCAUCACUACCUCCCAACCUUCCAAGCUUCCACUGUCAUCUUCCCCUUCUGAUGCAGUAGAAGUACCUUCUGUUCUGGUCAAUGACAGAUUUGCUGAUUUUUGUACCUUGAAGAAACGUUGCAGCUGUUCAAUUAAGCCAGUGUAGACGAGCAUUGGUCUAAUGACGGACAAAAGCUCAUCAGCACCCCCAAUUUCUGCACUUGGACUUUGGCUUGUAUUUCCCGACUCUAUCUUGACUAUAGGUGAUGAACUGGAUGAUGUGCGACCUGCUGAACGGCCAUGCGUGUGCUGCAUGUAGGCAUGGUAUAUUCCACGCUGCAAGAAGGCUCGGCGGUGUUGCACCCAGGAUUCAUGAGAUUCCGAGAGAAGUGAAUUCACCAUCAUAAAUUGGACAGUUUCUUCAGAUCCCAGAGACGGUUGUUUUUCAGGAGUAGAAGGUCUGGAAUCUAAGCUAGAAGAUGUCAAAUAUGUUGACACAGACUUGGCCAUUGUAUGACGCUGAGAUGGGCUUCCCUGAUCAAGAAGGUGACGCGCCAUUUGGAUCAUGAAAGGAAGAAAUCUGGAGUUGCUUUCCCUUCCACCACCUCUGCUUUCUGCACUAAAUGAUGCCCCAGUCGCAAAUCGAGCUAGCAUCUAUAUAACAAAGGUUCAUAGAUGUUAGGGUCAGAUUUAUGAUGCCCAAUCAAUCCAUAGUAGAAAGACAUGGAUGCGGUCACCUCAAGGAACUCAUUCAUACUCACGGUACUUGAAGCAUCACCACAAGUUAAUCAGUUCAUGUAAGAUAGUAAAUGAAAUUGCUCUUGUGAUAUCAUUAUCCUAUCCUAAAUUUAUAUUAUUCCUAACAUGCAAAAGGUUUAAUCAAGGAAACCAUCAGUAUACAUUAAUCAUUUUGUUAAUGCAAUCUUCUAAACAUAGAGAAAAUGCAAUGCACAAGGGAAGAACAAGACCAUCACAACAAAAAGGCAAAAUAACAAAAGAGAAGAAAAUGAAAGAAAGUGUUAUACCAGAACAAUGUCAUAUGUUAACAGCCGAAGACGACUUGCAUCAGCACGUCCUAGAGCAUUGAGGUUGUCCCAGUACUGGUCAACAUAGCGAAUAUACUGUGCUAAUGGAACAGAUGGACCUCUCACAGGGAACAAAGAAUUGCAAAGAGAUUCAUUGUUUCUGAGAGUUGCUCCUUCCCACUCUUUCUUUGGAUUUUUCAGAGCUGCGUCUGCUCUCUUCGCUUCCUGGUGGCACUGGAAAUGAAUAAUGUUGAAAUAACUAACAGUUGUAUAAACACACUCCCCACGAGCACUACCAGAAGGCCCUGCACCUAAAUUCACUCGUUUGCUAUAAGAGUAAACACCAAGCAAGUCAGUAGGCCUUAAACUGUAACCCUCUCGGCAAACCAUGCAUGCUAACCCAUCCUCCUCCUCCUCCUCCACAUCUUCUAAACCUUCAAGCAGUGGUCGAGCAACAAUAAUACGCUCACCACCAUCUGAAGCUAGCUCCUGUCGCAUUCCAAGCCCCUGAGUUUAUGAAGAAAGAGGUAACUAUCAGCUUACAGAUAAUAUUAAUGCUAACAGGGAGGUCAAAUAAGAAAAGAAAUGCAAACACGACUAAAUACUAUCCUAAUUCUAACAAAAUAAUCUUCAAACUAACCUUCUACCAUCUCUUACAACGUAUUAUAGCUUCCACUCACUGACUAUAAAGAAGAUUACACUCAAGUUUUAAGUUACGAAUAACAGGGCAGGAUACCCCAUUUCCCAACAUUGCAACGAAACUUUUUGAUGUAUAUUUAACUUAAGAAUUACUGUAAGCAACUAAACUAAUCGAUCUACUAAAACCUUUGAUUCAGUGGCACCUGCUUUCCUUUAAUUUAAAGAUAAGCUGGGUAAAAAAACCAAAGUCAAUGGUAAUUACCAGAAGUAAUUCCUCUCUCUUCCUUAAAGCUCUACGUCUCAUUUCAUCCCUGGUGGCAUGUCUCAACAUCAGCACCUUCUCCUCCAAAAAUCCAUCUCCUUUUCCCUCCUUAUUUGAAAGCGUGUCCAACAAGUUUUCAGCCCUCGCUCCUAUCUCAUUUUCCCCUGAGACCCCUUCUAAAGCAUGAAGCAAAGGUAAUAUCCCUCCCUGAUCAAUACACUUCUGAGUGGCCAAAUGUCCUGUUGACAAGCCCCUCAGCAUAGACAAUAUCAGUGGAACAGAUGGCAAUUUUAAGCCUAUUGCCCAUUCUGUAGUUGAUUUAAAACCAGCCUUCCCCGCUACUGAAAAACUAUCCCUCAGAUGUCCAACUGCAACACCAGUAAUACCCCUCUCAAGAAUAAUGUCUUUCAAUCUCUCUCCACAGGAGCUUGUUUUGAGAGACUCAGAGACCCUUACAAAAUUUUCUAGUGUGAAUCUUUGUUUUGCAGCUUGCUGGGCAAUGUUCUCAUCUUUUGGGUUAUCUUCAUGUUCUUUCUGCAGCCGAUCAUAUUCUCUCCAGUCUUGCAAGGGUGGGCUGAAGUGCAGGAUAAGAGCUUCCAUUGCAGCAGGUUCACCAUAUGUUAAGUAGGGCAAGAUUCUCGCAACCAUCUCAGUGUUCCUCUGCUGUUUGUUUGAUUUCUUAAGGCCCAAAGGAUGAGACAAUCUCUCCAGAAACAUGAGGACUAUUUUCUUGGCCUGUUCACCUGUCUCUUCACUAGUGACAGUAAGAGCACUCUGUGUGAUGUUAAUGUUGUCACUUUCAUUAGCUUCCAGUGUCAGACUCUCAACAAUCAGAAGUAUGCCUUCAGCCGGUUCCAUGGCAUCCACAGAAAAGGCAUGUCUUGCAGUUUCAAGAAGUAAACCUAAAGCUCCUAACCUCAGCAAGGCCCGCCUGUUCUCUCUUAUUUUGCAACAAUGCAUGAGGAGAUUUAGAACAGCUACCAAUUGCUCUUGGUUGGACUUGAAAUCAUCCCGCAAACGCUGUACAUUCAUAUUAUAAGUCAGAUAUUUCAACAAUAAGUGGCAAAAGGUUUCCCUUACAAAAACAAAGGAAUGAAAAACAAAAUAAAAGAAAGACGUGUAAAUCCUGGACAUGGAAAUCUAACUAAAGGAGUAUAACUAUACCCACAGAACAACUGAACAUCCAGACGGCCCUUUUCUUUAAAUAAUAAAAAAAUUGAGGAUGUGAGUAAUCUGACAACUGUAAGAUUUAGAAUCCAUAACCCCCAAUCCAAAAAGAAAAAGUAAAGAUUAGUAACGCAAAUGUCAGUGAUGGUUUAUAAAAGCUGUUUCCCAAGAAAUAAAUUUUUCAAUCCACAUGCUUAGGAGUUCAAUGUGUAUCUUACACAGUUAUGUUUUACUGCAACAUAAAUGGAAUACAUUUGACUUGAAAAAAUAAAAAGGAACUCUUCAAAAUCUGGGAAGGACAAUAAAUGCAAGAUGCAACACACCUGGAUCAUGCUCAAUAUAAUUUCCAGCCCAUCAUACUCACGAACAGCACCUGCAAUAGCAAACUCGACCUCUGGAUCUUGUGACUCCUCUCUAUCUUCUUCCAAUUCUUUUAUCAUAGGCUCAGUUGCUUCACCAUCUAAUCCCUGGCAAUUGUAGCCAAAAAGAUACAUCAAAAGACAUCAAGGUAGGAGAAAACAAAGUCAGUAGAAAAAACGUCACACUACAGAUACACCAUAGAUCCGUUAGGAAUGAAGGAUGUAAGGUUGCAUCUGGAAGAACAAAUUUAAAUAAGGGAUUUGAAUGUAAAAACCAAGAUUAAGUUGGCUGAAAUAUUAUGGAGAGUACCUAUCUUUAGAUGUUAGCUAAAGUCAUGGAUUAAUUCAAGACUUUAACUAGAAAAUGAAUUUGUAGGUGAAUUAUAUCAUCUCAAAUUUAUGCUUUAAAUGAUUUGACAGUGCAAGAACUUCUUUAGUUUUGUAUAGAAUUUUAUAUGUCACUGUUAGAAUUUGGUUUCUGCAAUCUGAUUGUAAGUUUAGGACCAAACUCCUAUAUAUCAAAGAUUGACAAAUGAGUGGAGCAAAAAGGUGUUUCCUUCGUCAUUUAGAAGCAUACAGUAAUCAGUGAACACACUUUUAUUUGGUAAGUAAUUAGAUAAGAAAAUAUGUAACAAACCUGAAGCCGAUACGUCACUGUCAUAGGUGGAGAGUCUCUAGCUGAUGGAACAGCAUUAGGGGAUAACAAUGUAGUAUUAGCCAUGGCGUUUGAAGAUUGAUUUGACUUCUUCCAGACUUGCUCAUAGACUUGAGCUAUGCUCAAAUCAAGAGAAAUAAUGUUUCCAGCAACUAGCAAUUCCAUCCCAUAGUCAUCUUCAAGAAGACCUAAUAGAUCCAACUGAUGGCAGAUUUUAUUCUUGACAUCCCGCAUCAGAGGACCAAUCUCAGAACUAGAAUAGGGAUUCUUUGUCAUAGACCCCCUAAUGAACUCUUCUUGCGUAUGUGCCUUGUUUAGAACCAGCAGAUACACCGGCUCUGGCUUUGAAGGGCAGAUGAGAUUGCAGAGCUGCUCCAGUAUAAACUGUACAUAUAAUUGAAAAUGAGUGCUGACACAUAGGUUGGUGAAAACAAAACUGAAUCCCAUGCUUACAAAUAAAAUAAAAGACAAAACAAGAUAAAUGUUAAAACACACAUGCAAAAAUGAGAAUGGGGAAAACUUGUAGAAGAAACUAUGCAGAACCCAAGAAGUAUGUGACUUUUAUCAAUAUAGAAGGAAAAAAAAAAAAACUAAUAUGAACUGGAUAAUUAAGACACUACAUUAGUACUUUCAUGGGUUAUAAAACGAUCUAAAAUCAUCAUUUGGAAAAUAGUACAUAAUGCACAACAAUAAAUUCGUCCAUACCAGGCAAGUUCGGCCCUUUCUCUCCUCUCCAUGGUUUUGCAAACCACAGAUACAGGCUCGAAUGAACUGCCGUUUAUUUUCACUGCUUUCAAGCAAAAGGCUAUCUAAAAGGUCUUUUAGAAGCCGAUUGCAAUCACUAAUUAACUUCGUCUUCUGCACUACCAAGCCACGAAUAACAAUAAGAGCCUCAAGAAUCUCCGACAGCAAAUUGUUUCGCAUGAAUCUGACAUCAAGAUGAAUUAAGUAAGAUAUCAAGAAUGAAAUCAGUUAAGCAAAAAAUUAGAAAAUAGUAAAGAAAUCAAUCGUACCUGGAUCUAAUAUUUGGAACCUCCAAAAAUUUACCAAGCAACUCUAUAAGCUUGUGGAGUAUAAAUCCCUGUGAAAUGUCAAUAUGCAUGCUCCUUUCUAGGGACUCGACAUUGCCCACUUCUUGAGUAAUUAGUUUACAAAUUGUGCCCAGGCAUCCACGCACAGUCAAAAACAGACGGGCAUCUUCUGAAUCUAUCAUCUUGAACAGUGACUCAAAAUAUUCCGCAGCACUUUCACCAGCAGAAAGAGUUGCUGGUAACAAGGACACUAGUAAGUUCAAUAACCGAAAUCGUCUUGAUGUACUUUGGGCACAGAGCAGACUUAUCAACAUGCACAUCUCCGACCUUAUAGAUUGAGAACAAGCACUAAGAACAAGUUCAGUAACCCAUGACCCCAGCUCAAAUGCUGAUAAGUCAUUCUUUGCUGUCUUACUAGUACGCCGCUUCCACCUGAGUGCAUAUUUAAGAGCAAGGAAAUCUUGUCUUUGAGGUCGAGGCCUCUGGCUACCACCUUUAGUUGACUGGGACACUUUGUAUUGCCUUCUAACAAAAUCAAGAUAUGAUGCCCCCUUCUCCCACUCAGCAUAGCUUAAUAAUUGAAUAUCCUGAGUCUUUUGUGAUGCAUCCCAGUUUUUAUCUAAUGAUUCUGGAGUAGGCUUGCCCCCACUGCCAAGUCCACCCAAAGAUCCAGAUAUAGAAUUACUUUCAUCCUUGAUCUGCGAACCAGUAGUAGCUUUUCCCAUGCUAGGCUCUUUAUCUGGUACAUCAGGUUUUGGAGGAGUACAUGCCUGAGAUAUAAUCCUCAGACAAGGAAGAAUAACGUGCUCAGAAAUGGCAGGAUGCUUAGCACCCAAUUUGAUAGAAGAAAAUAACAGCUGGAAAACAACACGCAAUCUCGAUUCCCAAAACUCAUCAGCAAGCGAACAUACUUCUGACAGCAAUGAUAACUCUUCACGGGUGGCCAGAGCAAUGUCCAUGGAGCGAUGAUGUUCAAGGCAGUACAUCACCUUUUUCUGUAUUAAGCUAUUCAACUCGGUCACUGCAUUUAUAUCACCCUCAGAAAAUGCACAAAGAACUGUUCUAGCUUGCACACGAGCCGUUUUAGGACCUUGAUGAAUGUUAUUUUCAAAUAGUUCUGUUAAGAUGCUAGCAGCAACAAGUUGUCUCUUGGAACUUGGAUGCUUUGACAGCACCUGUAAUACCUCUAGACACUGUGUCACAAACGUAGUAGCACAGCCGUAGCAAUUAUUUGGAGACCUGGAAACCACAAAUCUUGAAGCAGCAACUCCACUAUCUGCACGUUUCUGGUGCAAAUAAUUCAUCAAAACCCGGCGUAAUCCUUGCAGUGUCUGAACACUUUUGCUGACAGAAUCAAAAGCUGCUUUGCACUUCUCACCGUAUAGGACACCAAGAAGAGCUAUUUUUCGGUUAAUCUUACAUGCAGGCCCAGGUAAGGAGACCAUCAUUUGCUGAACAGAAUCCUUCUGUUGCGAAUCUAUUUCAUUCUCGCCAACACUUGAAACAAUCUUGAGGAGGGGCUUCUUGAAUCCUAAAAGUUGCUGAUAUCUCCUAUGAGCAUUUUCUGAUUCAGUUUCUAUAGCAGCCAACCCUCUCUUCAUAUCUUCAUCAUUUUCCAUGUCAUCAAAAGUAAAACUUGGCUUCGCCAUGAAAUUGAACUCAAAUCUACCAUAUUUACUAUAGCCACACUCGUUGCAGAGAAAGGAAUCCAGAUUUUCAUAAUUAAUGUUGCGGCAUUGCCUGCAUUGAUAUGCAUUCUCGUGGCAAUUGCCGCAUAUACCAUGCUUAUCAGUGACCGGUCGACUGCAACGUGGGCAUUGCAAUGGUUCAAGAGACAAAGCCUGAAGAUUUUCAUAAAAGGAAUCCAGCUCAAUCAUGAAGUUACAAGCUGUUAUUGGAAUGGGAAACUCCACUUUAAGUUCAGUCUGAUUGAAAGCAAGAUGACAACUCUUGGCCCGUUUCCACAGAGACCAAUUAUUCUUCAAUUCUGACAAGUCAGCCACAGGUCGAUUAUUGUAAUACAGGUUCAAAACUUUCACUGAUUUAGACUUCCGUGCAUCAUGAACAUUCAUGGUCACAGUCUGGAUGGUGUAACUCCCAGUACAUUUCACUAUGAUGCGGUUGUCAGUGAAUUUUGUUUCAGAUUUCAGACUUUCUAGCUUCAUCCUGCUGUAUGGUACCUCAGGAGAGCUGCAGGCAACACAAGGCUCACUCUCAAGAUAGUACCCAUCAAAUUCAACUAAUCCACUUAAAGUGUUGUAUAUGCGGGAAUUUGGAUGAUUUGCUAAAAGCUCAUUUUGUGAAUGAAGUGUUUCAAAGAGGCAUCUGAUUACAUCUGGGGUUAAGCAUCGAUCCACAAGUUCACUGCUCUGUUGCUUUGAGCUGAUAUCUGGAACUUUACCCAGCAACCAUGUGACAAGUUCAGUAUACUCAACAAUAUUUUGACCAUACAUUGGUAGACAUUUUACUUUCUGCAAGAGAGCCAUCAUCAUAGUUUCCUUGAAUGAUUGCUUAGCAUGAUGCCAAACACCAAAAAGAACACACUUGGCCUCUGCACGCACAGAGCUAGAAUUCCAUUCCAGCAAAAAGCAAUCAAUGAAUUGCUUCAAGACAUCUCCACCCUUGUCACUGAAGAUAUCUAUCACCGACUCCAUAUCCAAAUAGGACUUGUCCGAACCAGAUUCUGUUCCUUCUUCACCUUUCUUCUUCUUUUUGGGAUCCUGAGAUUGUGACCCUGAUUUGUUUGAAUUAAUACCUGAAUCCACAGCUUCAUUUUUCUGUAAUGAAUUACCAAUAUCCUUUCCUGCGUAGAAGGAAAGAUUCAACAGCUUCAAAAUCUGAAUAACUGACUCUUCUCCAAGAUAGAACACUCCGUUUAUCAAGAAUGGCAAAAAAUCUGAAUGCCUCAAACAGUACUUCUGCCAGUUCCGAGGUCGUGCCGCAGCUACUUCAGCCAUAGUAGAGAGACAUUUAACUAUCUUAACACUUCUCUCAUAUGACAAAGGAUUUUGAAACCCACCGGAUUUGUUCACAUGUUUGAAAAGUUUUUUCAUCUCACUUGAAAACUGCCAAGAGUCUCGCACACUAUAAUAAUGAGUUUUGCUUCCAGAGAGAUGGAGGAAAAGCCGCCUUGCAUAUCUUCUCACAAAAGUCGUGUGAGGAUUGUUAAUGUAACUGCACAGGACAUCCUGAUAUCCAUCUAGCUUCAGAUCCUUGCCAGAGGAGAUCUUUGACACCUUCUCUUUCUCUCCAGUCUUGUCUUGCUUUUCAGGUCUGACCAAAGUGUAUACCAGCCGAAAGGUAUUCUCCAACAACAACCUAUGGUAGUCCAUAAAAAUAUCUGUACGGUGGGCUUUUGCAUAUGAGUCUGAAAAGAAAGGAGAAAAAUUACCAGCCACAACAUCCCUUCGAACUGUUAACAGAGCUCCACAGCCAGAACCAGGUCCUGCAUUUUCAUAAUUAACAGAAGGGGACUUAAAAACAUGCAUUAGCUGCUGCAAUAUGUCCAUUAAGUAAUUGACAACAGACUGCUGCCUAAGGGAAUUGCAAGCUCGAAGCAGCUGGGAUGCAAAGUCAUUUUUCUCUUGAUCAUCCAAGGAAGAUGAAGCAGCAACUGAGGUGGAUGGCGAGAUCUGGAUGAUGGUUUUAUCAUGUGUUUCUGCUGUCCCACUAGGUUUUGGCAUGGAACUGUCACUGCCCGGCUGGUGCCAGUUUCGUAGCAUCAGGGUAAAGAACAUGAAUAUAAGUAUUGCAACUUCCCCAAAUGAACCGCGAGCUUUCGCAACCAAGGGUUGGUUAAGAUUAAGCUCAUCCAGAAACCACCGAAUUAAUUUCUCUAAAUCUAAGCUUUCAGGCUUUGAGAUGUCUAUAAACGGUCCACCAACAGCAGAAGAUAAUCUGUAGAAGAGCUGCAUAAUAGGAAUCGCCCGGACCCCUGAUGUUGACUGCAUCCAUCCCUUUAAUUGUUCAAGAAGCUCCGAGAGAAUCAAGGAAUUCAAAGCUCGUUUCGAAGCAGAAAUUGAAACCGGGUCAUUCACUGAAGCAGAAAACUCCCCAGACUCAUUGGGCUCAAGGACAUGAAUUGAUGGAGCAGAAUUCUGGGUCCUCGAAUCUGCAGUUACUGGCAAUAUGCUUGAAUCACUUACAUCAUCUGGUGUGAAGUGGAACUCAUUGCCAUCUCCCCCUAGUGAUUCCACUUCAAUGGGUAUUGCUGUCAUAGGAUGAUCUCUAGAGUGAGGUGGAGGGAGACGGUCUGCAUCCAAAACUUCAUAGCAUGCCUCACACAGAUCAAAAUCAGGACAAACAGUACAAUGCCAUCGCCGUCUAAGUAUAGGAACAGUGGUGCAACCAUCACAACAGUAUUGAACAGAUGAAGUGAUGGAAUCUUCUUCAAUCAUUACUUGGGCAUUUCUGCCAGUAGUGUCAGCAUGCACAGGGGCAGAUACUGCAUUUUCUGCAGCAUCAUCUGUGGCCAACAUAGUUUGCUUGGGAAAUGGAACCUGAAGCAACCUUGAUGAUAUAGCCAAGCUGGAAAGAAAAUGGUAGUACACGUGACUAACUGAAAAAAACUAAAAAACAAGUUGAACUCACCAUGAUGUAAUAAUAACAAUUACCUGGUUGAGGUCUGAACAGCCUCAUUGGGCGAAAAGAGAAGCUUUUUAAAUAAUACAACAGCAGGUCCAACAGAGUGUACCCCUGUAUCCUUUCCAUGCAAAGCCAGGCAUUCAGCAUAACAAUAAAUGAGUUCUACAGAAGAUAUGACAAUGUUGUUCAUUGUUUGUGUGUCAAGCUGCUCUAAGUCCAAAAUUCCCCACAGAACUUGAAUAAGCCCAUCCACAACUUCAGAACCUGCAUCAGGGAUGGGAAGAAAGAUCCUUUAAUUUAAAAUGAAGGACGCAGGAUGAGUGGAGCAAGCAACCCAAGAUAACAAAAUGGUUAAAGAAAAAUAAAAAAGGCAGUAAAUGAUCUGAAGAAAAGAAAAAACCAUUAUGUAUGUAUAAACUUGCAACACCACUUAAAGAAUUGUAUCUCUUCUUCCAGUAAGCACUUAAGGACACUUAAAGAAGAGUAAAGAAUUGUAUCUCUUCUUCCAGUAAGCACUUAAGGACACUUAAAGAAUUGUAUCUCUUCUUCCAGUAAGCACUUAAGGAGGUCAAGCUGUACAAGUUAACAAAAUGGCAGCAAUAUGGAUAAAAUCAUAAUACUUUAUAAAAGAUCAUCUCCUUUUUCCCCUUUUAAAUAACUACUUCAAAGACAACAACAAUCAACCCAUGUCUGUACAAAAAUUAACAAAGCUCAAGCCAUAGUAACAUUCCAACAAAACCCAGUCAGGCGUAGGAAAAAAUCAAAAUAUUAUUAACAUGGAAAAGAACUGCUGUUUUAGAAUGUCAGAAAAGUACCUCAUAAUACAGUGUAAAACCGAUAUAGGUAGGCAUUACAAUAGCACAUCAAAUAAGGUGAUUCAACUCUUUAUAUGAUGCAUGCAAAAGAAGAAACUACAAAUGAAAUAAUGCAAACUGUACUUGAUCAAAUCUUAUGGGAAGUAAUGUAUCAUAAAAUUUCAUACAAAUAACUAAAAGGAAAAACAAUAAUCUGUAUAUAAAUUGGAUAUUCAUACAUUAUAACUAGGCUGCAAGAAGAACAAAAAAUAAACUGUACCACCAAUGCCAUGAUAUGGCAUGAAUAAGCUACAGCUACUUAUCACCAAUCUCAAAGAAAUCAGUGAACAGGUAAGACACAUUUUAAGUUGAUAAGUUAAUAUACAGCAAGGAAAAGAACCUCAGCAUUAUCAAAGCUCGCUAAGUUGAGGAAUUUAGGCAGCGAGAUUCACUCAGUUUCUAUUCCCGUAAUAGGUUGAGGUACCAUCUACGACACAUACUUUUAUGAUGUGGUUACUACUUAAGGAACAUAUACUACAUCCACCACAAGAGAAUGUGAAGUCUUAAACAUGUAAACAACUUGGGGCAUCAGAGAAUGUGUGAAAUACCAUUUUUCUCUAAGAAUGUAGCCAGAUUUGAGCGACGGUGCAAUGCAAUCUUAGAUACUGCCCGCAUCUGGGCUGUAAACUCUUCAACUAUCCAUGCCCCUGCAGUACCACCAACCCCAAGCCUUGAAGAGAGUACAGAGGUCGACUUCACCACCCCAAGAAGCCGCAUGGUGUCCUUAACCUGAAGGAGAAGAUGUCAAUUACUGAUUAAACAACACAUUUCUUCAUUUACUAAUGCACAAAUAAGGACGAUCAUGCAUUGCAAGAAAAAAUGUUAAUGUAUCAUAUGGAUCAAAAGUGGGUAAUUACAUGAUAGUAGGUAUCUUUUUUGGGGAACACAGCCUGCAAGACAUGGCAAGCAGCAGCCUGCAACAAGGGCUCUCGGUCACUCUCAAAUAUUUUUUCUAAUAACUGCUUGCACCUCAGUUUCAUUAGCUCCGGAUUAACUUCCUCAGCUUUGGAGCAACCCUGAGACCUGCUCAAUGAAUAAAUGCUGGAUAGAAGCUUAAGACCAUCUGCUAUGACCUGCUCCUGUAUAGGAGCAGACUGCAUUGAUCGGCGUUUUUUCCCAGAUCCUGAAAGCAAGGAAUUACAACCAAGCACACGAGCUUCCAUAUCAAGUACAGCAUCCAUCUUUUCUUUCCAACCAAAUUCAUCUUUGGCUCUACCAUAUACUUCAAGGCAGUCAAUUCUAGGCAGAGCAGAUCCAUUGAAGGUUGGUCCAACAGAGAUUGUAAAUUCUUCAUCAGCAAGGAGCGACUCAGCAACUGUAAAUGGUAUAUCAUACCAAGACCGCAUGCCUUCAUCUAAUUUAAUGACCCGGUGGAAAAUAGUAAUGUCUGAAGGUAUAUGGUUUGCCGAUGUAUUACCAACAUGCACGCGAAACCCAACCAUGAUGAUAUCAGGGUUUGAAUUGAAGACAGAUAUCUGAGGCAGAAAAAGAAACAAUGUUAGAACCAUUGUAUUUUAAGUUAAACAUGAAAGCAAGUUCAUUAGAAUAGAUACAACCGAAAACAGAGUGGAUUUGGAACAAGCGGAAGAAAGGAGAUGAAACCAGAAACAAGAAAGGAGAUGAAUACCAGAAACUAGACUAAGCAUGCCAUGUAAGAAAGGAGAAAGGAGAUGAACACCAGAAAAUAGACUAAAUGCCAUGUACGCCAGGUCACUAGACCCUUUUGCAACAAUUACCUUAAAUCCCGCAGGGCUUGGACUUUCUAGAAAACCAUCCUCAGAUGCCAAGCUUUGCUUAGCCCCUUCAGAAUCACCAUUUCUGAUGGCAUCACCACCCAGUUUCACAUCUGCUGUUAUGCACACUGUUUUCUCAAAAAAAUCAAGUGGAAAUUCAGGGUUAACACCAGCAUAAGCCUUAUUACUGAGAAUGCCGGAACCCAAUUUUUUGACUUUCUCUGCUGUUACACUAGCACCAGCAUCAACUCCCAUUGGAACAUGUGAGUAUAUCUGAAGGCUACCAUCAUCGUGCAAAACAAGACAGUGAAUCUUAUCUUUGGAUAAAGGCUUAUAAGCAGUUGCUCCAACAAGAGGUGAAGUCGAACCCACUGCAUGUCUCAAGUUCUGUGCGAAUAACUCCUGUGAUCCCAUCGAUACAGCAAUGGCAGAAUUUAAUUUUAUACUUGAGAAGCAAACGAAUAACCCACUGCCUGCCAGCAAUUCCUUCCAACGAUGAAGUCCAGCAGACCGCAGUUUACCAUCUUGUUCCUCCUCGUAUAUAGUAGAUACCUCACUCAGAGAUGUGGCAUUGGGGCUUAGCCGACCAACCAAAGCAGUGCCAUCUUGAUAGGAUAGGAAAAGUAAUUUGUACACUGAUGAAAAGUACAAAGAUGAACCCUUCGCGUUUAUCUCUUUAUCCUGUAUCUGGAUUACUUCCUUCAAAGGUGUAGCCCCAACAUUACCGUCCACUGACAACUCUAGCCUGAAUAGCCUUCCAUUUUCUGAAAGAACAAUAAGAAACAUCCUCCCUAGAGUUGCCAAAAGAAGUGUUGCAUCCACAAUCAUAUCAUCUGGCAGUGUGAAGUAGUGUAUGGGACUGAUGUUGUCCUGAGAUAGAUCAUAUAUUUUGACAAACCUGUUGGUAACCACCAUUAAUUGAACCUGAGAACCUGGAACCCAAUCAACCCGUCUGAUAUAUGCACCUUGCAGUGCCAGUUCAAUGGCAAGACGAUCAGUCACUUCACCACGGGGAUUCAAGGUAAGGACCUGGCAAUCUUCAUAGCCUGCUACUGCAAGAUAAUUCUCCACCACUGGAUUGAAAGUAAGCUGCACAAUUUCAAAUCGAACAACAUUCUUGGAGAGGGGCUUAACAUUGGUUUUGUCUGCUGUCACUGGUGCAAUGGUGGCCUGUCCAAUCAACUGCCCAACAUCAAAUAUAGCAACUUUAUCACCUUCACCAACAGCAAGUCGCCCUCGAAUACUGACACUGAGCAAGGAUUUGACAAGAGAACCACUAGCUAAAUGUGAUUUAAGUUCCUUAGCAUUGGAAUAGUCUGCCUUUAUUUUCAGGUCUAAGGAGCCGCUUUUAUAUGCCUUCUUCAAUUGCAAGAGGUCAACACCAAAAGAAAGCACCUUGUCUUUACCAAGAAUGAUCUUAUUAUCUUUUGACAAGUUGGACUCUCUUCUACUAGUUAUAUAGGGGAACAAUGAGGAGCAAAGCUCGAGCACCUGACCUUCAACAUCAAGUUCUUCAAGCAACGGUGUGAUCCCAUCCUGAAGCUCUCUUGGGAUGGAUAGUCUGAGAGAGUUAUCUACAUCGGUACUAGUAUCCUCGUCAAGAUCUGAAUCACUUUCUGGCAGCUGCUCUCCAUCCUCCGUGAAAGGUAAAAAGGACUGGAAAUUACUAGUACUACGGAUGGGGGCGCUACUACUUCCUGUGUACUUGCGUGGCUUUAGGCAUUGACAAUUGCUGCCUCUAACACCCCCAGCUCCACAAUCACAAAAGAAACGACUAGAGCGAGAAUAAACAACACGAUGACCACGGUGACAAACUUUUGCACACACAGAGCAACAGCCUUUUGAGACAGUCAGAUCACAUGUAUAACAGAAGUACCAGUGUUGUUCCAUGAAAUUGCUACCGCUAGAAGUAAAUGUGCAAACUUUAGAAGCAAGGGCCCUUUCACUGUUAGUAUCGUCUUCGUCAUCCUUAUCCAGGCUAGCCACCUCACCAUCAGAAGUUCCAUCAUCCUCAUCCUCGUCUACAGAAGUUGCAUCACAAUCAAGAGCGAUGGACCCACCUUCUUCAUUAGUAGAAAGGACCAAUGUCUCGGAGUUCUUCCUUGAACCUAUGGGCCUUGAAGCCAUAGGUCCCAUACCAAAAGCAUUUCCAGGCAGAGAUUUUCCUGACAACUUUUCUGGGGUAUUCUUACCAGACCCACAAUCACUUAAGACACUACAGAAAAAGUCAAAAAGAAACUUCAGGCCUGGUAGCAGGCAAUCAUUGCCGGUCAGCUUCGGCAUCAGCAUUAUGGUCCUCUUUAAAAGUAAUUUCACUGAAGCAUCACCCUUUGAUAGCUGAACAACAAAAUGGAAAAAUGAUUUGGCAACAUGAAUAUCAAAUUUCAAAAAUGCAGGAUCAAGGGAGACCAGCACAGCUUCAAAAAUAUGACUCUGCAGUUCUGUUGAUUUCAAAUCAGAAGGUGGCGAUACAAUGCAUAAAAUAAAGUUCAUGGUCGACUCCCUCAGAGAGAGAGAACUUCCUUUUGCACUGUUAACUCCACCUGAAGCUUCCACAACACAACCUAAGAGCCUCUUCUCCAACCACUUGGAAAGCAAAAGUAAGUCCAUGCUGAGAAAUUUGUUUUGGAUCUUGUGUUUAAGAUCAGGACACAGCUCUCCAGUUAACAGAUCAACAAAAAAGCUAAGAACCUUUAUGUUAACUGUCUCAGAGUAACAAUUAUGUAGAGCGUCAAUUAGAACCAGUAAAUCACCACGCUGCACGCCGAAAAGCGCCUUCACCUGCUCUGGGACAUCUUCUACUCCAAGAUAGAACUUAAAAAUAUCAACCUUUGUAGGGUCUUUUCUAAGGCUAUCCAUCAUAUCAAUAGCCUUGGUGAUUAUGCACUCAUAAAUGCUGUUGUCGCUUACUCCUCUGGCAUUAAUGUCCCUUAGAAAACCCUCCAAGUGCUCUAAUAGAAUUAAAUUGGCAUAGUCUGACCCACCCAAGCCUGCACUCAAGCUUUCAUAAAUGGUUUCACAUUUCCCGUGAAUGCUUUCAAAGAUCCUAUCAAACUUGAUUGUCACAACAGUAUCAAGAAUUUGACGAAGUACCUCAAUCUCCACGCUGACAUUUCCUAUCACAUCUUUUAUUUUAAGCAAACCAACAAGAAUGGAAAUUAUCCCUCUUAUGUUAAAAAUGCAAGAAAGAAGAAUUCCACUAUGAGUCUGAAGAUUAAAUGGGAAACCAUGUAACAUACAUUCCCAGGAGACCCUGCACAAAAUUCCUGAAGCUCUUUUAUCAAUAAUAGCAUCAAACUUUACCAACAGGUCAAGAACAGACUCCAGACGAAAAGAAUAAGUGCCAGUCUUUCCAAGCUCAUCCUGAAGGCAUCUGUCAAAUCCUGAAUGUUUAAAGAGCAAGAGUGGUGAAAACCCAUCAGCAUCCUUCUGGCUAUUACCAAACGUAGCAACAAAAGCGUUCUGAUAAGCCUGUAAAUAUCUUUUCAACAAAGAUGAAAAUAUCUUAAACAACAUUGAAACAUGACCAGCAUCCAUCAAAGAAGAAAUCAUCCCUUCGGCAACAGCAAUAUACUCAUUGUCCUUAGACAUGUUCUCUAUCCAGUUUGAAACCACUCCUGUGACUCUAUUCUUCGCACCAUACCUCCAGAUGCCAACAUCAAGCAAGGAAAGUGCCAAAGACAACCACAUUGCAUUUCUCAAAAAACCCCAGCCUAAUUCCUCAAUGUAUUCAGGUACAAGUUCAGCGUCUAAGUGCUGAAGCAAAUGAACUAUAACUUCAGAAAAAUUGUUUUUCACACCAACACCAUGAUGACCUAGAAUUGAAUGGCUGAAGUAAAAGAAAUUUGCUAUUUCAGAAGUGUCAAGAGUCUGUGGAUCACUCCCUAAAGGAAGCUGAUGGUCUGUUGCAGUGCCAAUAGUUGGAAAGUCCCAACAAAGUACGAAAAUGUAUCUUUCAAUAAUGAGAUCCUCCACCACUGCAGCCUGUUUACCUUUCCAGAACCCCAGAAUUGAUGACAUGGUUGAACAGAUGUCAUCCCAACUCAAGCAUAAUCUGUCAAUAUUAAGACUGUCUGUGGACAGCGAAGCAGGGAGGGCAGAUAUAUCAAUCAGUUGAUGAAUUAAGGGACUGAUGUCAGGCUCUUCUUCACACCAUGUAGUCAUUACAUUUUUAAAUACAAUUGAGACCCAAGAUGACAAAUGAUCGUUCACCCCAGGCUGUGAACUGGAGUACGGAGCUUCCCUCAACUUGGAUCGUAGAUGUACAAGCAAAGAUGAAGGACAAGUCUGUGGGUAAAAUAUCAUAUGGCGAAGCACUAAAAUCAACCUUGAAACCAGUAAAGCCCAGCAAGACAAAUGUGUACUGUUGAAACCCGAAGCUGGAGCACCAAUUGUUCUGAGAGCAGAAAAUAUUAACUUUGCAUGUGAUGCCCUUUCCUCUUCAGACGAUAAGUGAAAUGCCACAAGAAGAAUCUCAAUAUGAAAAGGAGAUGGAAGGGCCUCAAGAAGCUCCUUAAAGCUAGGGCAUUUUAAAGAAAUAGCUUUUGUCUUCUCAGAAACAAAAUCCACAAACCCCCUGAAAAUUUGGUUUCUCAACCGGCUGCCAGCCAAACCCACCCUACAGAAAAGGGUGUGAGCUAGCAAGGUAAGGGUCUGAUUAUUGUAAACAAAAGUAUCAUUCUCAACAUUCAAAACUUUCUCAACAAAGUACUCUUCCAGUGAAUCAGAUAAAGCAUGGCGUGUGACAAGGUCCUGAAACAAAUCAAAACAAAGUUCAUGGGCAUGCCCAAUCUUUCUCUCUUCAUGUGAUAGAGAAUAGCCCUCAGCACUCCUCUCCUCAGCGCAUCCCUGACUGUGGAGUAAGGAUAAAAAAAUAUCAAUAUGGCUUUUGCUAAGCUUUGAGCAGCCAUCCGCAAAAACGGAUGGAUGCCAUUCAGGAGAGAAGAUGCACACUUUAAAAAAGCUCAACAGUUCUGUAGCAGCUUCCAUUGGCAUAUUACUCUGGCUAGAGCUAGAGUUAGCAACAACUGGUGGCUGAUCAUAUCCGUCAGUAGAUCCACGGCCACUUUCAGAGAAAAGGUCUCCAAAAAGGGCUUCUUCUUCAUGGCAAACCACAUUUUCCAAUUCAGAGCUGCAAGUAGUUUUUGCACAACUAGAAUAUGACCUCUCCACCUUUGGCCUCAGUUUCACUCCCUCCGAAUGAAGGAACAAGAUAAGAUGCAUUAGAUCAUCCAUCCAUUGUUUUGAGGAAGGGAAUAUCAUCUGUACUAGAUGUUCAAAUGUGAACCUGUGAAGUAAAGGAACUUUCUCAGAAUGAACAAUGCAUGAAGGGGAACCAAGAAAAUUGACACUACUGCCAACAAGUUCUGUGUCUAACUCCUUCCAAUUGACAGCCCGACUAGUCUGUCUCUUAAGGUCGUGAAUGAGCAUCAAUAUGUAAACAACAAUUCGUGGAGAAUAAGCUAGUGGGGGCUUCAGGUUAGCAGCAGACUUGUUAUAUCUCCAUACAGAAGAGUCUAAAUUAUCUAGUAUGGAAGCUACCACACACACUUGGACAUUCAAGAAAACACUGCUGUUGCAGAAAGUAACCCGGACGAGUUCAAGGAAGUCUUCCAGUAGCAACAGAGUGAGGCUCUCAAAACUACCAUCGGCUGCAACAUUGCUAUUUACAAACUCAAAUCCAGAUCUAAACAACACAGGCACUGCAUCAGCAAAAGUACCAACUGCUUGCACCAAUGAGGCAUCAUAUUCAAUAUAUGGGAUGUCCUUCGUGAGACUUCCAAGUAGCUUUAUAAUCCUCAAACUGAAAGACAGCCUCUUAUAGAAGUUUGUCCCAGCCAUCUUCUCAUCAAACAUAUCUGGGAGCACAAUGAGUUCCUUACAGAGCAAGAUCAAACGUUGAAUACACCCCACGUGAGCAACUGCCCAAUGUUGAGAUAGAAAAACCAAUUUGUUCAAAUCCUGGUGGACAGUAGGCCCACCAAACCCACUGGUCUGCCUAUCAGAUUGUAUGCACUCAGAAGCUAAAGACAUAAACAGACGAUCCACCGGUUUCUCUGACCUUGAGCAAUUGACACCUUCUCAUACACAUAAAAAGUAUAUAACAUCAGUACCAGUAAGACAUGAGGCAACAACACUAGAAGAAAUCAAGUCUUACAACCAAAACAAUCACCUUGAGGGCCACAUUUAAUGUGGUUAUCAAACUCAUUACCACAAGAACUACUGGUAACAGAUGGUAACAAUUCCACCAGACUAUCAACAGAGCAAGGUUGCAGUGUGUCAGGUGCUUUAUCCAUUUCAUCAACCAACGCUAUCUCCAAAAGCUGCACCAUCAUACUCUGCAAAACAACAAGAAUUGGACUAUCAAAACAAGAUAGAGCCACUACUCACCUCCCCAAACAUGUGUAAACAGGUAGCAAUGCAGAACACUAAAUACAUAAAAAUUAAAAUAAAAAAAUAAAAAAAAAUUUUAUUUUUUUUAAUUUUAAAGGGAUUUUUGGAAUAAUCAGAAACCAACCCAACAAAAGAGGACCUCAUCCAUAAAUCCAAAAAAAUAUGGGUACAGGGGGCAGAGAGAAAAUAAAAAUGAUCUCCCUCUCUCCCUCCUUCACACAAGACACAAGACAACAGAGCAAAUUGAUGUUUGCAAUUAAUGCGGCUAAGCAGAAGUAAAAUUCAAACUAAACUAGUCAUACCAUAUCGAAAGAAGAACUACUAACCUGAAUGCUCAUAUCUUCGCUGUUAAAUUCUGAUCUCUCCAAAUAACAUACAGCAAAUUCCAACGACAGUUGCACAAUGGCAACGAUUAUUGCUUCCGCUUGCCCCACUACAAAGAAAUUAAGUACAUUUAUUACCACUAGCAAAAAGUACAACCACUUACAUGUAAAAGCAAAAAAAGCUAGAAGCUACAGGCAUACAGAGAAAACUAGCAACAACCCACAAUCAAGUACUUGGAAUUUGAUAUACUCUACUUCUAUAUUCAAAAGAUAGCAAGAGAAACUCAAGCGGAAAGAGUAGGCCACUAAUUUCACGUAGAAGAAAAUGAAAUGAAGCCAAGUACCCAAUAGAGAUCGAGAGGAGGAAGCGAUGGCAUAGGCAAUCGAAUAAACUGCUUGAAUUUGAGAAUCGGCCCAUGAUUGGAACCCUAGCUUCCCGUCUCCGGCGGCCUCAACGCCGCGUUUAAGAAUCAGAAAAAGGUUCUCGAGGCCAGGUCUGAUGGAGUCGGAGGAGGAGCGCAGCCUCUGCAAGAGAUCAGCAGAGGAGAUGGGUUUGUUUUCCGAGUAGAGAGACUCGACGAGUUUGGGGAAGGCCUCGGCCAUGAGGAACGAGACGAUCGGGUGAAAGACAAGUGAGAAUUAGUGCAUCGGAGAAAAGGCAAGAAAGAGAGAAGAAGAAGAAGAAGAAGAAGAGUGUUUGGGUCGGUAGUGAGGUUGAAAAAUGAAAUGGGUCUAUGGAAUAAAAAUGUAAAUGUUUUAAGGCGGUCGAGAGGAAUUUAGUAAAAAGCAAAUUUGUGGUGAUUGAUGGGUUUAAGGAGACCUUUUUACUUUUACUAUUUACUUAUUAUGGAAAAGAGUUUGCUUUUUUCCCAAGCAAAUGUGAUUCUUGGGAAUAUUUUUUUUUAUAUUUGAUAUGCAAUGUAAUACAAAUGUUUGUCGUUUAGAUAGAGAAAGUGCAAUACCAAUGCGUUAUUGAUAUAGACUUGUAGUGAUACUUAUCUUCUCGAUAAAGAAAAGUAAUACCGACCAUAAACAGUAAAUCAGUAAAAUUACUAACUGAAUUUGUUUGUAACACAUGAUUGUAUGAGGAAAUUAACUAUUAGUUUUAGUUGAAGUCACAUGAGAUUAAUAAAUGGAUGAGAAUAAACAUAGUAUGUUCAAAUCAUUAUGUAAGAAGAAGAAGAAGAAAAAAAAAUUUUAAUCUAGUAUGGAUUGACGAAAAGAAAUCUCAAAGAAGAUGCAUGUCUUAUCAUCCAAGAAAGAUGAAUGAGACAAAAUAAACUUUUGACGAAGACCAUAAAAUUAAAAUAAAGUAAAUAGAUAACAUUCGAACACUCAUGACAAUUAUUAUCACUUUGAAUGAAUCGGGUGUAAAUAAACUCAACAAUAGGUGUUAUAAUAUGCGACAGAAAUUAGGCUUCUUCCUCAUUGUAAAUGUGCAGCACAAUUAGUAAUUAUAAGAGCAUGUCUAGUGGGGUGUUUAGCCCAGGCCAUGGCUGGUUUAAGCCUAAAAUAGUAAUAUUGGAUUGCUAAUGGGAGGAUUUGGCCUAGGUCAAGAAACCCGGGCUCCAUGGGGGAUCUAUAUUUGUGUAAAUGGUUUGGUCAAUUGAGAUUCUUACAACUUUGUUCCAUGGAGAUAUAUUCUAAUUAUGCAAAAUGAAAUUUGAUAUUGAUUGAAUAAUGAGUUUCUAUAUGUCAAUACAUAUAAAAGGGUUCUUUAUAAUUGGACACGAAAUAUACGGGAAGAGGAGUUCAAACGUUAUAUUUCGGUGUGGCAAAUAGCUUGUCAUGCACAUAAAUAUUUUACUCACCAUCGUUCAUCAGUGAAGAAAAGGAAGAAGAAGAAGAAUAAGGCUUAUUAUCACAAAACGUCCCUAAGGUUUACGAAAUUAUCAGAUUGCAUCCUUAAUGUUUUUUUUUUGUCACUCGUGGUCCUCAAGGUUAGUAUGUGCGAUCACAAAUGAUCCCUGCAUUAGGUUCCGUCAAAAACUCCGUUAGUGUGCUGACGUGGCAUAUAUAUAUAUCACAAAACAUCCCUGAAGUUCACGCACCUAAUGUUUCGAAUAUGGAGUUUAUUAAAUUCAUAUAUGGAAAACAACAUAGAAUCGUAAUUCAUGUGUGACUUUUAUACCCGCACAUGGAAAAGAAAUGAAAAGCUAGAGCUUAGAAGAUAAGAAGCAAGACCCAAAGAUCAAACACUUUAAACAAAUGAAAAUGAUCUCUUUUGUAGACGUACAAACCUUACACAGACUGACUUUGAUGCUGUACCCCAAAAAAACAAUAAAAGAAAGGAAGGAAAAACAGUUUAUCAAGGUUAAUGAGACGUUCUUGUUUUUUGUGGCGGUUUUUCAACUUUCAACGGCGGUUUUUAUAAUUUAGCUCCGGUUUUUGUACUUUUCGUUAAGAUUUACUGUUCAAAAUCAUGGCAGACAUCAAACUGAGCAUCCUACCCUUUCUAAUGACAACCAACAACAACUUUGGAACCCCCCUGCCUCUCCCUUUGUCAAAGUCAACGUGGAUGCAUCAUGGAAUCCAAACUCAAAGAGGGUUGGCAUUGGUAUCCUAAUUAGGAACACUCAUGGAGACUUUAUCAAGGGUUCAUCCAUCCCAUCUGUGGCGAACUCUGCUAUUGAGGCUGAGGCACAAGCUUGUCUUGAAGACUGUAAGCUCGCUGCUGAGAUGGGUUAUCGUCAAGUAACUUUUGAAUCUGAUUGCAAGGAAGUAAUCUCUCCUUUGAAGGGCCCCUUAUCCAAUGGAAGGUGGGAAAUCUAUCCUAUCCUAAGUACUGUUUGAGAUGUUUUGAACUGCUUCCAGACCUACGUUUGGACGUGGAUUCCUAGAACCGCCAACCAAGCGGCAGAUCAUUUGGCAAUGCUUGCCAUUUCGAGGAUGAGCCCGGAAGUAUGGGUCAACCGACCCCCAUCCUCUCUAAUGCAUAUCCUGAACAAAGAUGGUUUACCAUGCCCCCCAAGGAGUGCUUAAUGUUUGCGGAUGUGUGGGCUUCUCGACGUAUCCGGUUGUCUUAUGACUACGUCUUUUUAUUAGUCCUUCUUCUAUGCAGCUGUGAUGUUUUAUUUCUUGUUGUUCGUUGUGCCUAGCUCCUUUAUAGGUUGUGUACUUUCUCUUGGCUGUUUGCCUUUUUAUGAAAAUUCCAUAUUUCAGACCAAAAAAAAAAAAAAAAAAAAAACUCCAAAGUGACUUUAGCUGCGGAAAAAGCCGUCGCUAACUGCAGCUAUAGGAGCUUUUAUCUACGACUCGGAAAAUCGCCGCUAAAACGUAGAUUAAAAUUUCAACGAAAAUUUUUAUGCAAAAAAACAAAACACCUUCCUUUUUAAUCUCUUUUAUUGUUCAUACACAUAUUACAUGGCAUUUCUAUUUGAAGUCUCGUCCAAAUAACUACAAUUGGAUACAUGAAGCAGAUGAACAAUGUCUUCAAGAAAAUUAUUUUUCACAUCAACACCACGACGACCUUGAAUUGAAUGGCUGAAGUAAAAGAUAUUUGCUAUUUCAGAAGUGCCAAGAGUCUGCAGAUAGCUCCCUAAAGGAAGCUGAUUGUCCUUUGCAGUGCCAAUAGUUGGAAAGUCCCAACAAGGUACGAAAAUGUAUCUUUCAAUAACAAGAUCCUCCACAAUUACAGCCUGACAUGGUUGAACAGAUGUCAUCCCAACUCGAGCAUAAUCUGUCAAUAUUACAACCGUCUGUGGACAGCAAAGCAGGGAGGGCAGAUAUAUCAAUCAGUUGAUGAAUCAAGGACUGACGUCAGGCUUUUCUUCAAACAAUCCAGUCAUUACAUUUUGAAAUACAAUUGAGACUCAAGAUGACAAAUGAUCGUUCACCCCGAGCUGUGAAGUGGAGUACGGAGUGUCCCUCAACUUGGAUCGUAGGUGUACAAGCAAAGACGAAGGACAAGUCCGUGGGUAAAAUUUCAUAUGGCGACGCACUAAAAUCAAACUUCAAACCAGUAAAACCCAGCAAGACAAUGUGUACUGUUGGAAACCGAAGUUGGACCACCAAUUGUUCUGCGAACAGAAAAUAUUAACUUUGCAUGUAAUGCUUUUUCCUCUUCAGAGGAUAAGUGAAAUGACAUGAGAAGAAUCUCAAUAUGAAAACCAGAUGGAGCUAGAGUUAGAGUUAGCAACAAUUGCUGGCUGAUCGUAUCCAUUUGUAGUUCCACAACCACCUUCAUAGAGAAGGUCUCCAAAAAAGGCUUCAUCUUCAUGGCACGCAAUAUUUCUAAUUCAGAGCUGCAAGUAGUUUUUGCACAACUAGAAUAUCACCUUUCCACCUUUGGCCUCAGUUUCACUCAAGGAAAAAGAUAAGAUGCAUCAGAUCAUCCAUCCAUUCAUUGCUUUGAGGAAGGGAAUAUCAUUUGCACUCGAUGUUCAAAUGUGUGCCUGUGAAGUAAAGGAAUUUCUCAGAAUGAACAAGGCAUCUAGGGGAAUCAAGAAUAUUGACGCUAUUGCCAUCAAGUUCUGUGUCUAACUCCUUCCAAAUGACAGCCUGACUAAUCUGUCUCUUAAGGUCGUGAAUGAGCAUCAAUAUGGAAACAACCAAUCAUAGAAAAUAAGCUAGUGGGGGCUUCAGGUUAGCAACAGACUUUGUUUUAUCUCCAUAAAGAAGAGUCUAAAUUGUCUAGUGUGGAAGCUACCAUGCAAAACACAGUUGUUGCAGAAAGUACCCCAAAUGAGUUCAAGAAAGUCUUCCAGUAGCAACAGAAUGGGGUCUCAAAACUACCCUCGAUUGCCACAUUGAUAUUUACAAACUCCAAUACAGGUCUAAACAACCCAGGCACUACAUCAGCAAAAGAACCAACUGCUUGCACCAAUGAGGCUUCAUAUUCAAUAUCUAGAUUUCCUUUGAGAGACUUCGAAGUAGCUUUAUAAAUCCUCAAACUGAAGGACAGUCUCUUCAAGAAGUUUGUCCCAACCAUCUUCUCAUCAAACAUAUCUGGGAUCACAAUGAGUUUCUUACAGAACAAGAUCAAACAUCUACUGAACCACACAUGAGCAACUGCCCAGCCUGAGAAAAAUUUAUUUGUUCAAAUCCUGAUGGAUAGUAGGCCUGCCAAACCCACUGGUUUGCCGAUCAGAUUGUAUGCACUCAUAAGCUAAAGACAUAUCCAGACGAUCUAGCGGUAUCUCUGACCCUGAGCAAUUGACACCUUCUCAUACACAUAAAAAGUACAUCAUCAGUACCAGUAGGCCAUGAGGCAACAACAUAGAAGAAAUCAAAUCUUACGACCAAAACAAUUACCUUGUGGACCAAAUUUAGUGUGGUUAUCAAACUCAUUACCACAAGAACUACUGGUAACAGAUGGUAACAAGUCCACCAGACUAUCAACAGAGCAAGGUUGCAGUGUGUCAGGUGCCUUAUCCAUUUCAUCAACCAACGCUAUCUCCAAAAGCUGCACCGUAUUACUCUGCAAAACAAAACAAAAAUAGAGCAACUACUCACCCCCUCCCCAAGCAUGCACAAACAGGCAGCAACGCAGAACAGUGAAUACAUAAAAAUUACAAAUUAUAAAAAAGGAUUUGUGGACAAAUCAGAAACCAACACAACAAAAAAUGACUCAUCCACAAAUCCACAAAGUUCAGGGUACAGGGCACAGAGAAAAAGUAAAAAAAUUCACUCCCUCUUUCCUUCACACAAGAAACACUUAUUGUUAAUGUUGCUACUGAUUUGAAUCUAUUAAACAUGAAAGUUUCAGGCUUCUAAGCACAAGACAACAGAGCGUACAAUAAUAGAGCCACGGAGAGAGCCCUCAAAUUGAGUUGUUGAAGUUAAUUUUCAGAAAAUUUAAGGUGUUUUGAGGGUUAAGGAGGUUUCUAAGUUCAAUAAAAAUCAUUAAAAACUUUGAGUACAAAAGAAUCCAGUAUAGCCGGGCGGCUAUACUCUUUUUACACCGGCCAAGGCCUAUGCGCCACGUCGCAACCGGUUACAGCAGAGCGUCACAGCCAACUUAAAAAAAAUUGGGGAAAAUAAGUAUAGCCGCACGGCUAUACUAUUUCUAGAAGAAAAUUAAAAAAGAAUCCAGUAUAGCGGGGCGGCUAUACUCUUUUUACACCGGCCAAGGCCUAUGCGCCACAUGGCAAACGGUUACAGCGGAGCGGCUGUAUUAUAUUUUUAAUUACAAUUUUUGAAAAAAAGUAUAGCCGUGCGGCGAUACUAUUUGUAAUAAACAAUUAUGGAAAAACUGAAAUUUUUUUCAAAAAUAUAUUAUUUUUAUUCAAUAAUAUGUUAGAAUUAUGUGUAUAAUACGUGAAUUUUGCGUCUUACUAAAAUUUUUGUUAAAAUUAAGUGCACUCAACAUGAGAAAUAGUGUAUAAAACAUUAUUAAAUGUGAAAGUGCAAAAAUAUUUAUGCGGGUAAUAGCUUUGGAAAAGUAAAAAAUCAAAAAGGGACAGUAGAUACUCGAGCAAUGACCUAAUAAUAACAGAUAGGGCUCUUGGGCUAUGGAGAAAUUUAAUUAAGACACCCAAACGAGUUCACAAAAGACUUAAUAAAUAUAAAUGAAUUAUUUAUAUGGAGCAGAGUUAAAAUUAUCUAUUCAAUUCACAAACAAUCUAUUUAAAAAAAAAAUGGCUGUGUAUCUGUCUUUCUUGUUUGAUUAAGAAAAAAAAAAUUCACAUCUGAAAUUACUUGCCAAUUCUAGAAUGCACAUUUAGAGAGUAGUAAACCGGCAGUAAAAUGAUAUCCAACUCCUAGUAUUGUAACUAAACGCAAGAACAUGGAGCUCACCAACCAAAGAGUAGUCAAAUCCCUUAAAACUGCGAACUUUAUAUAAUUUUUCAAAAACUUCAAUAAAAAACGAAAAUUCAAGUGGAAAAGAGAAGGUCACUAAUUUCACGUUGAAAAAGAAAAGAAAUGAAGCCUAAUCAAGAGGGAGAAGAUGUGGCAUAGGCAAUCGAAUAAACUGCUUGAAUUUGAGAAUCGGCCCACGACUGGAGCCCUAGCUUUCCGUCUCCGACGACCCCAACGCAGCGUUUUGGUAUCAGAGAGGAGCGCAGCCUUUGCAAGAGAUCAAUUGACAAUUAGAUUAGGGGUGUCUAGCCCAAAAUGCUCAAAUUGGGGCCUUUUUUUCUUGUUUUUUUAACAACUGCACACGGGUGUACUAUUUUUUUUUUUAAUUUAAAAACCGGAUUAUACUAAUUUUUUUAAAAUCAGCAAAAACAAGUAUAGCCGACUGGCUAUACUAUUUCUUAAAAAAAUAAUUGAAGGAAUCUAGUAUAGCCGGGCGGAUAUACGAUUUAUAUAUAUAAAAAAGACCGGCCUAGGGCCGAGGCGCUACGAGUCAAAAUAGUAAAGCCAGGCGGCUAUACUAUUUUUUUAAAAAUUACUAAAAACAAGUAUAGCCGAGCGGCUAAACUGCUUCUUUAAAAAAAUAAAAAAAUCUAGAACUGUUUCUUUAAAAAAAUAAAAAAAUAAAAAAAAUAAAAAAAUCUUGUAUAGUCGAGCGGCUAUACGAUUUAUAUCUAUAUAUAUAAAGCAAAAUGCAGAGAAUUGUGAAACAUUCAAAAUAUCAGAAAAUGCCCUUGGUUAAUGCAAAUAUUAAGAAUUGAAAUUAUUAAUUAAAUGAGGAGAAUAUGCUAAAUUCACACUUUUUCAUAUUAAAAAAAUUAAAAUUAAAAGACAAAUUAAAUAAUGGAUCCCAUUUUUAUGGAAUACAACUACCCAUUAUUUUUAUGCCCAGCUUAGGCACUACGUGUCAAAAGAGUAAAGCCAAGCGGCUAAACUAUUUUAAAAAAAAUAUUAUUUUUAUACAAUAAUAUGUGAGAAUUAUGUGUAUAAUGUGUUAAUUUUGUGUGUCUUAUUGAAAUUUGUGUAAAAAAAUAUGUGUAUUAAACAUAAAAAAUACGUAUGUACCUAUAUAAUACAAGUAUUAUACGUUUGUCGAGUCUUUAAGACGUUUGCAGAACAUGACACGAAUAUAUUAUUGAAAAAUACGUACGUAUGUGUAUUAUAUAUUAUUAAACGUCAAAGUGUUAAAAUCUUUAUACGGGUAAUAACUUUGAAAAAGUAAAAAAUCAAAACAGUAAAGAUGUACGGCUAUACUAUUUUAAAAAAAAUUAGUAAAAAACGAGUAUCGCCGUUCGGCUAUACUAUAUCGUCCAACAAGUUAAAAAGAUCUAGUAUAGCCGCGCGGCGAUACUAUAUAUAUAUAAAGCAAAAGAUAUAGAAUGGUAAAACAUUCAAAAUACCAGAAAAUGUCUUUGGUUAAUGCAAACAUUAAGAAUUGAAAUUAUUAAUAAAUGGGGAUAAUAUGGUAAAUUCACACUUUUUCAUAUUUAAAAAAAAUUAAAAUUAAAAGAAAAAUAAGAUAAUAAAUCGUAUUUUUAUGGAACACAACUACCCAUUAAUUUUUUUAAUUCUAAAAUAAAUUUUUUAAAAUUUGUUUUUAAAAAAAAGGCCUCUCACAAGCACGGAAGUGCUUGCGGAGAGGCUAGUGUAUAUAUAUAUAUAUAUGAACCGCCCGCGCUGCUAUACGAUGUUUUAAAAAAUUAUUAAACACAAGUAUAGCCGUGCGGCUAUACUAUCUCUUUCAAAAAGUUAAAAAGAUCUAGUAUCGUUCACCCAUAAAUUUAAUAAAAUAUUUUAUUUAAGUAUAAAUGCUAAUAAUAGGCAAAUGCUCCUUUCCAUUGCCUAGGCAAGCGUCAAAAUAGUAAAGCCGCAUGGCUAUACUGGCUAUACUACGAGUAUAGCCAGUUUCUAAAAAAAAAAAAAAAAUCUAGUAUAGCCGUGCGACUAUACGAUAUAUAUAUGCACUUGGCUGGUGGUGGAGCCGGCAUGGAAGUGUUUAAAAAAAUGGUGAAUUGGAUAACGAAUAGAAAGUUGACACAUGGGAUAAACUACAGUAACAACACUUGUUAUUGUAGGAAAAUGUUCAAAUUAACAUAAGAAGUACCUUUGGUAACGGUAGGGAUAGAAAUUAGAAUUUGUUCUCUAUGAUAAACUCAUUGCUUCCAACUUUUUCUGUUUCUAAAAUCAAAUUUAAAUAUUCAUCAUUGAAGACAAUUAUUAUUUUUUUCUUCAUACAAACACAAAAAAGUUUAUUUUUGCCACACAAACAAAUACAUCACACAAUUUAUUUGAAAUCAAAUAAUUAUAAGUAAAUAAUAAAUUUUGAAUAAAUUUGCCUUAUUUAAUUAGUGAAAUUAGUAAUUAUAUUUUAAUUAUUAUUUAUUUAGUGAAUAAUUAGUAUUAAAUUUAUCAAUUAACUUCAUGAAUUAUAUUACUUAAUAAAUAGUAGGCUUAUUUUCACAAAACGUCCCUAAAGUUUACGAAACUAUCAGAUUGCAUCAUUAAUAUUUUUUUUUGUCACUUGUGGUCCUUAAGGUUAGUAUGUGCGAUCACAAAUGGUCUAUGCCGUUAGGUUCCGCCAAAAACUCUGUUAGUGUGCUGACAUGGCAUAUAUAUAUCAGUACUGAUCUCUUGGACUACAUGGGUCCAAGAGAUUUGUGGUCACUCACCGUUGGAUGUAAAUUCAAUGGUUCACUCACUUUUGCACUCAUUUUAAAAAACUUUUUAGAACCAUUGGAUUAAUAUCCAACGGUAGGUGACCACAAUCUCUUGGACUCCUGUGGUCCAAGAGAUCGGGACUGAUAUAUAUAUAUAUAUCACAAAACAUCCCUGAGGUUCACGCACCUAUCACAAAUGGUCCCUAUGAAAAUUGUUAAUUUUUUAAUUUAAAAUUCAUAAAAUUUUGAUUUUCUUUUUAAAAAUAUUUAUAAAUUAAAAAACCAUUUAUAUAAGGAUUUUAAUCAUGAGGACCACUUAUGAGCCCUAAACUCUUAGUUUUUUAAAUUUUAAAUUUUAUGAAUUUUAAAUUAUUUUUUAAAAACUCCAUUAGUUUGUUGAUGUGGCAUAUAUAUGGAGCCCACAUCUACAAUAAUAUAGUGUCACAUGUAUUUAAAAAAUAAUAUAUUUUUUAAAUAAUUUAAAAUUCAUAAAAUCUUAAAAAGAAAACCAAAAUUUUAUGAAUUUUAAAUUAAAAAAUUUCGCAGGGACCAUUGUGAUCACACAUACUAACCUUGAGGACCACGAAUGAUAAAAAAAAUAUUAAGGAUGCAAUCUGAUAGUUUCGUAAACCUUAGGGACGUUCUGUGAUAAUAAGCCUAAAUAGUAAUUCAAAUUUUCCCUUUUUCUUUUUCCCUUUAAUAUUCACCAAGUAAAACAUAACUACUAAUCAAAGUAAUUAAAAAGAGAGCUACUUAAAGGGUAUAGCUGCGUGGCUAGACUUUUAAAAUAUUAUAUUAUUCGGAGUACCGCCGCGCGGCUAUACUUCGAAGAUAUUCUUUUGAGGUGCCCUUUGUGAACACCCCACAUCGAAAAUCCACAAUCCUAUAAAGGUCUUUAUAAACAAAGCUCUAUGAUGGUUUGGUAAGUGUGGUUAACAUUAGAGAGUUGGGGUAAUGGCCACGGCUUUGGAUUUGGCGCUGAUUAAUAAUAAUUAUAUUAUAUUAAUCAAAGACUUGGGCCUUGGGGCUCUUGGGUUUUGGAGAAAUUUAAUUAAGACACCCAAACGAGAAUAAGCAAUUUAUUAUUUUCGUUUUUGACAUAUCCUUUCAAUUUAAAUUUGAAUAAAAUUAGGUUUGAAAAUUGCACAAAAUAAUUUAAAAUAAUUAAUUACUAUUUAUUGAGCAAUUUUUUAUUUCAUGCAUCUUUUCGAGAUCUAGAACGUCCCAAGUCACUUGAAGCAGCUUCAGUUCUCCAGACCCCCAAAAAACGAUGUUUUCUGCUGUAAAACUAGAUUACAUCUUCCCAAUGUAACAACACAUACAUAUUUUCCUUACAUUUUCUUAAUGUCAUGCAAACAAAACUUCAAUUUUGAACAUAGGAAUCAGUAAGUGAUGGGCGGACUCAUUUUUUAUGGGUCAAAAGCUGUAUUACAAUAGCAAUAUAGAAUGGAGAGUGGUGUUCAAGUACAUAUAACGAGCAACAGUUUUGAAAUGUUUCAUAUUAGAUGGGCUGGUUUUUGUUUUAAUUAUUAACUUCAGGGUCUAGGGUUCAAGUCACAGAGAAGGCACACCUGAGUUUUUAUUUAUUUAUAUUUUAUAAAUAUGUAUUUUUUUAAAUGUUUUCACUUGUUAAUUUUACUUUGAUGCUUUUGUCAUGCCACAUGUGUGCACCCUGUUCGACAAGCCUCCUAUAGCCAUGUUGAUGACAGAUGUCGAAGCAAGCUGCCUUGAGAAUUUCUUGGGCACGUCAUGGGCACUUCUAGGGAAUGCGUUGAAUGGACACUUCUUGGGCAUGCGUUGAAUAGCCAUGUUUCGGGCAUGCGUAGAAAAUUGCACAAAAUAAUUUAAAAUAAUUAAUUACUAUUUAUUGAGCAAUUUAUGAAAUAAGUAACAUAUUUAAAUAUUCACUAAAAAAUAAGAAUUAAAACACAAUUACUAAUUAAAGUAAUUCAAAAAGGAUAAGAUAUUACUUAAUUACAUAUAUUAAAUUAAGGAAGUUAGCCAAAAAAAAAAGUAAAGAAACUAAUUUUAUAUUUUUAAAAAUUAAAAUUUUCUUUUAAAAAAAAAACAUGAACACUUCUCUCGAUGAAAUUUCGUUGGCACAGAUCUAUGCCGGCAAAAUUUACCGGAUUAAGUUUCUCCCGACGAAAAUACCUGUGCCGACGAAAUUUUGUUGAGAGAGGUCUUUUAGUAUAUAUAUAUAUAUAAACUUAGGAUGUUUAGGUUAAUUAAUUUUUAAAAAUGUUAUCGUUAGUAAUUAAAUAAUAAAUUUGCCUUAUUUAAUUAGUAAAAUUAGUAAUUAUAUUAUAAUUAUUAUUUAUUUAGUGAAUAAUUAGUCUUAAAUUUAUCAAUUAACUUCAUGAGUUAUAUUACUUAAUAAAUAGUAAUUCAAUUUUUUCUUUUUCUUUUUCCCUUUAAUAUUCACCAAGUAAAACAUAACUACUAAUCAAAGUAAUUAAACAGAGAGCUACUUAAAGGGUAUAGCUGCGUUGCUGGACUUUUAAAAUAUUCUAUUAUUCGGAGUACAGCCGCGCGGCUAUACUUUGAAGAUAUUCUUUUGAGGUGCCCUUUGUGAGCACCCCACAUUGAAAAUCCACAAUCCUAUAAAGGUCUUUAUAAACAAAGCACUACGAUGGUUUGGUAAGUGUGGUUAACAUGGGAGAGUUGGGGUAAUGGGCUUGGCUAUAGGCUCGACUUUGGAUUUGGCGCUGAUUAAUAAUAAUUAUAUUAUAUUAAUCAAAGACUUGGGCCUUGGGGCUCUUGGGCUUUAGAGAAAUUUAAUUAAGACGUCCAAACGAGAAUAAGCAAUUUAUUUUUUUUCGUUUUUGACAUAUCAUUUAAAUUUAAAUUUAAAUGAAAUUAGGUUUGAAAAUUGCACAAAAUAAUUUAAAAUAAUUAAUUACUAUUUAUUGAGAAAUGAUAUUGGGCUUGACAAUCUUAUUCUUUGAGCUGAACCUGCAGUUUAGGCCGAGCCUACUAUGAUAUGGUCAUUGAUUUUGGGCCUUUCUUCCUUUUGAGCCCAAUCAUCACCCUAAUGUGUUAUUGUCACGUCAUUUUCCUUUUGUGGGUCCAAGAACGUUUCAGGUAUAAACACAGACCUUAAGGACGAAAAGUGAUAAUUUUAUGAAUCUCAUGGACAAUUUAUGAUAAAAAGCCUUAUUUUUAUGAUGUAUUCAGUAUUUUUUGCAUUAUGAUUUGAAUCCUUUUAGAAUUUAUGCUUCUAAUAUAAUGCUUUUAUUCAGAAGUAAGAAUUUUGAUUAUCACUAAGCUGUCGGAUAUGCAUUCACCAACUAGUUUUUUGAUUUCAUUGUUAUUUUUUGUUCUUAAUUUUGGAGGGCAUUUGAUUGUGAGCGAGGAUUACCAUCUCAUUCAUUGAUAUUAGAUGAGUGUGAUUUAAUAUACAGCACACAUCUCAAAAUCAAAUUCAUCUUUUGAUAAUGCUUAGGGGUGGUUAGCAAAAAUACUUGCUCCCUUAAUUUUUAAAGUGAUCACAGGUUUUGAAUCCCCUCAUCCCCUGAGAUAAAAAACAACGCUCUAUUGAGCGUUAAUAUUAGAUCAGAUGGUGUUGAACUCCAAGUAUUUUAAAUUUAAUUAAAAAUAUGUAAGAAAUUUGUAGCUUAAGUGAUUAAGUAGUUACCGACAUCUAAGGUCUUGUAUUCGAAUAUCCCUUUCCUAAUAGCGCAUGUGUAAAAAAUAAUAAUAUUAAAAAAAGUCAAGAAGAUGCUUCUCAGCAUGUUUUUCGGCCAAUUUCAAAAUUACAUAUAUGCCCUCUAUUAUCUCCAUGCAAAAAUGCAUUAAUGGGUAUAUAUUAUGGUAAUUGCCAUGGACACAGGUGGCUCUAGAUAGAGCUAUUUCUCCUUUUAUGAAAGGAAUCUCCUUAAGAAGGGGUGGACAUGGAUGACAACUCUGACAGAGCAACGACCUUGAAGAGAUACUCAACGUGGCUAAAUAUGCCUGUGAAAUUUUUAAAAAAGAACAAAAACAAGAAAAAGAAAAGAAAAGCGUUUCCCUUCAUGCAUUCAUGACUCAUGAUUCAUGAAUGAGAAGACUACCCAACCCAAUUUCCUCAACCCUAUUUUCAGUAAUGACAAAACAGAAAUUGCAAAACUCCAAUUUCUCCAAAUAUUAUAUAGUGGUAUCUACAUAUAUAAAGCAAAAGAUAAAGAAUGAUAAAACAUUCAAAAUAUCAAAAAAUGUCAUUGGGUAAUGCAAACAUUAAGAAUUGAAAGUAUUAAUUAAGAGUGCUACUACUUUCACCCACCUGCCUAUUUUCCCACCCACCUUAUCUUUAAACUUUUAAAGACAAAUUUAACCAUACUGUAAAAUGACUUAAAAGGACUUAAGGAAAAAAAAUAGAGAAAAAAAAAAAGACGUAGACUUUUCAAGUUCUCACGAACCCUAUCGUUUGAUAGAAAGAAAAAAAAACACAAGAAAGCUACGACUCCUUGCUCAUGAUUCCUCUUAUAACUUUUCAGUGCUCAGAACUUAAUUCUCAAAUAAUUUUCUUCUCUUUUCUAUUCAUUCAAUCAAAUUGUUUAUGAAGAAGAAAACGACAAGAGAAUCAAUGUUGAAGGGAACAGUUUUGGCGAAAAAAUAAGGAAAUCCUAUUUGAACAUAAUUUCUAAGAUCUUUACGAUUACUUAAAGCAUUGGGAGAUGAGUAUUUCUUGGACUCUGAUUUUUUUUCUUAAACUAAUUAAAAAUCUGAAAACUUGGGGAUGAAUCAACAAUUCUAUGAUUUAGGCUCUGUUGAUUACACAAAGAACGUUCCUUACAAAAUCAGUUUGGCUGAGAAUUUUUUUGAGGUAUGAGAAGGUGAAGAAGGCUUUUGGGGUUAAUGAGUCAUUGGUUUUUGAGGAAUGCAGUGAUUUGGUGGGGGAUAUUUUGCAUGAAGAUGUGAUGAAAAGUGUGAAAUACAUGGUGAAAUAUUUGAUGAAGAAGGACAAGUCUUGUUGUACCAGAGGAAGCUUGAUUUGAGAGAUGGUGUGGUUUUCAUUGAGGCAAAGAGAGGUGUAUAGUAAACAUGAGAGACAAAAAGAAAUAAAGUGUGAGAGAUGGAAAAUAAGAUACAGCAAAAAUGAGAGAGAUGUGUGGGCCGUCAGAGAGAGAGAAGACGUGAGUAGAGAGAGGAAAUGAGGUAAUAAUUAAACGGGCAUUUUAGGAAUAUUGGUGGGUGAAAAAAUAGGAUUGUGUUUUUUAAAAUUUAUAUGAUGGGUGGGAAGAUAAGGUGAGUGGAAAAAUAGGAUUGUGUUUUUUAAAAUUUAUAUCGUGGGUGUAAAGAUAAGGUGAGUAGAAAAAUAAGACAGAUGGGUGGAAAUAGCAGCACUUUUAAUUAAAUGAGGAUAAUAUGGUAAAUUCACACUUUUUCAUAUUAAAAAAAUUAAAAAAAAAAGAAAAAUCAGAUAAUAGACGGAACACAACUACCCAUUAUCUUUUCUAAUUCUAAAAUAAAUUAAAUUUUUUUAAAAAAAAACUUCUCCCAAGCACGGAAGCACAAAAGCGCGUGCGAAAAGGCUAGUAUAUAUGUAUUCGUUAAUUGCCAGAUAUUAGAUAUUAUUUAGCUCCUUCUUGGAAAAUGAUAUGGGAUCCAAUAUAAUUUAGGAAAAAUCUCCUGUCGAAUUUUUUCUAAAUUUAUAUAUCAAUAUAUAUGGACAUAAAUAUUCUUUUGGAAGAAAUGUGUAGAUAGAUGGUAAAUUGGCAACCAUUUUCCAAAUUAGAAUUUUUACCAAAUUAUUUCAUCGUAAUAAUUUUUAUUUUAUUUUAUCAAAACUCUCAAUAUACAAUACAUAAUUUUCAGACUGUUUAUGUUUGUCUGUACUUGCAACAACUUAGAAGACACAUGCAGAAUAUAGAGUUGAGGAAUUGGUUGGAAUUUAUGAAUUUUCUGGCUGACAUCAACAAAAGAAAGGUCAGCCAUGCAUGAUGAGAAUAUAAACUGUCAAAAUUAUGACAGAUUCUAGCAUCCAACAAAGAGACACUGAAAGCAUUAAGGCCAGUAUUUGCAGAUAAGAAUGGCCUCACCUCUCACACUGUAUUUAAUUUCUGGUUUUGGAAAUUUGGCCAAAAAGGAAAGAAAAAAAGAAAUAUAUAUGGACAGAUAAUACGCGGCGCCUAGACUCAGACUAUAUUCCUUUAAUUUAUUUUUAUUUAAUUUUUUUCUUUAAUAAUGCAUAAAAGAUAAUUGGAGCUUGGUUGUCAAAAAUCUGAGGGAGUGUAUGAGAGAAUCUGUAAUUAUGUAAUCUAAGUUGUCUUGUUGGGAUUUCUAUUCACACUCUUCUUUUUUUAUUUUUUUGUUAGAGCAUUCAAAUUGAAUUCUGUGGAUUCUGCUCUUCACUUUUCUCUCCUCCCUAUACUCUCACUCUCUCUUUAUAUACCAACCCUCACUGUCCUCUUGUCUCCACCAAACAACCAAGAUCUGAGAGAAAGAUACAAAGCUAGCUAGCUAAGCUUAGAGAGUGAGCCUUUAGAGAGACAAAAAUGGGUUCAACUUCAAAUCCUCUUGAGCUAAAUUCUCUUGAUCUUGCACUUAGUCUAAAGCCCUCUUAUGUCCCAAAAUCACUCAAUCACUUAUUCAGUGAUCUGGCAAGUAUAGAUAAUGUUCCACACAAAUUGUCUGUUUUGAAUGAGUAUCUUCUAAAACACCAAGAAGAGCUCCACAGAGUAGAGGAAUUUAAAAGAGACCUACCUCAGUGUGUUCUUCUGUUGUUGGAUGGUGAGCUAUAGCUACCCCCAUUUAUUUAUUUUUCUUUUUUCUCUCUAAGAAAAUUGUUGAAGGGUUUGAUCUAUGUUGAUUUACCUCUAAUGGUUUAUUUUAUUUUUUAUUUUUGACUGUUGUUUUUUCUUGGUUGUGAUAAUAUAUAGCUAUACAAACACUCAAUAACGAAAUUGAGAAGUUGAGUGGUCAAGAUCAGUUCGAUGCAUGUAAGAAUAGAGGCUCAUGUGAGGAUCCAGUAGAACGGCGGAGUGCGUUCCGAAAAUAUAAGAGCUCAUCACCUCCGUUUAACCCUAGGCCUCGCAACCAAGAUCAUACAAGUCAAGACCAUAAGGUAGGUGGCAUAGACAUGCAAAAAUUCAGUUUCUCUUAUUUUUUAAAAAUAUUUUUCCCUCUUGUGUUUUGAUAAAUAAUUAUUUGAUGUGAUUUGACACAUUUUGGUGAUCUUAUUGAAGGUGAAGGGAAAGGAGCCGAUCCUCAUGGAGCCAAGUCCCAGGAGGCCUUUCCCAUGUGAUCUCAACAUGGAGGCAAGCGGUUCAGAACUGGAGCUAGAGCCAGAACCAGAUCCACAGCCACAGCCAGAGGUACCUCCGCCUAUGUGGAAACACAGCAGGUUAAGCUGGACGCAAGAGCUCCACACAAAGUUUGUGGAGGUCUUGAGCAUGCUGGGAGGUCCUGCAGGUGAGAAUAUUUGAAUCAUUUUGGGUGGGAUCUAGGUUUUUGGGUAUAUAUUUUCAACAUAUUCCGAAUAUAAUAUUAUUUAAGGCUUGAUGCCAAUAUAUUGUUUGUUUAUUACAUUUGCCCUUUUGAGCAGAAGCAACUCCAAAACAAAUUAGGGAGGCCAUGCAGGUCGAGGGGCUUACGAACGACCAAGUGAAGAGUCACCUGCAGGUUGGCUUUGAAUUGUAAUUUGUGAAUCAUAAGAAUAUUACCUUACAAAGACAGACUUGUUAUUAUCCGAACUGAUGAGAAUCUAUACAUUUGGUUGGCUGCUUUAUUCCGAACUGUACAUAUUUUUAUGAGAUUAAUUAUCAAUUGUGAUUCUCCUUAACUAGCAUAUUUAUAUUAAGGGAAAGGCGAUAAACUCAUGUUAGUCUUUAGUUGUUAAUUUUUUGUCAUUGCGUGCAUAACAGAAUCUUUAGAUUGGAUCAAUUUAGUUGCAAUGACAUCUUAAUGAUAGAUCCUUCUAUGUACACAUUAAAAAUGAGAUAUUUCUCAUGCGUUGGAUCGCUUGAGUAGCAAUGAUGUCUUAAUAUACAGGGGAUCUUUCUCAAGCGCACAAGAAAAUCUAUUCAUUGGAUCAUUUUAAAAGCAAUGAUAUCUUAAUAGUAGAUUUUCUAAUGUUGAAGUUAUAUUUUUCUCAUUGAUCAUUUUAGUAGCAUUGAUAACUACUUAAUAGCAGAUUUUCCAAUGCUCAAAUUCUAUACAAGAUAUUUAUGCUCAACAUACAUGGGAGAUCUUUCUCAAGCGCAUGAGAAAAUCUAUUCAAUCGGAUCAUUUUAGUAGCAAUAUCUUAAUAGUAGAUCUUCCAAUGCUCAAGUUACAUACAUGGUAUUUUUCUCAUGGGUCAUUUUAGUAGCAGUGAUAACUUAAUAGUAUGUUUUCCAAUGCUCAAAUUUUAUACAUGAGAUUUAUGCUCAACAUAUACAGGGGAUCUUUCUCAAGCGCAUGAGACAAUCUAUUCAUUGGAUAUCAUUUUAGUAGCAAUGAUAUCUUAAUAUAGUAUAUCUUCCAAUACUCAAGUUAUAUACAAGGUAUAUAUAUAUAUAUAUAUUUUUUCUCAUGGGUCAUUUUAGUAGCAGUGAUAAUUAGUAUGUCUUCCAUUGCUCAAAUUAUAUACAGGGAGUUAUGCUCAACAUAUACAGGGGAUCUUUCUCAAGCUCAUGAGAAAAUCUAUUCAUUGGAUCAUUUUAGUGGCAAUGAUAUCUUAAUAGUACAUCUUCCAAUGCUCAAGUUACAUAUAGGGUAUUUGUCUCAUGGGUGGGUCAUUUUAGUAGCAAUAAUAACUUAAUAGUAUGUCUUUCAAUGCUCAAAUUAUAUACAGGGGAUUUAUACUCAACAUAUACAGGGGACCUUUCUCAAGUGCAUGAGAAAAUCUAUUCAUUGGAUCACUUUAGUAGCAAUGAUAUCUUAAUAGUAGAUCUUCCAUUGCUCAAGUUACAUACAAGGUAUAUUUUUUCUCAUGGGUCAUUUUAGUAGCAGUAAUAACUUAAUAGUACGUCUUCCAAUGCUAAAUUAUAUACAGGGGAUCUUUCUCAAGCACAUGAGAAAUCUAGUUAUUGGAUCAUUUUAGUAGCAAUGAUAUCUUAAUAGUAGAUCUUUCAGCUCAAGUUACAUACAUGGCAUUUUUCUCAUUGGUCAUUUCCAAUGCUGAAAUUAGAUACAGGAUUUGUGCUCAACAUAUACAGGGGAUUUUUCUCAAGCGCAUGAGAAAAUCUAGUCAUUGGAUCAUUUUAGUAACAAUAAAUCUUAAUAGUAGAUCUUCCAAUGCUCAAAUUAUAUACAGGGGAUUUUUCUCAUACGCACAUACGCAUGAGAGAUUUUAGGCAUCAUAUUAGUUUAGUGACAAUGAUAUCUUGAUUGAACAUCCUCACAUGUGCAAUUUAUGUGCAUUUUCUCAGGCUCAUGAAAGAUUCUGGUGAUUAAAUUACUUAAUGGGCCAAUGAUCUUAUGAUAAAUUUAGCCAUGCGUAUACAUGCGCGCAUGAGGGUAUUGUCAUAGUAUCCAUAUACAUGCCCCAUUCUGAUAAUCUUCCCUAUCUAAAAUGUUGGUAUAGCUUCAUAGGGAUGAUAUUUGUUCCAAAUGCUAUAGGUAUAGCAAUUCUGAAUUGAUGCUAAGCUUAAUGAGUGUACGUAAUAUAUUUGCUAAAUAUAUAUGCGCUCGAGAAACUUGAAAUUAUGGUGCCGCACCAAAUACCUUUAGAAUAUUACAAAAGGGACCAACAAAACUUAACGGGCCUCAAGAAACAGUGUGACUGCAAAACAAACCAACAGGGUCAUUUAGGCCCAAUCCCCAAACAAAGUUCUUUCCCUGCUGCUCUUUAUGAAUGAAAGUUGAAACCACUCAUUUAUUUCACAUGCAAUUUAAUUUGAGCUCUCAUAUUAAUUAUUUAAGCACUAAUUUUAAGAGUAUUUGCUAGAAUUUGAUGUUUGAUGUUGAUGAUUUAGUGGUGCUGAUGGACAAGUCUCAACUGUGUGUGUGUUUUGCAGAAGUACAGGCUCAACAGCUUGGGCGUCAAACCAGCAGCUUCUGCCAAAAGUUAUAAGAGGAAAGUCCCGUUUUACUUCAGGGACUUUUGGAACCCUAGCGCUUCUCAGCAGCAGCUCGAAAGUGCAGGGAAUGGUGGAGGUGGCUCUAGCAGCAGGGGAAAUGCAGAGCCAGAAAUGAGAAAAUCAAAGAGAACCUGGUUAGGUGAUGCUUAGUUAUGCAUCUAUGAUGGCAUGUAUAGCAUGAUUAGGAUUCAGGAAAUAAUAAGAGCUUCAAAGUUGUUUAUAAUUUCUUCUUCUAAUUUUUCUUUUUGGGUCUCAAAAGUUGUUUAAUUUCAUGUGCAUUGUAGCUGUAUAAUUCUACAAAGGGAGCUCAUAAUUAAUGCAAACAGUUGCACAAAAUCUCAUAAUACAUCGGGAUUUUUUACAAGUAAUGAAGUUUGUCAGAUGAUGAGAACCAUAGCUUUAUUCCAAGUACAAUAUUUCUGUGUCGACUACAUGCUCCUUACGAAGUAUAAACUUACAAGCCCUACUACAUAUGCUUCUGAUAAUUGCACAACCCAUACAAGAAUUUAUACAUACAAACUUAACCAACAUGUGAAAGACAUUAUUUGAGAGUUAAUUAAACAUGAUUUAUAUAGUUAAAUCACUUCUGUUUAAUAUCAAGGAGAAGUAGUUUGCUUUGAAGAAGAAGAAAAAGCAGGUGGGAUUCCAGGGAUGCGAGGUAUAGGUGGGAGUGGGAAUGGUAAUGGAGGGAGGAGUGGGAAAGAUGGUGGUGGUGGUGAUGGUGAUGCAGUAAAACCAGGUAUAGGUGGCAAGUUGGGAAUCAAUGGUGUUGGGCCUGCUGGUGGAGUAAAACCUGGUAUUGGGGGUAAAUUGGGAAUUAAUGGUGCUGGUUGAGGCUGAAAUGGAUUGGGGAUAAGUGGAGUUGGCUGUGGCACAAGUGGAUUUGGAGGCAAAAUUGAUGGUGGCUGAAAUGGGUUUGGUGGGAAGAAAGUAUCUGGGUGGGCUACUUUUUUAUCAGUUAGUUGCCCCGCCUCUGUAGUUUUACCAGGAAUGGGGGGUAAAACUGGAAUUCCUGGAAUUCCUGGAAGGGGAGGGAGAGGAGGAAGUUGUGGCAAUGGUGGAAGAAAAGGGACUGUAGGAAGAGGAGAAAGAUCAGGUAUUGUGGAGUUUUGAGUUAGUUGCCCUGCCUCUGUAGUUUUACCAGGAAUGGGGGGUAAAACUGGAAUUCCUGGAAUUCCUGGAAGUCCUGGAAGGGGAGGGAGAGGAGGAAGUUGUGGCAAUGGUGGAAGAAAAGGGACUGUAGGAAGAGGAGAAAGAUCAGGUAUUGUGGAGGUUUGAGUUAGUUGCCCUGCCUCUGUAGUUUUACCAGGAAUGGGGGGUAAAACUGGAAUUCCUGGAAUUCCUGGAAGUCCUGGAAGGGGAGGGAGAGGAGGAAGUAGUGGCAAUGGUGGAAGAUAAGGGAGUGUAGGAAGAGAUGGAAGAUCAGGUAUUGUGGGGUUUUGAGUUGGUGGUGGAAAUGUGAGCUCAUCAGUUGGAGGAAAUGAGAAUUUCCGAGAACUGAAUUCCUUGGAGUUUUGAAUGCUUGGUUUUUGGUUACAUAGGCUUGGCUGCUUUAGAGGCUUAAAGGUGAAGAACCCAGCUGAGAAAAUGUGUGUUCCUUGCUUUCUUGACUUGAGAUGCAGUGAAGAUGAAGUGGCUAUUGAGGCCACAGCACAAUAUGGUUCACUGCUGCUGAUUAAUUUCACAGAACACCCUUCAAUUUUCUUGACAUGCUUGCUCACAGAGAAAGGCAGAUGAACUCUGAACACUCCAUGGCUAUCUGUUUUCACUUCUGUCUGGAAACUUGGUUUUGAACUCCCAUCUUUGCAUUCAACACCAACAGAAGCCCCUGCAGAAAAAAUAAGUUGAAAAAUAAGUCAACUGAACGCAAAAUUCACAGUAUAAAAAGCACUUUUUAAUUGAGUUGUUGUUGGAAAAUUUGAAAUGAACCUGAAAUGAAGUGGCUGGCAUGUGAGAAUUCUGCUUGGAAACAUGUGUCACAGUAGACAGUGCCUACAACAACUGCAGAUGGGGUCUUCUUCUCAUGGCUAGCUUCUGAGGGAGUACUUAGUGAGAGAGUACUGAUCAAAAAGAGUACUGUAAAAAACCAAGACAUUUUAGAGCAUCUAUUGCCUCUGAGCAACUCUAACUCUAAGAAUGAGUAGAUGUAGGUUGCCUUUUUAUAUAAAUUCCUGAGGCUUAUAGCUGAUAUAAAUAUUCUCUACAGCAUUCAUUAUACACUUUUUUUGUUUCUUUCUGGUUGUUUCGAGGCAUAAAAAAUGAACUUUUUUCUUCAAAUUUUAUAGCCUGCUGGGCCAUCAAGGUAAUUUAUUUCACUCAUGCAAAAACCAGUCAACUGCAAACUAGAAGAAGUGAAUGUAGGUUCAUUUCCUACCACCAAACAACCCAAAAAAGAAGGUUAAUACUGUGAUUGUGAGGUAGAUAUAAAGAGGCCCCUAACUUUUGCUUUGUUUGCUUACAUUUAUUGAGUUUGUUUCUUUGUUUGGUGUAAGAAUUCUAAAGAGAAUAGUUGGGUCCCCGUUGGUUCACGAGACAAGUGGAGUAACCACAAAUUUCAUGAGUCCGAAGCUGUACACUAUCAACAACACAGGUUGAAGAUGUUGUUGGGUUUAUUUAUGUAUGUUCUUCACACAGAAACAAAAUGAUGGGCGCCUACUAUGAGCUGCUCUCAGUAAUAUAUAUCUGUGCAAAUUGAAAAACUCCCCAAGUACCAAACAAAGUUUACAACUCAAUGUAUGGAUCAGAAUCUUAUUAAUAAGGCUUUUUGGUUCAGAAUGUUAUGAUAAUCAUUAGAUUCAUUUAUUACAAUUUGCUUUAAAUUUUCUAAUUGUUUUUAACAAGUCUUUUCAGUGCAGGUGAUCCAUAAAUAGGUAAAGUAAACAGUCAAGUGAUUGCAACCGAAGAGUCUUUUCCUCAGUCUUUUGACACAAAGUUUUCUGACAAAAAAUAAAUAAAUAAAAUUUAGAUUUUAGCAACAAAAAAAUUUUCACUUUUGAAAAAAUCUAAAAAAAUUUCGAAAAAGACAUAAAAACUCCUUAACUUUCAAACCAAAAGACAUGCAAAUAUAAAUGAUUCCUUUGGAAAUCCAAAAAUAAUAAGGGCAUUUUUGUCUAUUUUUGCUUAUUUUCAAAAUAUUUCUCUCUAUUUUGGCAUUUUCCAAAAUAUCCCCAAAAAAAAACGACAAAGUUUAGACAUCAUCAGCAAUUAUAAGUCACUUGAGCACAGAUGUAUAUUCAAUAAUUGGUUUGGUUCAAAAACUACCAAUCUACAUAGUACAAUGAUUGUGGGACUGAUUAUUGGGAAUUUGUGAGACUUAUUUUAGCAGAAAAUGGACAAUGCAUAUGGCAUGCAAUGAUCCAAACUCAAAACAAAGAAGCUACGACUUCCAAGUAUUUGAGCAAUUUCAAGCCAACUCAGAAAUCUCUGUACUCUGUAGGCUUAUAAGACACUCUCCCAUGUGUUGAUGUUGCAUACAGAUUCCCUUUGCAUCAAUAUCCUUCCAUUCCAACAGUCUGUUUUUUUUUUUUUCUUUUUUAAAUUCAAUUUUCCACAUUUUUUACUGUCCGUCAAAUGCAUAGCAUUUUGGGUGAAAAAGAAAAACAAGAACUUCUACUACUGACAAAAGAGACACCAGUCACACCACAGAGGCACAAACUCCAGAAUUAUGAUAAUUACAUCCUGCAUUGGAAAUUGACAGAUUGUCUUCACGUUCCCCACAGUUUUGCAUUGAGCUGCUAACAAUCCCACAAACUUGCACCGUUUCAUUCUUUGUCCGUGGGCCACAAUUUUUGACAAAUUUGACAAUCUAAUAAGGCGGUUCCUGACAAUCCAAGGUUAUCUCCAUGACAACCACAAGCCACUGUUUCACUGUUAUCUUGUGAGGAAAUUGAAAUGUAACACCAAAUUUUCUUUUACACAGUGCAAGAGAUAAUGCAUGUUAAAAGUUAAAAAAACAAAAGGGGGAUGUUUUUGUCUAAUUCUAUGAUGUACAAAACAUCUCUUUGUCCUUCACGGGUUCCAAAACACAAUGUCACCUCUUCACUUCACGGGCGACCUUAAGCCUGUGGGCUGAGGGCCUUCGUGUCUGCUUGUUGAAUGUGGAGUUUUUCAGCCGAUGGAUACCAUUCCCAAAUGGAUACGUCAAGCUUGAAACAUACGAUGAGAUUCUUGAUUAGAUCCUUGAUGGCUUGUCCAUUAUUAUUGAAUUGAAACAACAAAGUUUGAUUGGUAACAAGGUUUGCCAACUCGAAGGGUAAGAUUGUAGCCAAUCAACUAAACUUUUUAGUGUCAGGUGCAUCCACUGAAUGUAAGGUCUCAUAUUUGAUUUACAUAAAUACAAAGAUGAUAUUUAUUUGUGACGGGUGUAUAGCUUUGUUGUGGGUACGCUUCUCAUUGUAAAAGUAUAUUUGUAAUAACAUCAGUAAUUUUUUCUUUUGUAUUAAAUAACAUUAGACACCUCAUUCAUGCAGGGAAGUUCUUUUAUCACAUUGAAUGUAUAAUGUAUAGCAGCAAUUUUCAUCCGUACAAUAAUGUAAUCAUCAGCAUGUGAUAUUUCUGUUUGUUCUUCUAUCUGAGUUUGUAUUUAUUCCAGUCUGAAUGCUUGAUAUGGAGAAAGAAAGUACUUGAUGAGCCAUCUGUCCAUGAAAUCAUUGGUUUCUAAAACAGCAUAAUAUUUGUAGAACAAAACCAUAGAUUAAAUUGUUAGAUUUCUUUAUGCACAAACAAGAUCUUUCACACAAAACUGUAAUACGUAUAAAGACAUGAAGACAUAUCUGGAGCCAUUUUCCUUGAGUACACAGCUUCUAAACUCAUCCAAUCCGUAGCAGCAGCAAUCCUAGCAAGAAUAGGAAUGGCUCAAGACUUCUGCUCUCUCUCAGAAUCUGUUUCAGCUCUCUCUUUAUAAUGAGAAUAGGUUUAAAGAACGUGUCUGAUGAGAGCAGGGCCUUAAGCUUAUAUAGGGCUAGGUCAAGUCGUCUCUAUUCAUCACCUAGGGCUGACUUGACUAAUCUUCCAAGUCCACCAGAUUGGUUCACGCAUAAAUGGAAAUAAAUAGGACCCCUUAAUAGGCCUCAAAACCCUUCCUUAUUUCACUAAGUUUUGGGCCUCAAUGUACAACUUAAUUUAAACUUUUAUUAAAAUAUAAUAUAACUUAGUAUCUAGUACACCGAUCUAAAUAGGAAAACAUAACAUAAAUAAACCCAGCUGCAAGUUUGUAUAUUGGACUGGAGUGGUACCAUUUGCAGAACAAAACAAUGUGAUACAGCGCAAACUAUAUUGGCCAGUUUGCAGAUUCGAAGAAAUAAUGCAAAAUAAUCACAACCAUCAUCUGUAUGCAAAAACAAAAAAACAAAAACAAAAAAAAAACAAAAACAAAAAAAACAAAAAAAAAAAAAAAAAAGAAGAAGAAAGAAAGAACAAUCAACGAUGCUUGUCAUAAAAAACAACUGCAGAUGGGUGCUUCUUCUCAUGGCUAGCUUCAUGAGGGAGUACUUAGUGAGAGAGUACUGAUAAAAAAGAGAACUGUAAAAAACCAAGACAUUUUAAAGCUUCUAUUGCCUCUGAGCAACUCUAACUCUAAGAAUGGGUUGAUGUAGGUUGCCUUUUAUAUCAAUUGCUGAGGCUUAUAACUAAAAACUAAUAUAAAUAUUCUCCACAGCAAUCAUUAUAAUUUUGUUUCUUUCUGGUUGUUUUGAGGAAUGAAAAAUGAACUUUUAGUUUUUUUUUUUCUUUCAAAUUUUAUAGCCUUGCCCAUCAAUAGUUUCUUUAUUUCACUCAUGCAAAAACCAGUCAACUGCAAACUAGAAGAAGUGAAUGUAGGUUCAUUUCCUACCACCAAACAAUCCAAAAAUAAGGUAAAUAUUGUGAUUGUGACUGUGAGGUAGAUAAAAAGAGGCCCCUUAAUUUUUGCUUUGCUGGUUAUUUGUCUACUUAAAUUUAUUGAGUUUGUUUCUUUGUUGGCGUAAAUACUAAAGAGAAUAGUUGGUUCACAAGACAAGUGGGGUAACCACAAAAUUUCAUGAGUCUGAAGCGUUACACUAUCAACAACGUUGAAGAUGUUGUGUUUAUUUAUGUAUGUGCUUCACACAGAACCAAAAUGAUGGGGGCCUAUUAUAUUGGUUAGAAGUACAAAUAUAUAUCAUCUCUAUAAAAAAAUCACUUGAAUCCGAUAUCAUUUGACCACUCAAUUAAAUUAUUGAAAUUUAAGUACUUUCUUGAAGCACCAUGUUCAUUGAUUUUCUUGGUCUCAAUUAGAUGUCUUAAUGAUUUUCAAUUUGCGUGAUUUUUUGCAAGGAUGAUCUCUGAAUGAAGAUGUGAAAAAUAGAUCGUUUGGAUCGUUGAAAAAAAUUUCGCAGAGAAUCCUACACCCUCAAAAUAAAAUUAUUUGAGAAAUCCCUCAAUAGAAGGGGACUAUAUAAUCUGUGAAAAUUGAAAAACUCCCAAGUCCGAAACAAAGUUUACAACUUUCCAUGGUGUCAGAAUAUGUGGUUUGAGCAGAGCACGGGAUCUUCUCGUGACCUAAUGUGGCAUAUUAAUAGGGUUUUUGCUUGGAUUAAAAUAAUAGCAAUGUGAGACCUCCAAAUCUCAUGGAGGUUUUCUACUUCUAUGAGCAUAGAACAACCCCUGAAUCAUUAGAUUCAUCUAUUGCAAUUUGCUCUAAAAUUUCUAACUGUUUUUAACUGCAUAAAAAACAAGACUUUUUGUGCAGGUAGUCCAUAAAUAGGUAAAGUAAUUCCGGCCAAAUUAAAAGUGUCAUGUGAUUACAACCAAAGAGCCUUUUCGUCAGUUAUUUGGCACAAAGUUUAGAACCUUGUAUCACCACUAUCAGUAAUUAUGAGUAAUUUGAGCACAGCUGGGACAACAAUAAAACAAUGUAUAUUCAAUAAUGCAUCAGUGACAAUUGACUGCUAUGGAUAAUGGGUUUGGUGAAAUAAAAAACUACCAAUAUACUACAUACAACAAUGAUUUUGGGAUUUGAUUAUUUGGAAUUUGAGAGACUUACAUUUAGCAGAAAAUGCACAAGCAUAUGUGCGUUUACCCUAAACAUGUUCAAACCUCAGAGAUAGGCUUUAGAUUGUGUGAAUUGUGAACGUGCCACUAUUAGUGGUGUAAAACCCUAAUAGACUUGAAAGAGAAUUAAGUAACUUGCGCACCAAGAAAACUCACUGAAAUCAAAUAAUUGUGAAUUGAAAUGGUAAACUAAAUCAAAGUUUCUUUUCCAUGCCUCAAGACAAAUGACAACUUUAUAAUUUCUCUAAAACAAUAAGGGUAAUAAACAACAAAUAAACAAGUAAACAAAAGGGAUCCAGAUCAAGGGAUCUUAUUAGAUAAUAAAUUGCCACCACCUUGGAUCACUUCUGAUUGAAUUCAGAGGUUAAGGGUCUAGUGGCAAUAGCAGUAGUAUAUCACAUCACCUUCAAUUGAUGAAGAUCAAUUGGAAAUCGAUACCAGAGACAGAUCUGGCAGAGCAAUUAUCAAGAAAGAUAUAGCAUUUGAGAAGGAAUUAGGGUUUGUACUGAAUUUAUUGUUGAAAAGUUGUGUUUGUUAUCGUGAGCUAUCUAUUCCCUUUUAUAUGAAUUUUGACUUGGUGGAGAGAGAUUACAACCUAUGUCAUGCCAUCAUGAGGAUCAAAUCAUAAUCCAUUGGAAUUAAUUAUUUAGUUGAUUGCCUUAAUCGUCAAGUAAUAUCAUGAUUUCUCCUUGAUUUUCUAGGUAAUUAUCAAUUAAUAGAUAAUUCCCUUUCCCAGCCACUUAAACUGGCCCAAGGAAUCUUAACCGGAUUGCAAUACUAAAAUCCCCCCCAAAUUGGCUUAAAUCUCAUCUGUAUAAAAACUAGGCCUAAACAUUACCCCAUAAGCCCAAUAGACUUGAUUAGAGGGAUUUGGGGUUACAUGCAUGAGCGUGACACCAUGCGUCGUUUUCAUUUCAAUCACUUCAAUCGCGCCAUUUUGACUUCUACUUUAGUCUUUCGAACCUUUCUAUCUUCUUCUCACUACGAAGCCUAGAGAUUCUUAGCGAUUAUCGAUACCUUCAACUUUUCCAAACUUUUGUUACCGAAAGUCUCAAGUUUCACCACCCCCUAACCAAUUCUCGUUUCAGAAACCAUUUCUUUGUCUCAAUGGCCACCUCUGACUCCAACGUCCCAAAGCCUAUCUCUGAAAAAUAUGCUAUUAUAUAUGCAUGCCCAAGACAUUUGUGCAUAAUUGGGUAAAGUUGCUGAUGAUGGUCCAACGCUCGUACAAUUUAACUGAGCGUCCAGACUUCAACACUGGGUCCAUAAAGAACAGUCUACUGCAAAGGUUUGAGUGGAUUGGCGAUCUUCAUGACCAGUAUCCGGAGCUUUGGGAAAAGCAUCGCAUUUACGAUGCCAUUAUGCUUUUUCGUUUUGACACUUCGAGGGGUAUUUGUUCUCAACAUAUGCAGGGGAUCUUUCUCAAGCACAUGAGAAAGUCUACUCAUUAGAUCAUUUUAGUAGCAAUAAUAUUGUAGGGCUUUUUCGUUCUGGCAGCUAUAGAUUAGUCUGGGCUACUGUAAAGAGUAAAUUGGAGAAAACUCCCCAUGUGUCUAAGUUCAAGAAUAAGACCCCAAAAGUGCUUCGAAAGGGUAGCUAAGCCUUAGAAAACACCUUGGUCUUCUUCACCAAUGAAACCAACAGUUGCUUACAAAUAAAUGCUUGGCUUGGCUUGAGAAGCUUGUGGCAUGGAAGCUAAGCAUUCAUGAGUUUAGCAAGAGAGAGAGAGAGAGAGAGAGAGAGAGACCAUAUUUUCUACGAGAAACACAGGUUUAAAGCAAAGGAUUUCAUGAGAAUUUGCUGAGGAGACAAGAUUUUUGGGAGCUCAAAAGUCUUCUUGCAACUGUUCCAGUGGUAACCUCUCAUCUAUGGUUAUCACUUCUCCUUCUUUCCUCCCAUAUUUCAUGGCAAGAGCUGAUAAAGGAAGAAAAUAGAUAGCAACGUUGGUCUGAAGGAUGUCUUUUCUCCUAGCAACCUGCUGGCGCUAAUACCCUUUGGUCAUUUGAAUGGUUUGUCUUGAGGUUUGCACCUGGUCACGUGCUAGAGCCUCACAGCAGCCUACAUAUGUGAGUCAUUCCUUGGCUUUUUGUUGUGGUUUUGUCUCCAACCAUGUGCUGGAGACUUUCAAAUAUUUUUUUUGAUCAUUUGGGCCUUCCUAAGGUAAUGGGUUUGUCUACUAGGGAAUGGGCCAACUUCACAAAGUGAUAGACUACUUUUAUUAAGGUGAUGGGUCAAUUUUCUAAAGUGGUGGGCUCUCUUUUUCUCUCAUUUAUGCUUACCCAGAUAUUUGGACUCAAGAAAUGGGCUCGAGUUUUGGGGCUCCCAAGCAAUCUAAAACUUCAAUUUCUCGGCUCAUCAAUGGGCCUCAUGAAUGCUCGUUACCAUCCAUACUACAACCCACUCAGCAAGCCCCGAACAUUUGCAUGGCUUGGGCCUACUUAAGCUUAUAGCAUGGCUAUGUGUAAUAAUGAUUUUCUGCUUGGCAUUGCAUGUUGAUUGGCGUGCCUGAAUUUUAUCGUCUUUGAAAAGGGAUAUGAUGCUUGACGGGAGAAUUAGCAUGGGCUUGUAGAGCUAGUGCCUUUUAUGGGCUCAUUUCAAUUCUUAGCGUGACGGAUUGCAUAUUUAUUUCGCAUGGCACGUGGAUCGUGGCUCUUGCAAGCAUGCAUGACGAAUUUCGCAUACUCCAAACCGAGUCUCUUCUUAAUUAGGUGUCGCACUGGACCAGGAAUUUAUUUGGACCUCAAGUUACAUACACGAUUUUUUUUUUCUUCACAUGGGUCAUUUUAGUAGUUGUGAUAACUUAAUAGUAUAUCUUCCUAUGUUAAAAUUAUAUACAUGGGAUUUUUCUCAUGCGCGUGAGAGAUUUAGGUCCCAUAUCAUUUUAUUGUGAACUCUUUAUUGAAUAUCCUCCCAUUCGCAAUUUAUGCGCAUUUUCUCAAGCUCAUGAAAGAUUCUGGUGAUUAGAUUACUUAAUGGAACAAUGAACUUAUGAUAACAUUUGUCAUGCAUAUACAUGCGCGCAUGAGAGUAUUGUCAUAGUAUCUAUACAUGCCCCAUUCUUAUCAUCUUCUCUGCUUGAUCUGGAAAUAUUAUCUAUGAUUCGCUAACACGACACGAAUUCACAAGAAAAAAUCAAUAUUUGGGUUUAGCUUGGACUCGUUAGCCACCCAUUAAGCUAAUAGGUCAUAUCAGUAUCAUUCACGAAUAUUCGCUAACGGGUUGUGUUGGUCAUUCACGAAUUUAAACAGGUCAUGUCCGUGUUUGGUAUUUUCCACCCGUUAACUUAACGGGUCGUGUUCAUAUCAACUCGUUAAGAAAGUGGGUCAACACAAACACAACAAUAUAUUUGGUCCAAGUGCUAUGGGUAUAGCAAUGCUGCAUUGAUCCUAAGCUUUUUUAUUUUUUGUUUGGACGGAUGAUGCUAAGCUUAAUGAGUGCAAUAUAUUUUGCUAAAUAUAUAUGAGCUCAAGAAACUCCGAAUUAUGGUGCAGCACCCAACACCUUUAGAACAUUACAAAAGGGACCAACAAAGCUUAACAAGCCUCAUGAAACACUGUGACUGCAAACAAAUCAACUGGGUCAUUUAGGCCCAGUCCCCAAACAAAGUUCUUUCCCUAAUCAUAUUUACGAAUGGAAGUUGAAAGUUGAAGCCACUCAUUUAUUUCACAUGCAAUUUAAUUUGUGCUCUCAUAUUAAUUAUUUAAGCACUAAUUUUAUGCGCAUUUGGUAUUUGAGGUUGAUAAUUUAGUGGUGCUGAUGGACAAGUCUUAACUGUGUGUGUGUUUUGCAGAAGUACAGGCUCAACAGCAGGGGCGCCCAACCAGCAGCUUCUGCCAACAGUUCGCAGAGGGCAGCCCUGUUUUACUACAGGGACAUGUGGAACCCUAGCGCUUCUGAGCAGUCAAACUCUCGGCAGCAGCAGCUCGAAAGUGCAAGGAAUGGUGGAGAUGGCUCUUCAGUUGGUGGCUCUAGCAGAACCAGAAUUGAAAAAAUCAAAGAGUUAGGUUAGAUGAUGUUUAGUUAUGCAUCUGCUGAGAUUUUGCAUAUGUGUAUAUGAGGGCAUGUAUAGCAAAAGAUUAGGAUUCAGGAAAUAAUCAGAACCUGAAAGUUGUUUAUAAUUUCUUCUUUCUUUUUUGGGUCUCAAAAGUUGUUUAAUUUCAUGUUGAAUUGUAGCUGUGAUGCAUUUUUUGUUUUUGUUUUUGCUUUUUGGGUUUCAAUUUCUGCCCAAAUUGGUGCAGUUUAAGUUCUAAAAUUUCCAUUUUCAUGGACUUGUGUUUCCCAAGCAAACUGGUCUAAGAAGAACAAUUCAAUUUUAGCAUGAAGAAGCAAUUUUUUCUUCUUCUUCUCGAAGGGUCUUUUUGAUUGGACAAUGUUGAAAUGCAGCUCCAAAUUCAGCAAUUCAGGUAUAAUUCUACAGAGGGAGUUCAUAAUUAAUGCAAACAGUGGCACAAAAUCUCAGAAUAUAUUGGGAUUUUUUACUAAGUAAAUGAAGUCUGUCAGAUGAUGAGAGAACCAUAGCUUUAUUCCAAGUACAAUAACUUACAUACUCCUUACAAAGUACAAACUUACAAGCCCUACUACAUAUGCUUCUGAUAAUUGCACACCCCAUACAAACUUAACAUGAUUUAUUUAGUUAAUGAUUUCAGUUUAAUAUCAAGGAGAAGUAGUUUGCUUUGAAGAAGCCCGUGGGAUUCCAGGAAUGCGAGAUGUUGGUGGUGAUGGAUUUGGAGGCAAACUUGUUUUUGGAAUUUGUGGUGUUGUGAAGGAAGUAUCUGGGCGAGCUACUUUUUUAUCAUUUAGUUGCCCUGCCUUUCCUAGUCCUGGAAGUCCAGGAAGUCCUGGGAGUCCUGGAAGUCCCGGAAGUCCUGGAAGUCCCGGAAGUCCUGGAAGUCCCGGCAGUCCCGGAAGUCCUGGCAGUCCCGGAAGUCCUAAUAAUUUUUUGUCAGUUAGUUGCCCUCCCUUUGUAUUUUUACCAGUAAAGGGGGUUAAUUGUGGAAUUCCUGGAAGUCCUGGGAGUCCUGGAAGUCCUGUUCCUGGGAGUCCUGGAAGUCCUACUUUUUUAUCAGUUAGUUGCCCUGCCUUCGUAGUUUUACCAGGAAAGGGGGAUGUAACUGGAAUUCCUGGAAAUGAAGAUUUCUGAGAACUGAAUUCCUUGGAGUUUGGAAUGCUUGGUUUUUGGUUACAGAGGCUUGGCUGCUUUAGAGGCUUGAAGGUGAAGAAACCAGCUGAGAAUAUAUAUGUUCCUUGCUCACUUGACUUGAGAUGCAGUGAAGAUGAAGUGGCUGUUGAGGACACAGCACAAUAUGGUUCACUGCUGCUGAUUAAUUUCACAGAACACCCUUCAAUUUUCUUGACACGCUUGCUCACAGAGAAAGGCAAAUGGACUCUGAACACUCCAUGGCUAUCUGUUUUCACUUCUGUCUGGAAACUUGGUUUUGAACUCCCAUCUUUGCAUUCUACACCAACAGAAGCCCCUGCAGAAAAAUAAGUUGAAAUUAAGUUAACUGAACCCAAAAUUCACAAUAUAAAAAGCACUUUUGAUUGAGUUGUAGGAAAUUUGAAAUGAACCUGAAAUGAAGUGGCUGGCAUGUGAGAAUUCGGCUUGGAAACAUGUGUCACAGUAGACAGUGCCUACAACAACUGCAGAUGGGGGCUUCUUCUCAUGGCUAGCUUCUGAGGGAGUAGUCAAUGAGAGAGAACUGAUCAAAAAGAGUAGUGUAAAAAACCAAGACAUGUUAGAGCCUCUAUUGCCUCUGAGCAACUCUAAUAUUCUUGACUCUGAGAAUGAGUUGAUCUAGGCUGCCUUUUAUAUCAAUUGCUGAGGCUUAUAACGAAUAUAAAUACUCUCUACAGUAUUCACUAUACACUUUCUGAAAAAUGAAACUUUUUCUUCAAAUUUUACGACAUGACGCAUUAAGCUUCUUUAUUUCACCCAUGCAAAAAGCCAGUCAACCGCAAACUAGAAGAAGUGAAUGUAGGUUCAUAUCCUACCACCAAACAAUCCAAAAAGAAGGUUAAUAUUGUGAUGGAGAGGUAGAUAAGAAGAAAUAUUUGCUUUGCUGGUUCUUUGUUUACUUACAUUUAUUGAGUUUGUUUCUUUGUUAGUGGUGUUGAGUUGUGGAGAUACAAUUCAACUAGGAAAAGGAUGUGUUUCCUUUUGUUUGGUUUUCUUCUUGGUUUUAGAUUGGCAAAGAGUCACUUUUGGUUCAUGUGGUUUAUCACUUUAUCACUAAAAUCCCUGUGGUUUCAAUUUGAUCACUUUUGCCCGUGUGCUUUCAAUUUGAAACAAUUCAAGGACAAUUCUCAACUUAUGUCAAGUUUUCGUUAACUUCAGAUAUUUGUGGAGGGGCAAUUUGGUCUACAAAUUAUUUAAAAAAUUCAUUCCUUUUAAAAAUAAAAUAUUAAAAACCAAUAAAUAAAUAAAACAAGAAGAACAGCCAAAUACAUAGUAUGGUAACCCAAAUACGCCCUCGAAUACAUGGUGAGCACAGCCAAAGCCCAAGGCAAAAAAUUCACAGCCAACUUGUUCUUUGUGUCCCAGAGUCCAAUCCCUUUAUACGUUAAGAGGGUGAAGUAGAUAUAUAGCAAAGAAGAACAUGUACUGAGAGUGGCUCGAAGGCCAUCCAUGCAAAAUCACACAAGCUCAAGAAACACUGAGUUUCUUUAUUUGGGAAGAAACCUAAAGGCAUGGAACAAAAGGAAUGAGAUGAAGACAACUGUUGAAUUGAUGGCAACUCUAUCCAGGAUGUAUGAGAAGCCAUGUGCGAUGCGACAAUUGUAUUUGAUGAAGUGCUCAUUUAAACUGAAGAUUUGACCGAGUCAUUUGAGAAGAUUUGACCCUUAAAAUUGAUUUUUUUUUGCAUUUAUCUCGAGUUUUAUGUCUCAUUACGACUCAAACAAGCUCGUCAUUACAACUUAAAGGAUCUUAUAGUAAUUGGUUGAUCCUAUUUCAAAAUAAAACUAAGUUAUUUGAUAAGAUUUGACCCCUAAAAUUGAUGCUUAGCAAAGGCAAUUGAAAAAUAGAUAAUUUUUUUUUUGUUAGAAAUAUAUAUAUGUGAAAAUUGAAAAACUCCCAAGCCCAAACAAAGUUUACAACUUUCCAUGGUGUCAGAAUAUAUAUGUUGUUUGAGCAGAGCAUGGCAUCUUCUCAAGACCUAAUGUGGCAUAUUAAUACCCUAAUAAGGGUUUAUUUUAAUUUAAUAUCCCAAAUUUUUACUCUUAAGGCAUGUUUGUUCCUACACUCUUAAUUUUAAUGAUUACAUACCCUAAGCUUUUGAAUUUUGCAAUCUAGUUCCGACAUUAACUUCCCUAUCAAAAUUUUUGUUAAUUGCUUGCAUGGCAAGCGUGGAUCUCACCUAUUCGCUUAUUUCGAUGUCAGUUGAAGAGUGUUUUCGGGUAAUUGGUGUCUUCCCGCCCAUGAAGAACACAUUACAUGCACUAAUACCAAACCAUUUUUGAACAAAUACUGGAAAAUACCCUUCAACUAACAUUCAAAUGAGUGAAUAGGUGGAACCUAGGAUUGCCACGCAAGCAAUUAACGAAAAUUUUGACGGUGAAGUUAACGACGGAUCUAGAUUGCAAAAAAUUGAAAAACUUAGAGUAUGUAAUUGUUAAAAUUGAGAGUGCAUGAGUAAACGUAGCUUUAGGAUAAAAGUUCAGAGUAGUAAAUUGAAAUUAACCAUAUUAAUAAGGCUUGUGUUAAAGUAAUAGCAAUGUGAGACCUCCAAAUCUCAGGGAGGUCUUCUAGUUCUAUGAGGACACUCCCCUGAAUCCAUGAAUAGGUAAAGUAAUUCCGGCCAAAUUAAAGAGUCAUGUGACUGCAACCAAAGAGUCUUUUCCUCAGUUGUUGACAGUCUAGAAAAUUUGCAUCAUCUCAUCAGCAAACAGAUGAACAUUCAAUAAUUCAUCAGUGAAAAUUGGGAGCUAUAAUAAUGCGUUUGGUUCAAAAAGUACCAAUCUACAUAGAACAAUGAUCUUGGGAUUUGAUAUUUGGAAUUUGGAAGACUUAUUUUAGCUGAAAAUGGACAAGCAUACGCAUCCAAUGAUCCAGACCUGAAACAAAAAGAAGCUACAACUUCCAAGUAUUUGAGCGCUUUCCAGCCAACUAAGGAAUCUCUGUACUCUGUACGCUCAUAAGAUAAGACACUCCCAUGUGUUGAUGUUGCAUCCAGAUUCCUUUUGCAGCAAUGUAUAUGUCCUUCCAUCCCAACAGUCUGUUUUUUUUUUUUUUCCUUUCUUUCUUUAAUUCAAUUUUCAACAGUUUUUACUGUCCAGCUGCAUAGCAUCUUGGGUGAAAAAGAGAAAAUAAAAUUAACUUCUACUGACAAAAGAUACACCAGUCACACCACAAAACAAAGGCACAAACUCCAGAUUAAGAUAAUUAGAUCUUGACAGAUUGCCUUCACCAAUUGAUUACCUUGUGACCAAGGCAAUCCCACAAACUUACACCGUUUCAUUCUUUGUCCGUGGGCCACAAUUUUUGACAAAUUUGACAAUCUAAUAAGGUGGUUACUGACGGUUCAAGGUUAUCUUGUGAGGGAAUUGAAAUGUAACACCAAAUUUUCUUUUACGCAGUGCAAGAGAUAAUGCAUGUUAAAAGUUAAAAAAAAAUGAUUGUUUUUUCGAAUUCUAUGAUGUAGGUUUUGCCCUAGGGUUUAGGGUUCCAAAAAACCUGUCAUGUCUACACUUCACGGGCGAGCUUAAGCCUGACGAGUGUCGACAGGACUUUCAUGGCUGCUUGUUGAAUGUUCUAUAGUGGAGUUUGCCAGCUGAUGGAUACCAAUUCCCAAAGCUUGAAACAUAAGAUAACAUUGUUUAUUAGAUUUUAUUUUUAAUAUCUGGUUCAUUAUUAUUGAAACAAUAAUAAUCCUUAGUUUAGAUAGGUAAAUUAUCCCAAACAAGGUUGCCGACUCAAACGUUAAAAUUGUAGCCGAUGAACUAGACUUUAGUUUAGCGUUAGGUGUAUCUCUUGAGUGUGAGGUGGACAUUAAUUUGACCGAACUAAUGAAAUCGACUAAAUCAAACUGUAAUAUUGGUUUGGUUUUAAUUAAGAAAAAGUUAAAUUGUUUAAAAAUCAAACCAGAUCGUGUAUGGUUUGAUUUUGUUUGAUUUUGAACUCUUAUAAACCGACCUAAAUCAAAUCAGACUGUUUAUGUGUAUAUUUAUUUACUUAGAUUUUACAUGUGUAAACUCUAAUUAGAUAAUACCUAUAUAGUUAUUGAAAUUUGAAGUUUUAUGUCAUCUGUCCAUCAAGUACUUUCUUUCUCCAUAUGAGCGUUAUGAUUACAUAUGAAUUGAGUUAUAUUAGUUAUUAAAAUUUGAAGUUUUAUGGCAUUGAAAUUCCCAAAUGGAUAUGCCAAGCUUGAAACAUAAGAUAACAUUGUUUAUUAGAUUUUAUCUUUGAUGUCUAGUCCAUUAUUAUUGAAACAAUAAUAAUCCUUUGUUUAGAUAUGUAAACUAUCCCAAACAAGGUUGCUGACUCAAUCGUUAAGAUUGUAGCCGAUGAACUAGACUUUGGUUUAGUGUUAGGUGUAUCCAUUGAGGUAAGGUGAGCAUCAAUCCAGCCGAACUGAUAAAACCGACUGAAUCAAACUGUAAUUAGCCAUUUGGUUUUGUUUUGAUCAAGAAAAAGUUAAAUGAAAUCAAACCGAAUCGUAUAUGGUUUGUUUGGUUUUGUUUUGAACUUUUGUAAACUGACAUAAACCAAACCGAGCUGUUUAUGUGUAUAUUUAUUUACUUAUAUUUUACAUGUGUAAUACUCUAAUUAGGUAAUACCUAUAGUUAUUGAAAUUUGUUGUAUUAGUUAUUGAAAUGUGAAGUUUUAUGUCAUCUGUCCAUCAAGUACUUUCUUUCUCCAUAUGAGCAUUAUGAUUACAUGUGAAUUGAGUUAUAUUAGUUAUUAAAAUUCGAAAUUUUGAUGGCAUUGAAAUUCCCAAAUGGAUAUGCCAAGCUUGAAACAUAAGAUAACAUUGUUUAUUAGAUUUUAUCUUUGAUGUCUGGUCCAUUAUUAUAGAAACAAUAAUAAUCCAUAGUUUAGAUAUGUAAACUAUCUCAAACAAGGUUGCUGACUCAAUCGUUAAGAUUGUAGCCGAUGAACUAGACUUUGGUUUAGUGUUAGGUGUAUCUAUUGAGGUAAGGUGAGCAUCAAUCCAGCCGAACUGAUAAAACCGACUGAAUCAAACUGUAAUUAGCCAUUUUGUUUUGUUUUGAUCAAGAAAAAGUUAAAUGAAAUCAAACCGAAUCGUAUAUGGUUUGAUUUGGUUUUGUUUUGAACUUUUGUAAACUGACAUAAACCAAAUUGAGCUGUUUAUGUGUAUAUUUAUUUACUUAUAUUUUACAUGUGUAAUACUCUAAUUAGGUGAUACCUAUAGUUAUUGAAAUUUGUUAUAUUAGUUAUUGAAAUUUGAAGUUUUAUGUCAUCUGUCCAUCAAGUACUUUAUUUCUCCGUAUGAGCAUUAUGAUUACAUGUGAAUUGAGCUAUAUUAGUUAUUAAAAUUCGAAAUUUUAUGGCAUUGAAAUUCCCAAAUGGAUAUGCCAAGCUUGAAACAUAAGAUAACAUUGUUUAUUAGAUUUUAUCUUUGACGUCUGGUCCAUUAUUAUUGAAACAAUAAUAACCAAUAGUUUAGAUAGGUAAACUAUCCCAAACAAGGAUGCCGACUCAAACGUUAAGAUUAUAGCUGAUGAACUAGACUUUGGUUUAGUGUUUGGUGUAUUCAUUGACUGUAGGUGUGCAUCAGUCCUGCCGAACUAAUAAAACCAAUUGAAUCAAAUUGUAAUUAUCAGUUUAGUGUGUUUUUCAUUAAGAAAAAAGUAAUUUUAAAAAAAUCAAACCGGAUCAUAUAUGGUUUGAUUUGGUUUGGUUUCGAACUUUUGUAAACCAACUUAAACCAAACCAAACUGUUUAUUUGUAUUUUUAUUUACUUAUAUUUUACAUGUGUAAUACUCUAAUUAGGUAAUACCUAUAUAGUUAUUGAAAUUUGUUAUAUUAGUUAUUAAAAUUUGAAGUUUUAUGUCAUAUAUCCAUCAAGUACUUUCUUUCUCCAUAUUAGCAAUAUGAUUACAUGUGAAUUGAGUUAUAUUAGUUAUUGAAGUUUGAAGUUUUAUGGCAUGUUGAGCUUUAGGACGGUUUCGUACUCUAGAAAAUGAUUUAAAUAUGGAGCAAGUUGUGAAUUUAUUGGCUGUAAUUGGACUAACAAUAUUGAAAAAAUGCAAAAAAAAAAAGAGAUUUGGGCUUAGGCCCAAACUGGCCGAACCGUCUUAAAUUGGUUUGGAUUGAUUUAAUUUUCUUCAUGACUUUUGUCAAAAUCAAACCAAAACAAACCAUUAUAUUGUAAUUGGUUCAGUCGUGAUUUUGAGGUGAAACCGAUUUAAUCCAGAUCGUGCCCACCUUAAGUGUAAAGUCUCAUACGUGACUUACAUAAACACGAGGAUGAUAUAUAUUUGUGAUGAGUGCAUAGCUUCGUUGUGGGUAAAUUACCUGUCGUAAAAGUAUAUUUGUAAACAACAUUUUUAUUACACCCCAUUCAUGCAGGAAACAUUUUGAUCACAUUGAAUGUAUAAUGUACAUCAGCAAUUUUCAUAUAAUGUAAUCAUCAGCAUGUGAUAUUUCUGUUUGUUCUUCCAUCUGAUCUGAGUUUGUAUUUAUUCUAGUCUGCAUGCUCAUAUGGAGAAAGAAAGUACUUGAUGAGUCAUCUGUCCAUGCAAUUAUUGGUUUCUUGACCAGCAUAAUAAUAGUACCAAACAAUAGAUUAAACCCAACUGCAAGUUUGUAUAUUGCACUGGAGUGGCACCAUUUGCAGAACAAAACAAUGUGAUACAGCGCAAAAUAUAUUGAGAGAUCAGUUGCAAAUUCGAAGAAACAAUGCAAAAUAAUCACAAGCACCAUCUGCAUAUGCAUCUGUAUGAAAAAAGAAAAGAAAAAAAGAAAAAAAAAAGAACAGAAAGAACCAUCAACGAUGCUCGUCAUCAAGCUGCCCUUUCAUUCAAUAAGACCAAGUCACAUUCGGACUACAAAUGAAAUCUCUACAGUUCAAAUCACUCUUCCAUUUUCGGGGAUCAAUCAAUCCUCGAGGGAAUACCCACCAAAAAACCAAGCUACAAAGUUUAUGAUACAACACAUCCUUGCUAUUCUGUACAAAAAGUUAUUUGGAAAAGUUAAAAAAAUCUGGUCUUCCGGUAUAACAAACUUAAAAGCAACUAAAAUCAGGACCAGAUCCUUCCUGCCUGGCUACCCUCCUCUCUUCUCUUCUCCUCAAACCGUAAUAUAGAAGUGAUAUCCUCAGUAUAUGCUUCCAUUUGCUAACUGUACCCCGUACACGUAUUGCCUGCCGGUUAUGUUGGUUAUUUAUAUGGUCAUUGAAAUGGCAAAUGACAUGGGAAAACCAGGGAGAUCCCAAGAAAAUCUUGCUUCCCGAGUACUCGAAUAAUAUUCACAAGUGCUCUUGAUCAUAAAAUGCAAGGAGCUGCUUCACAUGAUUAUGCCAAGCAGCAACAUUUAAUCCAUCAACUAGGACCCAGUCAACAACAGUUGCUGCUGGUUGCUCCCACCAUUCAUCAAGCUGCAGAAACAUAUUGCAGUUCAGACAAUUAAAGAGUGCAAAGGCAAAACAAAACUAUUAAGAAUUUAUACAGCUAAAGUAGAAAGAUGAUGGUGGUCACUCACCAAUCCCCUAACAUAGUUGCAAUCCUCCAAGCACUUCUGAGCACUCAAAAUUGCAACCUUAAGUUCGGGCAACCAUUUCUCCAUGACAGUUUUCUCUUGCUCCGCAGCCAAAUUUAAGCAAUAACUUGUUGUCCUGCAAGGAGUAAAUAAAAAUUAAGAAAAGCACAUUCAUUACGAACAUUAACAUUUAAAAACAGAAAGUAGCAGAGCUAUGAGAGGCUUGAGUAUUGGCAGGAGAUUAGAAGAAAGAAAAAAAAAUGUAAAUGUAUUUAGAAUUUGGAUGAAAAAAAAAAAUUCAUAACAUCUAACAAAACAUAUGAAUCUCAAAAGAAAAAAGAAAAAAUCGCUCCAAUAGAAAGGCAUGGUUCUGUAGUCAAAGAAACUUUGUCAGUUACCCAUCGGACACAGAUAUUGGAAUUUUCCUCAUCUCUUGCUCAAAAUGGAAUUCCAGUUCAUAUUGUUUGACUAGGGUCUACUUACUGAAACUUUGGAGUUUGGAGGAUUACAUAAUCUAGAUUCCUGUUAAAACAAGGCCAAGAGAGGUUAUACCUUUCAUAUUCUUGUUGAGCUCUAUACGCAUGGUUCAACAACACAUGACCACUUUCAACAAGAUCCUGCCGUGUAUGGACCAAAUUGAUUGCCUUUGCUAAGUCCUCCAACACACUAGCCUCAGAACCACGAAGUUUCAAGCAGAACUCCAGGGACUCUAGGAUUGAUGCUAAAGCAGUAUCUGAACCCUCCAAACCUGUUCAUGUUAAAUAAGAUAUAAAAAAAGAAUUGAAAACACCCAUUAAGCGGGCACAAAAUGGCAUCCACAUAAUCCAAAAGUAAACAAUGAGAUAAUUAAAAAUACCAUAUGAAAAAAAACGCAUAUGGGAGCAUUUGUUAAACUCAAGCUAGACAAACUUGAAAUUAUGAAGCAAAUGUAGAAAGACAAACCGAUAGCUUUACAUUAUGGAGUUACAAGUGACAUGUAUGGAUAAUGAGAGAGCACAAUUUCAUGAUUCAUUAGACGCCAAUUUAAUUAGAGUUCUAUUUUCAUUCUCAAACCCAAACUCCUUCAUACCAGGAAAGAGUGGCUACAAAAGAUGAUUUCUUAUCAUGACACGCUAUUUCACCCACCACAGGGAAGAGAGAUCAAUUUUCAGUGUCCUACUUGGGAUUAAAAUUAAACAGAACAAAAAUCUUCCAGGCCAUCAUGUAACAGCAUCUCCACCCCAGCAGAAAAUCUAACCCUUCGGUGGACUUGUCCAAUUAAUUGCUAUACUGACGUUUUUUGUUUUUCUUGUAAGUGUAAUUGACAAACCAUUACAUACACAACUAAAAAAUGAAGGCAAAAGAGAUCUUCUGUUGCCAAUAGAGAGAAGCUUUCUGGCAGAAACUGGCCAGAUGGAGAGGAUCUAGUUCUCCCAAAACCAAGCCUCAAAUGGAGGCAGUGGCAUCUAAUCUUACACAUGCUUCUAAUGUUGUACCAGAUGACCGAAGACUCACCAGCAGGAUACUGAAGGGCAGCAGAUAUUCGACAUAUGGACGGUAUUGCUGAUGGAUCCCUGGCACCUGCUUUUGCAGUUAAUAUAGCAGCAUUCUUUUCUGCAGCUGCAACAGCUUCAGGUCCAGUAGACCCACUUGCACCCAUGGACUCCAGUAGUGCCUGAUAAAAAAUUCAUUAACAGUUAUAUACACAGAAGAAUGCAAAUGGGAUAACAAAAUCAAGGGUGGGAGUGCACUGAGGAUAAUUAAAUCAAGGGUACUUAGGUAGCUCCCCAGUGAAAGCAGUAUUUCCCUGGUGGUCUAAUCCUACUUUACCACCAGACUAGUCCAGUUCUGCUCAACAUAAAGCACCUCUUAAUUUGUUUUCCUUUAUGAGUAUACAAUUCGAAAUAUAGUGUAGGUUUAUUUUUACUUCUUUUUACUUCAUUAACAGUUAUAUACACAGAAGAGUGCAAAUGGGAUAACAAAAUCAAGGGUGGGAGUGCACUGAGGAUAAUUAAAUCAAGGGUACUUAGGUAGCUCCCCAGUGAAAGCAGUAUUUCCCUGGUGGUCUAAUCCUACUUUACCACCAGACUAGUCCAGUUCUGCUCAACAUAAAGCACCUCUUAAUUUGUUUUCCUUUAUGAGUAUACAAUUCGAAAUAUAGUGUAGGUUUCUUUUUACUUCUUUUGGGGCAAGCCCAAGCUUGACAUUCAAACUUCAAGAUCUCUCUCUCUCUCUCUCUCUCUCUCUCUCUCUCUCUCCAUUAUGUUCCAACGCCUUUCCCCACCAUACACAGUGUCCAGAAAACAGAUCCAGAAGGCGAACAUGAAAAGAUAUAAUGUAUUUUCAAGCCAAAGAACAUUCAAAAAAACUUCUGAAUAACCGAGACCUUAAACAUAUUACAGCAGUCAUAUAUGUUGAAUAUCAUAGUCAAAUUAACUAAUUAAAACUUGAUAAUGGAAAGAAACAGAUUUAUUAACUUUUACUUCUUUUUUUUUUAGAACCAAACAUAUUGAUCAGUAGAACGAUCAAUAACCAAGAAUAUUUAAUAACGAUAAAGCCACAAAUUGUAGUAGACAAACCUGUGGAGUUGCUGGAAGCAUGUAGAGGCUAUUAUCAGGACUUUGAUCAAAAGCAGAAACUUCUCUUUCAAUAAGAUCUUUUGCACUAUUUGAAAGAUCCAUAACUAUUGUGCAUGCUGGAAUAAUAGUGGUUGAUGCAUACUCCCGUGCGGCUAAUGGCUGCUGAUUCCAGAACGCAGCGGCAUCCUGCCAAGUUUACAAUAUAAUAUUAGAAAGUAUCUAUGACAAAAGGUGAUGGAGAAGUAGUAUCCUAGCUGCCUUUAUUGAAGUAUAUAUGAAUACCAACUGAAAACUAUGCCACUGGUGAUAUCAUUUGUGUAUCAGUUCCAAGGAAAUUGAAGUGCCUCAUGGUGAGCUAAAAGCCCAGACCUAUAGGCAUAAAUAGGAUCUUUGGGCAUCAUGAUAAAUAUGGCACAAAAGUGGGUACUGAAAUUUUAUUAAAUAAAAAAAAAGUCCAUCAACUCGUUGGGGUGACAUAAAAAAAUUUCUUCGAUAUUUUAUAUGAUAUAUAUGAACUUUCAUAUGGAACUCAAAACAGAAUGAGCCGACAAUUUCAUGGAAUGACCAGAAAUGGACAAUACAGUACCAUUAUAUGAAGUGACUUGCAGUUUUACAGGCAUUAAUGAAGCUGAGAUAGCUUACCAUGUUUACUUUUAGUAGAGCACUGUAUAUGAUUUCAAGUUCCGAUCUGCGGGAAUCAAAUUCUUCAAUCUUUUUCCACUUCUUUUUCAAUGAAUCUUCAGCUUCUUUCCUUUCUGCACAUAAUUUAUUUAAGCGUUGUAUUUCAGACAUCAGCGUAUUCAAGCUAGCCCUCAAGCCAGCAACUUCUCUUUCCUUGGUCCAAACCUCCAGCUACAAAAAUAAUAGGGAAAAAUGGUAAAAACAACACACCAAAUGAUAAUUAACUACAUACCAGAAAUAAGCUACCAUAGAGUACCCAAAUGACUUUUUAUGACAUUCAAAUCAACAAGGAUCAAAAUACUGAAACUAAUCACACCUCUCAUCAUUGGCACUAUUUGCACCUAAAGUAUUGCUAAUUUAGCCAUUUAAUAUCCAAGAAAGAUUUACCUCAAGUUGCCUAAGACUGCCCACAUUUUGUGAUGUGCCUGAAGAAACUGCGUCACUAUUUCCAUGCAAGCGUUUUAUAAGUUUUUGACACAGAUCCCUAGCUUCUGCAGCUUUGUUCAGUGCAUCUUCAGUAGCCAAAAAUUGCUGAACAUGUGCUUUCUGUGAACAACAUAUGCAAAAUAACAAUUUUAAACUCCUGAAACAAUGCAUGAUUCGUAAGACAAAACAAAAGCAGAAAAUGUAAGGUGAAAAUAGAACCCAACUAUGAUUUCGUUUAUUGACCAAAAAAUCUAUGCUUCAGUAUAAAAAAAGAAUGGUCUUAAUGGAAUUAGGGUUUCGGCGGACUAUUCUUUAUAGGGGAAAACACAUUAAAGAAAAAGUAAGAGUAAUGUAUAUCCAUGUAGUGAAAAAAUGAGAAUAUUAAGAUGAAUGGCAUAAGUGACUAGAUCAUAAUUAAAAAUCAAUGUCAAGGCUACUAUCUAGAAAAGAACAUAACCUGUCGUUCAAGAAGUUGAGUUCCUCUAGAAGGUGCAUCAACUCCUAUCUUUCCAUUACCAUAAAGUUGAUAGUGUAACGGUGAACUCACAUCAGGAGAAGAAACAUCGAUAACUCGGUUGUUCUCAUACUUGUACCUGAUUAAGGAAUUGAAGAAACGUGAAUCAAGGAUAUGGAGAAGAUAUGAGAAUUCAAAUACAAGAAUGAUCAAAUUUGAAAAUACAGCAUGCAAUUAUUAUUUAAUCAAGCACUGCAACUAUUCCUGAUAAGAGAGGGAGGGGAGACCAUAUUAUCCACAAGUAUUGACUCAGGAAAUAUUAAAUUAAAAAACCAAGAAGGAAUAUCGUAGUUGAAUAGCCUUGCCUGUAGAAGCUUAGGGAAACAUUGACAGCACAUAAGAAAUGUGAAGGACAAAAUGAAAUAAGCUUUAUGUCCCCAACAGAAGUGACAAGAAAGUGUUUACCUUAAAGUUUCUGCAUCAGCUCUAACAUCAAUUUUCUCUAUUUCUCUGGAAAUUAGAGAUUUCAACCGUGACGUGUAUGAAGUAAUUGCCUGAAGCAAUUGAGGAGGACUCUUUAACCCAUUCACAAUCGCAGCUCUAACCUCAUCAGGUAAUUCCCCAUCAAAAUCAAAGCCUAACUUGGCUGUUUCUAAUUGAGGAUUCAAAUGAACACCACUUCCUUCAUAUGCAGGAAAAGAAUUGCGAAUCUUUUCAAUCAUAUGUGCUGCAAGAGAUUCACAGGCCUUCCGGAUGUUUCUUUCCCGAGUGGUUUCAAUAAGAAGUACAUCAUCUGCUGCUUUACUGCCCUUAAGAGUUGAAUAAACAGCUUCCUUUUCACUGCUUGAACUAAAGCUGUUAACCAAUUCAAGAGAUGAAUCAACACCUGACCUUUGAGCAUCCCUUGCUUGAUUAACAUAAUAACGAAGACGUUUAUGAUACUCUGCAAAUAUCUUUUCCGCUUCAUCACACUGUUGAUAGUAAGCAUCCAACAUUACCUGCUUAUGCCUGCAUUAUGAUCAAGCAUAUAUCAAUAGAGUCCACCUUGAAUGACUCGGAACAAGUGUUAGUCUCAUCAGAACAUGCUUCACAUCAUUUUUAGCUUAUGAAACUAUUCUCAAACAAACCUUGCAAAGAGGAAUAACAUAGCGCCGACACUCUAAACCAGUCAUAUAGUUCAUGUCUUUCUGAUAACGAUGUUGAUCACAUAUAAGAAUUUUGCAAACUUUCUUUCAGAAUUUCAGAAAGAAAACAAAACAAGUUUUCAACUGAAUUAAAUUAUAUACUCAGGAUUAUGCCAAUGAUCCACAAAAGCCCAAACCUUUUUUUAGAGCGUUCAUCAAGCAUCCUCUUCCGUUCGGCCUCUGCCCUUGAAACCUCCAACAUUCUGGCCUUCAAAUCCUUCCUUUGUCUCUUCACAAUGUUCCUCAACUUCUCCACUUCCUUUGACGCCAAGUCCCUCUCUUGCAGCGCAGCCUCCCUAGUCUCUGCCGCACUCGAACCCUCCCCAAGCUUCUCCUUUCUCCUACCUCCUUUACUCCUUACGCCCUCCUCCUUCCCCGAUUUUACCAAUGCACCACUAUCGCCGCCACCGCUGCCGCCGCCAUGAACAGUUAUAUUCCUCCGGAUAUUCUUCACCGUAUUCUCCGACUUCACGCGGGUAAUCAAGAAAUUCCAAAUGGGUAUCAUAUUCCCCCGGCAAAUCUUCCUCAGCGAGUCGAUUGAGGGCAAUUGAGAUUUGCUAGCAGCACUGUACGGACCCAAGGGCCGGUACCCCAUUUCCUUCUGAAGCCAUUGCAAUAUGGCUUCCGGCUGAGCCACAGAGCUCUGCGACGAGCCCUGCAUUCUUUUAGGCUUUUAGGUCUCUUCAGAAAAAGAAGAGUUUUGGGAACUAAAUCACCAUCCUGCGGUGAAUAAUAAAAACCCUAAUUUCUGCACACUAACGGACUGAGAUUGGAGCUCAAACUACUUCAAAAGCCUAACACUGACACUGAGGUCUGCUCCGAGUGUGAGAAUUUAGGGUUUCGAAUUGCGAAAAUUGGAGAGGAACAACUAGAUCUGAGGGGUCGCCGGCGAAGAAAUAUAUUCAAAUUGAGAAAUGCAAUGCAAAGUAAUACAACGGUAAUUUGACCUUAAGAGGCAAGCAAGGCAACGAGAAAAAGUCUGUCGUUUAUUCAAAUCGGCACUACAAUUUAUUAACCGGUUUAAUGCUUCAAAACGACAUGCGGUGAUGUGUGAAGUUUUUGGUCAUAGAUUAAUUAAGCUGGGACACUUAACCAAAAAUAUUAAAAAAUAAAUGUUUGGUGUUUGGUGUUUGGUGCUUGUCAGGGGUAGUUUUGUGUUUGUCCAUUUCUAUUUCCUGUGAAUAUUUCUGGUUGAAACUAUCAUUUGUAUAAUUAUGAACUUUGAAGCAAUAUGACCAAUUUUGCAGUGGGUUUGUUGUAUGAAACAUAAAUUAAAGAUUUCGUAAUAACUUGUAGCUCAAGCGAUUAAAAUUAAUUUUUAAUUUACACUUCAUUUAAUAUCUUUUGCACGAAAAUUUUAUAUUUUUUUCUUCCUUUUAAGCUCUGUCGGCAGCAUACUAAUUGUAGGAAGAAUGCCAUACAAGGCCGACGUGAGAAGCAAGUCUGAUCUUUUAUAGACCAUCACAAUAGUUUCCACUAUGGUCAUCAAGAACUAUUGCCCCAACCCUACUAAAAAGGGAAAUUGCCAAAAUUGGCACUGUAGCAUUCUUCAUACCAUUGUCGUUUUUGUUGGUUUUCAAUGAGUUUUUAUAUUUAUUUUUGUCAAAAUUAAGAAAGAGAGAGAGAAACUCACACACACCGUUAUUAUGGAAGUUGUUAUAUUUAUUUUUAUACAAGAAAUAUUGAAUGAAUAAAACUAAACACAAGAUUUACCACAACUAAUAAAAAUGAUGAUUUGAUAUCUCAGGUUUGAAUCCUCAUGACAUCAUAAUUGUGUGUGUGUGAGAAAUCCCCUUCCUCCUAGACUUUUUUAAAAGAAAGUGAUCGAAUUGCAUUCAAGUAGAAUAAUGAAUUAUACGGCAUAUGCAUGCCUAAGGUAGCCUCAUUAAAACCUUCUCAGGAAAAACCCCAAAGGACAAAACUCCGGAAUAAAAAAGAGUACCACACAUACCAAAGAUAUAGCAAAACCACAAGAUCAAAUAGAAUCCUGAAUAAGAGUAUCAAGGAGCCAAAAAAGAGGAGACUCCAUCCAGCUAAACGGUCAGCCACACUAUUCGCCUCUCGAAAAACAUGCACAACACAGACAAGUACAUUAUCAUGCAAAAGCAGUUUACAGUCUUCGAUCAAGCAACCAAGGGAGGAGAGAUCCACAUCACGAUAGAGAACAGAAAGAACCAUCCCUUGUGCGUCGCUCUCAAGACCAAGAAAAAAAAUAUAUAUGAUAAUUGUACUAAGAACCCUCCCUCUAAUUUAGACUAUGACUUGUACUAAAAAAAGUUUAUAUAUGAUAAUAGUAUCAUUAAGAAUUUCUUUUUAAAAAUAUAGAAUUAUUAACAUCCUUAAUUAAGGUUUGUCCAAUAAAAAACCAACAUCAAUAUAGAAUUUAUAUUUUAUAUUUUGUUGGGGAUUGGGUUGCGACAUCAUCUUUCUCUUCUUUUUUUUUGGUCGAGGUUGCGACAUCAUCAUUAAAGUUAAAUUCGAUUGUUUAUGGAAUUAAAAUAGGAUAGAUUCUUCCACCCACUGUCAGGAGAAAGAUUAAGGUGUGACUUUAAAAUUCCGCGCAUUCAUAGCUUUUAUCACCGCAAAAUCCAAGAGCUAAUUUGCAAAUUCGAAAUCCCCCAUAUUUAGUAUCCGAUUUUCGAAGCAUAUAUUUAUUCAAACAUCCAAUCCAAAAUUCUACUCAGUUUCCGAUUCCUCGGCGUCCCUGUCUUUGUCCACCCACCAAGAUCAAUCUCUAUCUCUCUCUCCUUCCAGUUUUGUCCCACCUAUCUCAGGUACUUUUUCUUUUCUUUCUCUUUCUUAUGUGAUUGUUUAAAUUAUUGGUCUUUUGCAGUAUUUUGAAUCUUCUGAUUGCAUCAGAAUUGAAUUGAUAUCUGCAAAGGGGUUAGAUUUUAUUUAUUUGUUUUUGCUGAUGAUGGUUUUUAUUCUUUGAACAUUCUGGUUGUAGCAAAAUUUGAUAUUUGCAACAGGGUUUUGUUUUGUGAACCUUCUGAUGAUCCAAAAUUUGAUAUAUUCAAAAGGGUCUGUUUUAUUACAUUGAUUUAUGUGUUUUUCUAGAUUGAUCUAUUACUUUUGAUCUUUAAAAUUGGGAUAAUUGCAUGUUUUCCUUUCCCUAUUCUGUUAUUUUAUUUUCUGGAAAUUUUGAAUGGACUGACUUGACCUUCAAUCUCUGGGCAGCUUGUCAACAAAGUAGCAUAUUACGAUAACCACCUGUAAUUUCUAUGGAUUUUAUGCUGGUUGAUAUGCCUUUCUUCCUCACCACCAUUCGGGAGGAAGGGCGAGAAUAAGGGGAAAUUUAAAUUUACUGGCUUUUAUAACAGAUGAGGGGAAAUUGUAUCUUAAAACAUCCCUGUUGUGAAACUUCAUAAUCACAACUAUUUUCUCAAAUUUUUCAUGUUUCUCCGAAUAUUUUGAAGACAUAUUCAACUCCAUAGGAGUCAUGGUAUUACAGCUGCAACUAGUGAGGUGCCUGCAUAUUUCCCAGGGAGUAUGACAAUGAUAAAUUGAAUCGCUUCAAAACUAUGAUCUCUCUGUACCAUUAAAGUAGUUGACACGCAUUGCAUGUGUGCAUGUGUUUUCUGCUUUAGUUCUAGUAGAUCUGUUUAGAGGACAACUCUCUUGAGUAUUAGCCUUUUCCCUUGUCAAUAUUGUUGUUUGAAACUUACACAUGACUGUCUUCUAUUUCACAGGUGAAGAAUAUAACCCUAAGUUAUAUCAGAGCCACAAAGGCGUCCAACAUUGUUAGAUAAAAGAGGGAGGGUACUGGUCCGCGGAGGCAGUGGGACUUCUGCGAGCUUUGUGUCCUCUCUCGUACUUGUCAAAGUACAAUAAUUGCUCCUAGAGAUCUUUUGCUUAAUGCACAAGUGGAGCUUGAUUGGUUUCGGCUGAUGAGAGUGGGGAACUGUUGUGGAGGUUUAUUUUUAAGCUGACGUAAUGGGUUCUGUUUGUUGUUGUUUGAAUGCUGAGGAUUUUGAAGACUAUGUGAAUCCAAACAGUUCUGCAUAUAGGAACUGUAUCUGUCUUAGUUGCUUUAUUGAGAACUUUCUAAAUGUGGUAUGCCUUCAUCAUCCUUGCUACUGAACUAGUUAAUUUUUUUAUGCAUUACUAUUAGUUGUUAUGAUGUGGGACAUAAUUCUAUGUUUCCUGUUUGGUAGAUGAUCUUGAUGUUCUGCUUCUCUUGUCACACUGUCAAGCUGAUUGCUUUUAUGUAUGAAAUUGAAUUUUCUUUUCAACCUCAUUACCAAUAUCUUAUGGAACUGUAUGCCAAAGAGCAUUAUUAUUGGUAAUUUUGCUGGAGACAGUGCUGCUUUUGUGCCCUCACUGAUCUGCUAUUGUCUUGUAAGUCUUCACUGAGAGCAUCUUAUAUAGAUUGUGAGACAAUGAGAGAGAAGAAUUUCUUGUUUUUUUUGAUUUUAAGAGAAGAGUUUUCAUUAUUAAGCUUGACUGUUAGAACUUUAAAAAGUGUUUGCAUGAUUGGGGUUUGUGUGUGGGCACUUAUGAGUCUUCCUUUAAAGGUUAGUGAUUUGGUUAUAUUCUUCUGGAAAGCAAAGGUUUAUGCAGUUGCUUUGAGUAAGAGAUUUGGCCUGUAAAACAGUUCAGCAAGAGAUUGAGUUAAUUCCAUAAAUUACAAUUUUAAUAUUAAUCGUGAAAACUUAAACUUUACGAUGGAAGAAUAACCCUUUAUCUUCUCGUAUUUUGUAGUAUACAUCAUUAUUCAGAAGAGGAGAAGUGCAUUCAAUCCCAUCAUCCAUUCAGGGGGCUGCAUCAAUGACGUCCUCAGCAUCACUAGACAACUCUAUAUCUGACAUGUAUCGUUCUCCUCCAAGGCCCUUGCCUUAUGAUGCUGACCCCAGAUACAUCCGCUUGCAACGGGAUGGGUUGAUUUCUAGGCGUGAGAAAGGCUCAAGUCAUUCUCAUGAGGAGGCCGAACCUCUAAGAAGUGAUACUGAUGCAGAUUCUGAAUGUUUGAGUACAGGAGAAAAAUGGAAUGGGUCUGCUUGUGAAGAUGGAGUAAAAGAACAUCGUUCCAAGUCCUCAAUGAAGUUCUCAUCAGCAAAAGCUACAACCAUAGUUGGGAACUUUUAUAUAUCAUCAGAAGACGAGGAUGUCUGUCCAACAUGUCUUGAAGGUAUUUUUAUUUGGGUUUUUUUUAUUGGUGUUUCUUCUUCUUUCUCACCUUGUGCGUCUGAUGGUCAUUUCCACUUCAUACUACUUAACAUGAAUGAUGACCCAGUCCUGUUUUCAUUCUGUUAAUUGCAAAUGUUUGUUUGCUGAAUUGAAUCAACUGUCCUGUUCAUGUUAUCUUUGCUUUGCUCCCCCAAAAAUAUUGUGCCCCUUCAGUAAACUGGACCUGAAGCUAGAAGGGAAGGGUCGGGUAGUGAGAUGCAGCAUUCACGCCAAAUGCUAGCUUUGUUAGGAAAUAAGACUUGAACACUUACGUCAAUUUGUAACGUUUGUGGCAACUUUGAUUGGUUUAUGAUUCUGAAAAUGUACCCUGAUGGUUUAUAACGUCUGAAAUAUGAAUUCUCAUGUUUUUUUCGUUGCCCUUGUGUGCAGAAUAUACUCCAGAAAAUCCCAAAAUAAUGACAAAAUGCUCUCAUCAUUUUCACCUUGGUUGUAUAUAUGAGUGGAUGGAGAGAAGUGAAAGCUGCCCUGUUUGUGGCAAGGUAACAAUAAUUCUCUUACUUUUUAUGUUUUCUUAGUUAAUAUUUCGUUUAUAGUGAUGAUAAUCUUUAGGUAGGCUCAGCUUUUAGUUUUAUGUCCCAAUAUUUCUGAAAUUUUAGAUUAGUGUUAUUUUGUUAUUAUUAUUAUUAGAAUAGUUCUUCCUUUGUCUUUACUAUAGUCCUAUACAUGUUUGGUAUUUUACAACUAAUGGAUUGAUAAUUUUUCUGAUCUACAUUCAAGUGAAGAUUAGUUUAAUUUAAAGCAAGACUCUUUUUUACUGCAAUGUGGAUUUUGACUCUGGAUUUUAUUUGUUUGGCUUUUGUAGGUGAUGGUAUUCGAUGAAACGACUUAAUCACGAUUGAAAGGUUUGUGUCGUUGAUGAAGCCAACAACAGCUGAAGAGAGAGCAUACUAAAGAAGUGAUGCCAUUGUGAAUACCACAUGUCAAAAAGUGUCAUUGAUCAUAGUACAUAUAAACUUCGUUUCUGAUGACCAUUGUUGUAAGUUCAUUUUAUUCCAUAUAAUUUUUCUAUGAAAAGAAAUUUAUGUGGUAGUUCUUGCCUUGCUAUGUUCUCUGAACAGUAAUUGCCUUUUGUGAUGUAGAAAAGUGAUUUAUAGUUAAUUUUUCACUUCCCUCAGAACCCAUCAAACUCUCACACCUCUCAUCUCUUCUUUGCACAUUCUCUCCCUUCAUGGUCUCUCUUAAACACCAGUCUUCAUCUUUCCAUUCAACAAAGAUUUGCUAUAAGCCCAACUUUUACAACGUUAUAAAUCUCGUAUUAGAAAGGAAAGACUGAACAACAUUGUCCUAAUUAUUUGUCUCAAUAACACAAGGAUUGAGAUAUGUCUGCGUAUUUGCCCAUACAAUAUAUGUAAAAGCAGGAUAAAAAGUUAUACACAUUAGGAUAGUUGUAUCGAGAUGAAUGUUCUCUUGCCGGAUAUCUAAUAUGUCACUAGACCGUGAAUCAAGAUCGCAUAUUCAAAUAUGAUCUCACUUAAUCAAUGAUUCCGAUUACGCUCUAAUAACACAACAUACAAAAUUGUUUAACAAAAGGAAAUUACUCAGCAUUUAAAACAUAUUUCCAAGGUUUGCAUUCUUAUUGGAGCUAGAGAGUGAAUGCUGAUGUGAAGUAUCAUUUUGUAGCUGCUUCAAAAGCAGCUAGGAAGACCUCAGUUGGUUGGGCACCAGCAAAUUCUUCCUUUCCAUUGAUCUGCCAAAAGAACCAAAUGAUUAGUAGUGAUGGAUCUAUUUGGCUAAUCAAACAAAACCCAAAUUUUGAAAAGAAAAAAAGAAGUGAAUUUUCAUCACCCACCACAAAGUAUGGGAUUCCUUUUACUUCUGAGUACUUCUUAAGCUCUUCCUUGACCUUCAUUGUAUCAUGAUGAGCUAGAUCAGUUCCAUUCAAAAAUAUACAGAAAAAAGUUUGGGGUUUGGUUUAUUUCUGAGAAAGGAAUGGCUGUUGCAGGAUUCUAGUUUUAAUUUGGCCUGUUUUGGAACCAAAGGAUCAUAACAAAAAUUCCACAAUCCUCUAUCUGGUUUUUGCUGUCCUUCAACAUGUUAGCUUGGCUUGCAAAAUAAUAGGAACAUGAAGGAAUUGGUGAAGAACAGACCUCAGUGAGCCCAUUGUUGGGGUCAUCAAGAAACUCUGCUGCCCCUUCUAUUUCAAUCUUUUCAGCACAUUUCAGAAGAUAAUCCCUGCACCCAAAUUGCAAAUGUUUGUGCCUCUUUCAAGUUUUACAUCAGAUUAAGGAUGUAGAAGUACUUAACCUAGAACAUAUCUUUGCAUCCAUAGCCAUUGCUUGAAAAUUAAGAAUAGAUUAAUGAAUCCUCCCCAUAUGCAAUCUUACCUGUCCCCAAUGAAUCUCCCAUCUGUGAAAUAUCCAAGACAGAUCUCAUCCACAAGAUCAUGUUGCUUAUCACGAUCCUGCAGCCCAGCAAAAUAUAUAAGCCUGUGACUCUCAAUAGUAUUUCCCCUGCACAUGUUUUACACAAUAUUUGUUAACACAUUAAACCACCACCGAAAAAAUCCUUGUUUCCAUGCUUUCACUCUAUGUGAAAUUGUUUGUUUACACACGCACAAACACACAAUCAGCCUGAAAAAUGAAAGAAAGAAAAAUCAAUGUCUGCACUUACGUGAGUCCAUCGAUCUUAUAAGUCAUGUCAUGGUUUGAAAAGAUCUGCAAAUUGUGAAAAGGAAACAUAAGAAUGAAUACCACUUAAAACUAGCAACCAAAUAAGGAGAAAAACUUCCCUAUCCCCGGUUCAUUGCCCCGAUCUCUCUAUUUCUCUCCUCAUAUCGCCUAUCAGAUGAGGAGAGAGAUAGAAAGAG
rnacentral:lncRNA from 1 species